rnacentral:lncRNA from 1 species
GCUUUAAACAUGUAAUAAUACAUCAACAAGCAUGGAUCAAGUCCAAAAAGGAAGCAAAAUAAAUUUUUCAUUUUAGUGCUCACAUAUAAAUCUUUAUAUCCUACUUGAUAACACUAACAAAAAUAAAUUCACACAUUUCACUUUGCAUACAUUUUAAAAGGAUUGAUAAAACGGUUCUAAGAAUUCAUCAGGUUUAAACUAUCAAAACUAGAAUUAUGCGUGAACUAGUUGAUCGUUUGGUGAUACCAAAUGUUGUUUAGUGAGUUAUAGACAUCAUAGUUUUCAAUUGUAUUAUCUACUCUUUGAAAGAGUGUUGUUACAUUUCAAACAAUUGUAAAUCUUCAAGAGUUUAGGAGAAAAACUCUUGGUUAUUGGUGAGAUGCAUCACCAAGGUAAAAAAUCUUGAAGUUGAUAUUUCUUCAAGUGGUGAAAAAAAAGGCCUCAAUAAGAAUUCAUCAAGGACAUUGAAAUCUCUGGCUUGGAUUAGUUAAUAAUAUAAUACUAAAGACCGGCUUGGUGCGUGAGGUGUGGAUGUGAGUUUGUUGAACCAUAUUAAAAAUUGAGUUUGCAAUCUCUCUUCCUUAUCCUUUUACUUUACGCAAUUUAAUUAUAUUGUUGGUUAAUUGUGUUUAAUUGUUUUUUUUGAAUUAAUUGCAAUAUUUGUUAAUAUUAGUGGAACAUCUAAUUCACCCAUUUAGGUGUUAUUAUUGCCUUAAUCCUAUAACAACAAUUGGCAUUAGAGUCUGGUUCUCAUUUAUAUAAGUUUACACUAAUAUUACUUACACAAAACAAAAUCUUUGGCUUUGUCUCUCUAUUGUGCAGGAAAACCAAUGGAUGACGAUGAGUUCAUCAUUUGUAUUUUUCAAGGAUUAGGAUCUGAAUUUGAUCUUAUAGUAGCAACAUUGAAUGCAAGAGAUAUUUUUCCAUCUCUUGAAGGAGUUAUUGGCAAACUCCGUGAAUUUGAAAUUCAACUUCAAGGAGCACGAGCAACUAUUUCCAACAUUAUUUUUUAUACAAAUCGUGGCUGAAAAAACUCAUAGCCAUGGGUGAACCCCGACACUCAAGGCUGCAAUAAUCACAGUUUCACUAGAAGAAAUUCCACGGGCAAUACUUUAUCAUCACGAGCUAAAAAGACUCGAUUCCCUCACUUUAAUAUAGGCUCAUCUGGAACUCGUCAGAAACAAUUCUCACAUCAUGGUGGUCGUGGAUAUGGUGGCAUCACUUGUUUUCAAUGUGGGGGGCCUAAUCACAAAGCAGACAAAUGUUUUGCUUUUGGAAGAUCAGUACAAAGCUUUAGCUACUAUCAAAAUUAGAGAAACUGCAGAAGAGAGCUGGUAUUCUGACACUGGUACAAACCAACAUAUGACCUCUAACACAAAUGAAGUUCAAGGUAUUAACUCUUAUCUUGGCAAUAAUUCUUUCAUGGUUGGUAAUGGUCAUGACUUGCCUAUCACUAGCACUGGACACAUUAUUUUUCUUACCACUAAUCUGAAGUUAAAUGAUGUUCAUGUGGUUCCUACAAUUAAGAAGAAACUACCAUCUGUCUCUCAAUUUACAAGAGAAAAAUAAUUGUUAUUUUUUGUUUUAUCCAUGGGGAUUUGUUUUCAAGGACAUGAAGAUGAAAUAGGUAGUCUUUAAGGCUCCAUAAAGGAUGGGUUGUAUUCGAUCAACCUGUAACAACUUUCAACAUCUCCAGUCAGUUUUUUAGCUAAUAAAGUAUCUAGCAACUUAUGGCUUGCACGACUUGACAUCCUCAAGCCCGGAUUCUUAUAAAGUUAUGUUUACCAUCUAUAAAUAAACAAAAUGCUUUAUGUGAAGGCUAUGUUUUGGGAAAAUCAACAAAGUUACCAUUUGAAUCUUGUAAAUCCUAUGCUACUUCUUUUCUGCAUACACUUCACACAGAUGUAUGAGGUCCUGCAUCUGUUUCUUCUUAUGAUGGCUAUCAGUUUUAUUAAUCAUUAUUGAUGAAUAUUCUUGAUAUAUAUGGUUCUUUCUUAUGAAUCGUAAAUUUGACAUAGCAACAAUAUUUUCUACAUUCCUCAAGCAAAUGGAAAAACAAUUUGAUGUUUAUGUUAAAAUAACUCAAAGUGAUAGGGGUGGUGACUUUGUUAAUCAAAGCAUGCACAAUCUUUUAAAAAGUAACGGUAUCAUUCAUAGAUUCUUAUGUCCAUAAACACCAGAAAAAAAUGAAUUGGCUGAACGUCGUCAAUGGCAUAUUAUGGAAUCUAGAUUAACAUUGUUAUCGCAUGCUUCUGUUCCGAUACAAUUCUAAAUAGUAGCUUUUCAUACUGCAAUAUUUCUAAUAAAUCGUCUACCUACUUCAAUUCUUGGUUACAACUCACCGCAUGAAGUUAUUUUCAGUUAUGCUUCUGCUUAUAAUUCCCUACGAGUUUUUGGGUGUUCCUGCUACCCAUUAUUUGCACAAUUUGGUCGAUCAAAAUUGGACUUUAAAUCCACAUGGUGUGUGUUUCUUGGUUAUUCAAAUAAUCACAAAGGAUAUCUCUGUCUUGAACCUUAGACAAGUCGCCUCUACAUAUCUCGUCAUGUGAAAUUUAAUGAAUUUCAGUUUCCCUACAGAUGCAUGCAGAAACUUGACACAUAUGUUUCUCAGUUAUUUAAAGUCAGAGCACUUCCUUGACUACUCAAGACCAUGACUGAAAAAACAACUGUCUCAGCUCAACAAAUAAUACAUUAUGUUCCAGCAAAAAUUGUCCAAAGUGUAUCAGUAUCUCAGUCUCCAAUUCCUGAACCAAUUCCUCCAUUCACUGCACCAGAAUUCAAUACUUUAGCACCAGAGGCUUCUCCCAUAGUUGCUCCACAACGACAUCAUCAUAUGGUUACAUGGGCUCAAAUAGGGAAGCUAAAACCUAAGGUAUUGUUCUCUUCACAAUAUUCAAUACCUGCUUGUUUUGUUGCUGACCUUAUCACUCAAUAACAAGACCUAGCGUACUUCAACAUCUACAAUGGCAUCAAGUAAUGCAAGUUGAAAUGGAUGCUCUUCACAUCAACAACACCUGAAAUUUGGUACCUAGAGAGCCAAACAUGAAUGUUAUCAGUAGUAAAUGGGUGUUCAAAAUCAAAACACGAUCUGAUAACUCUAUUGAAAGGUAUAAAGCUCAACUAGUGACUCGUGGAUUUACACAACAACCAAGCCUAGAUUAUGAUGAAACCUUUAGUCCAGUCAUCAAACCAAGUACUAUUUAGUUAAUCUUUACCAUUGGGCUAUAGCAAAGCUUGUCUGUCAGACAACUAGAUGUUAGUAAUGCCUUUUUUCAUGGUGACCUACACGAACAAGUAUAUUUGGCUCAAUCCCAGGUUUUGAGGAUUUCUCCCAUCCAGAUCAUGUUUAUCAUCUCCAUAAAGCUUUGUAAGGUUUAAAGCAGCCCCUCGCGCCUAGUACCUAAAAUUCAGUACUUAUAUCCAGCAAAUGAGAUUCAUAUAAUGUCCCUAUGAUCAAUAUUUAUUCUCGCACUCAAGGAUCAGGCAUUCUUCUUUUACUUAUUUAUGUUAAUGACAUUCUUUUAAUAGGAAGUUCCUCUUCACAGAUUGACAAGUUUAUUGCACACCUAUCUGUCAUCUUCCAUAUGAAAGAUCUUGAUGACAUUCAUUACUUCUUAGGUCUUCAAAUCGCUUGCGAUGAGUCCACUGUCACUCAUACAAGGUAUUUAUUGUCUCUUCUUCAAAAGUUUGGUCUUGAUGGCACCAAACUUGUAAGCACUCCACGAGCAUCGGGGCCUUUUAUGUCUGUUGUUGAUGGUGCUCCCUUAGUUAAUCCUUUCCUUUAUCACCGUUUGAUUGGCUCAUUAUAAUAUCUUACUCUAACCAGACUCGACAUCUCCGAUGUUGUUCAUCAAGUCUGUCAAUUCAUGCAAGCACCCCAUGACAUUCACCUUAUUGUUGUUAAGAGGAUUUUUCAAUAUCUGAAGGGUACUCUCAAUGUUGGUCUUCACUACGUCCGUACCCCUAUUCAUAAACUUCGUGGUUUUUGUGAUGUCGAUUGGGCUAGUUGCAGGGAUGACAAACAUUCCACUACUGGUUUUGCUAUCUUUUUGGGCAAUAAUUUGAUAUCUUAAGGCGCUAAGAAACAAGCUAUUGUGUCUCGAUCGAUAGGUGAGGCUAAAUACUGUGUCUUAACCUCAACUACAGGUGAGCUUAUGUGGUUUGUGCAUUUACUCAAGAGUAUUGGCUAUUGUGUCCAUCCUCCUACGUUGUAUAGUGACAAUAUUUGUGCCAUUCAUUUAGCCAAGAAUUCAAUGUUCCAUCACCGUACAAAACACAUCAAAAUUGAUGUUCACUUUAUUAAUGAAUGGGUUGCGAGUGGUGUUCUCUCUUUGGCAUACAUUCCAGGAUCGGAUCAAAUUACGAAUAUUUUUACCAAAUCCCUUUGUGCUACAAAAUUUAUUCUAAAUCAUGGCAAGCUCUGUCUCAGUCCUGCCCCACCUUGAGCUUGAGGGGGGAUGAUGAGAUAUAGAGAUAUGCAGAUGCAGAGAUCCUGCUGAGAUCUCUUCACUGAGAGAUCCUCUGCUGGGAUCUCUCUGCUAGGAUCCUCCUUAUUUAUUCACUUCAUGAUCUCCACAAUAUUUGUAAUUCAUUAUGUUUCUAUAAUCUCUAUAGACAAAUCAUUCAUAUAUAUAUAAGUUUAGCUUUUCCUAUAAGCAUUAUCUUUUUGUUUUUCAACAAUAGUGUGCUAUAAAUAAUUGGUAGGUUGAAAGACCUUUAAAGAAGGAGCCCUUAUAGAUUAUGACGCUAAAAAAUAAGAAAAUAUAUUAGAAGACAAGUUAUCCAAUAAGGUAUAAUGAAUAACUAAAGCAUAAAGAUUUCUCACCAAAAGUUUUUUUUGCUCAAUUUCCUAGCUAAUCUACUGGCUAAAUUUUUAAUAGGUCUUCUCUUACCAUCUUUUGUAAAAUGUUCUUCAUCAUAUAAAAGUUUCUUAGCCAUCUUUUUUUAAAAAAGGUUUAAGAUGACAUAUAUAUAGCUUUCUUGUACAAUAGGAAAAACCUUAAUUAAUUUCCUAAUAUUAGCAUAAAGUCUCUCACACUAUAGAAUCCAAAAUUAUUUUUUGUUAACUAUGUUACAUUUUUCACUUCCUUUAGAAUUUUGAAAAUUAUUGUCUAGAUUAGAACUAUUAAUGAUAUAGUACAUUAGAAAUGAAACACAUUAUACAAACUUCGAUUGUCUUGCCACAAAAUAGAGGUUAUAGGGCUCAUAAGAAAAAUAGUUGUUCCUUUAUAAUAAAUAUAUCACUAAACUAAACUAAACUGUAGAUCCUUUUAGGUUAGAAUAAUUUUUCACACUACAAUGUUCUCCUCUCCCUUACAAUUUAUCCUUUGACGUUUAAGAAUCAAUAGCCAUCUAGGGCAUGUUCUCAUAGACACUAAAAUGACCAUGGAUCGGUCACUCCUUGUCACAGAUAGAAAAAUAUCUAGGUAUCUCUUGAAAGGAAAGUUGUGGAAAGGGAUCAUCAUCAAAAUUUGUCCUCUAUAAAUUAAUAGGGAGUCCAAAUUCGACUACACAACACUAGAUUCAUGGAAAUUUAUAGUUUCUCAUGCUUAAAUCCACCAUAAAAUUCAAUAAAAAUUUUCUUUUAUCUUGAAAGGGUGGUUGGUCUUCACCUCUCACUUGGCAUUCCUCUAAUACCAUAUAUAUAUAUGAUUUAACAUAAAAGGUCUUAGGACAAUGGUCCUACCAUUAGCCAAGGUCACCACUAUAUUUAACUAGGCCUUAUUUAAUUUAUAAGACCUGGAAAAAAUUAAAUAUCUAUAUACCUAAAAGAGAAAAAAAAGCCACAUGUUCUAUCUAGAAGGAAAAUUUGGUUACUUUCUUCUCCUUAAAAAUAACACUAUAUUUAGGAGUACUUACCAAUAAAUCUUCAAAUUGACCUAUAAUAAAUUAUAUGGAUGCACAAAGCUAACCUCUUGAGUAUAGGCUCCUAUCAAAGCCAAAUUAUAUAGAAAUAUAAUUUGCAUCAUAUACCUAAACAUAAAGAUGUUAUUUGAUUUGACUAAAAAAAUGAUAAAGUUGUCACAUUUCCUUGCUAGGCUUAGUGGUAAUCUUAUAUAGUUGGAUUAUGUCAAAGAUCUAUUAGCAUUUUCAUUCUUCAUCAAAGUGUGGUUUUAUUCUCUUUAUAUAUUGAGGUUCCCUUGAUUUUUCUAGAGUAAAAGCCUUUCUCUAUAUAUCUAAGGCAAACAAGUUAUCUCCUUCUUAUAGAAUUUCUUCUUGAUAUUGCCCAAAGACAUUCUUGAAUCAGUAUUUUUAGGGAAAUGCUGAUGAUAGAUCAGUGUAUAUUAGUGAUACAAUCUAUGUAAUGCUAGAAGUGGGUGAUAAGAGAAGGGUUUUAUUUUGAGCUUGAAGAUGUCAUUUAUGUGUUUAAAGAGAGAAGUAAGGUUAAGGUUUAUCCAUUUUUUUAGAAAUCUUUGGUUUCUUCAAAUAAGGAUCGGGGGCUUUUUUUUAAAGAAGAUGAAAGGAUAGAAAGUUAAUUGAUUGAAUUGAUAAAUUAACUAUAAAUCAAAAUUAUAGUUUUUAUACUUGUAAUAUCAUGCCAAAAAGCUAGAAAACAUUUUAUUUAGAAAUUUCUUAAAUGUCUAACAUGUUAGACAAUGAAAUAUGGUGGACAUUUUGGAAAAACAAUUCUUGAUUUUCCAUGUCAUUCAUGGUCAAUUUUAUGAUUGAUUGAAAUAAAAAAGGUAAAUCAAUAUUCUUUCAUUUAUAUUAAAUAAAGAAAUAUGGAUGCAUUAUUUAUAUCAAAGUUAAACUAUUCAUGUAUUAUGUGAUUAAGAACAAUAUAGUUUAUUGUUAGUUUUUAAGAAAAAUAAUGAAGAAAAAUAAAAUUAAACAUCAACCAAUAAAGAAGGUUAAGCUCGAAAAUCAUCUAAGAGAUUAAGUUUCACAUUAAGUGAUUGAUUAAUCAAAUCCUAUAUAUAUAUAUAUAUAUAUAUAUAUAUAUAUAUAUAAAACCUAACUUAUGGAUAUUAUAAAUUGAUAUAAGCAUAUGUUAUUAUAGAGAUGUCUGCCAGAAAAAUGUGUGCAAGUAAAUAAGUGCAAAUUAUGCUAAGAUUAAAAUUGUAUAAUCUUUAUAUGUUAUAGAUUGUUUGUUUAAGAUUAAGAUUUUAUGUUUAUGUGAGAUUUUAUCUCUAUAAAAAUAUAAAUAUAUCAUCUAAUAGCUUAAAACAAUGGUUAGUCUUAUAUACAUAAUUUAUUAUACAAUUUACUCAUAAUUUUAUGCUACUUAUUGCUUUCUUUUACGUAUGACAAUAUAUUUCUUUUCCUUACACAUUUUACUAGUCAUCUUACAUGUGCUUCAAUUCGGGUCGAAUCAAAAGUUAAUUUUUAACAUAAAAAAAUGUUCAGGCGUUUUAAGUGUGUUUUUUAGCUUAAAGAAAAAAAUUUAAUUGUUAAAUAAAAAGUUAACACAUACGUUUAAUCAAAUAAAUCAAGAAUUAUAUGUGUGAAUAAAUGUUAAAAAGAGUCAUUAACGCUAGCUAAAAAAUAAAUUGAAAAUUCAAGAGAUAGAUACAGAUUAAGAUAGUUGAUCUCAUGCAAAGAGGAGUUAAUCAAUUUUGUUUAUUUAAUUAUAUGUCAAUUUUUCUUAUAAGAAAAUUAAUAAUUUAAAUUUCAAUGAAAAAAGUAAUUUGCAUGUAUAAUUCCUUCUUUUCUUAUAAAUAUAUUUUUCUCUAAAAGAAUAUAGUUUUUUUUUUCACUAUAUGCUUUAUUUGAUAAAAAUUGAGAGCAAUUAGAAUAAAUAUCAAAAACGAAUUUGAACGAUUUGAAAUAAUGAUAAAAAAAGGUCUCUUCAAUUAAAACUCAUUCAUCUUAUUAAUGAGGUUCUUUUUUAUAAUCUUGACAUGAAUAUAUUAAAACAAUAUAAGAAUAAUACAUUGCUCGAGUGAUUCCACAAUGAACUUUUUAAGUCUAUUUUUUAUUUAAUUAUACAAUAAUAAAAAUAGACAUGUAUAGAAAAGUCAAUGAAUAAGAGUUUUUUUAAAAAAAUCAUGAAAGAGUGUAUAAAAAGAACACUCACUAAUAUUAUAAAAAGAACACUAUAGUCUUAGUUGAAAUCCAAGUAAAAAUAGAACAAUAUUUAAUAAAAUGAUGUCCUAGAUAUAUUUUUAAGUAAUUUAUUUAAAUAAAAUUUAAUUAAAAUAGAAUGAAAAAACCAUAAAGACCUUAACAAAAAGAGGUUGUGUAAUUGGGCUUGGGUGGGCCUACACACUUGGCCCAUAACAAAGGAGGCCAAGUCCACAUGCUUGGCCAUCUUAAAAAAAAAAAAAAUAAGAGUACGAUGUGGCGUCUAUAGUGGUAAAUGACGCGUCACUUACUAGUAGACUUUAGGCAACUUGAUGUAACUAGAAAGUAAGGUCCUUAUUUAUUAGACCCAAAAAAAAAUAAUUCAACCCGUUUUUUACUUAAAAAUACCAAAGAAACACCCUAUAAACCUCCACAAACUAAUAUAUAACCUCUAACAAACCCUUUAUUUGUCAAAAAGCCAAAACAUCAUCCUAAAUAUAAAUAAAGAUCCAGAGAUCUUAUCUAUUUUUUCUAGCAAGAUCAAAGGUAAGAAACACAUCAAUAAAGCUCCUUUCAUCAAAUAGAACUCAUUGACAUAAAGAUCAAUUUUUUUAUUGUCAAAAUAUUAUUAAUCGAUAACUUUCUCUCACGUCCCUCAUUUUCCUUUGAUUUUUCUCUUAUUGUAAACCCAAUGACUAAAACGUGAAAAAAAUAGUUUUGGACCAAAACAUAAAAUGUUAAAACUAAAGGAACCAAAUGAGGAGUUAAUGGAGAAUAUGUGAAUAAAUGAUGCAACCAUAUUAUUUGAUAGUUUAACCCACAUUUACCUAGUAUUUUGCCUAUGUUUUAUAUAUAUAAUGCCUUGAUAUUCUUUAUUUUAUAUUUUUAAUGUACUUUUGGAUGUAAGAUUUUAAAAAAAAAGUAAAUUGGAGAUAAUUCAAACCAUAUUCCAGCCCAUGUCGAACAUUGAUAGAUUUGACCUCCGAUCGAUGUUUUGUGCAGAGCCUGAGGUCUAGAGGUCGAAAUGAAGUGAUUCUAGUGAAAUUAAAAAGCUAAAAUUCAUACUUUUCUAUACAUAUAUGGAAAGAAAAAUUAAAAAAAAAAUAAGCAUGGAAAUUGCAGCCUUCAAAGAUAAAUCUCACAUUCUGCCAGUGUUGACUUUCAGUCAUUUUGACUUGAAUAUCUUGAGUUAAAGAAAUCCAUAUGAUACAAACUUAAUUUUAUUGGAUUCCUGACUUGAAGACCUAUCAACCUACCAAGUUUCAGCAGAAAAAGAGCUCAAAUGAGAGAGAUAUGAUUUUUCUAAGACGAUUUAUAAAUUCGACCAGCAUACAAGUUUUGUGAACAAACAAGUUCAAUUUACUUCCCAAGCAUCCAAACUAACAUCCAAGUCUUUAUUUAGAAAAUUUAACUUCUCUAAAUUCAAAGUCAAAGCUUGAAGAUUUUAUUUGCACUACUUAAAUGUAAAUUGUCUACUUAGAAAAGGACUAUUUUGUAGGGAAGUAGGGAUUAUGGUUUCCUAUCAAAUAAAAAAGAAAGAGAAAAAGGAAGGGAGGGGCAGCCAGAAAGAGAAAAAAAACUCCACCUUUUCCUCCUAUACCUGAAAUCAUGUAUUCAUCUUUUCUCUUCAUUAGUUUUUCGAUAGAUAUGCAAGGCUAAGUUCUUUUUCUUGAUUGCAAGGACAUAGAAACCUUCGGAUUUUAAAAACUGUGAGAUCUAUUUUACCUUUUCUUUUCAGUUUCUAUGAUGAGUAUGUUUGUUUUCCUAUGAUUAUUUCCUAUUAUUGUUUAGUUUGAUUGUUAGAGCGGACUCUAAAUUAUUAUUCUAACCCAUCUAUUACUAAGUUUGCUAUCAAAAUCGGAGUUGUAAUAUCUAAACUUGUGAAGCAACUAAGUUUAAUAAUUAUGGUGGAUCUAUAUUAUUAAUCUUAGAGAAAACAUUCAAUCAAAUCAAACAUAGACUGCAAACAAUUAUGUUAUCUAGAUUUAUCAUCAUAUCUAGUUCUUAAGGCUACUAUUGAAUUAAAUUACAAGUGCGGACACUAUGGUUGUUUAAUAGUUAGGGUUAGUUGCACUGCAGAUCGGUUAACUAACUAAUGUCAAGAAAAGAUAAAUAUUCAGAAUAUAAAUUGACGUAUCGUUUCAAUGAUCAGUUCUGAUUUUUAUAGGUAACCAUUUACUUGAGACCAAUGUUUUUCUCUUGAUAAGUUUUAGAUUUAUUUAAUUCAGCGUGAUUGCUUUAUCUUGUUUACCAUAGCAUAACCUAUAUAACUUUAAAACCCCUUCAAUUUCAUAUCAUCUAACGUAAAAACUUGAAUUAAACCUUUCUCGUGGGAUUGACCUCUUGCUUACUUUAUACUAUCUUGUUUAUUUAAGCUGGAAUAAUUAAUUUGUGUUCAAAACCCCUUCAAUUUCAUAUCAUCUAGCGUAAAAACUUGAAUUAAACCUUUCUUAUGGAAUCGAUCUAUUGCUUACUUUAUACUAUCUUGUUUAUUUAAGCUAGAAUAAUUAAUUUGUGUGACCGUGAUAUCACAAUAAUAAAAAUGAAAUUCUUCACCCAAAUUUCAAAUGAGCCACAUUUUUUAGCUUGGUCAUUUCUCUUUUAAUUGUGUCUUUGCGCUACAAAUUCAAACUUUAUCUCAUUAAAUCGAACUGUUCGGAAAUCUGACCGAAACCUUGAACUUCCGAGAAUAUACAAAUAGAAAAGACCAUAAAAAAAAAAGAAGAAGCCAUAAAUGACACAUGCAAAGUUGCAAAAAAAGCACUGAGGGUCUUGGCCUGGCGGUGGGAGGGGCUUGUCUCCUUCCACUGCUCCUAGGUUCGAGCCCUCAUGUGCACGUCUGUCACAUUUUUUUUUCUUUUUUUUUUAAUAAGAGCUUCAUCUCUUCAUCCUUUUCUAAACAAGGAAAAUCAGCUUGCAACUUGAAAGUCAGCAAAUAACAAAUGGAAAUCUAUCCUUGAAGUUUCUUCCAUACCACCCAUAUACUUUACCAUCAAAGAAUAAUAAUAUCUUACAACCAUGAAACAGGCAGUCAAUUCACCAUUACAUCUUACGUGUCCUCUAAGGAAUUUGUUUUUUUUCACAAUACGUAGGGAAUUAAGGAAGAAAAUGCCUACAAUGCUACAUCCAAAAGAAAGCUUCACAGCCGUCCAAUAAAUAACCCAAAUGAGAGGGGAAAGAACACAAAAGAUUAGCUUUCAACAGUCGUUCAACAAAAAGCUCCAAGGUGCUUCAUCUUUGACCAAAGAGAUUGGAAAUGACAAAGCACAUAAUGAUCUUGAAUAGAGUGAUCAUGUUAAAGUUUUAAAGCAGCAGAAGAAUGGUGAUGAGCAUAGCCAAAUUGGACAGGAAGAUGCACGCACCAAUCUUGGGCAGCCCAUUUGGAGCUCCUGGUGGUACUGCUGUAGCUCCACCACCUGGAACUGGGGGACUUGCUGUAUGAGAGGGCAAGGGUCCCUCCACAACAUCAGGUGCAGUUAACACUGGGUUUGGAGGCUCAGCUGGGGGCAAGGCAAAAGGUGGGAUUAGCGGCAUGAGACCGCCAGGCUGAGCAGGGCUCAUGUAAUGAGGUAAAACAUUAUAGCCCAAGCAUCGGUUCCCUGCAAUAAAAUGGAGCAAUGUGUUACUAAAUGGCAAACAGAUAUCACUUCAUGUCUGGUGGAUAAAUUUAUUAUGGAAUUUCCCUCAAAUCUGAAAUGAGACUAACACAAAUAAUGGCAGUUAAAUAUACUCUCAAGUCAUAUUGUAUGAUCCUAACCUGAUUUCUACACAUAACAUGUAAUAUGCGAACCUAUUUUUCUCAGCCUAGUACAGUAUGAAAUUAAACUGACAUUUUCAUGAGAACAAGAUCAUCUAAGGAAUAAUUUUUCCAGAACAUACAACUUCGUCCAGGAUUCACUCUGUAUUGUUGCAUAUAAACUAGAAACAUCAGUGACUUACUCUUGUAUCUGGCAGAAGUCAGAGGGAAUUCUGUGAUAACACCGCUGAUGUUGACUCCCAUGACGUAGGAGUUAAUUUCAACUGUUGAAUCUGAGAAGAAGUCCCAUGCCUGAGAUACAAACUCAUUGCUGAAAGUUUCCACAUAAACUGAGAGCCCAUGCGAUUGCAGCUUUGGCACAACAUUUGUAACACCACUGAGGAAUGAAGAACUUUCAGGAAAGACAGAAGCCUUGCUGAUGACCACAGAAUUAGCAAAGUCUUUGAUGUCCUUCAGUGCUGCAUCUUGAGCAUCUUGAAUAUCCUCUUCAAUCCGGUACACAAGCUCAUAAUUGCUUUCGUCCCUAAAUUUCAUUAGAACUGAGCUGUUGGUGGACUCAAUCAUAACUUUCUUGGAAGUUGGAUCAUCAUAACCAGCUAAGCUCAAGACUUCAAGUACUUUGUCAGUAAUGGGUAAUCCCUCUUUCUCUAUAAGAUAGGCUGCGUUCUGAAAUGAACAGAACAGACAACAAACAUCAGUCAGGGUGGGAACAACCUUCAUUUUUUCUACUGAGCUGCAUGAAAUGUGGACAAAAAUAAUAAUCACAUAUUCUUCUUUUUUUUUGGCUGCUGUUGAAGACCUUAUUCUAUUAUUCUAUGAGAGAAAUCCCCAGGCGUGCAAUUAUAGCUCAAAGGUCUGUACUAAGCAUGUGAGCUGCUCAUGAGACUAGAAGCAUGGCAGGAAGUUACGCCAAAGGAUGCGGUUAAUACAACCACAGGAACCAUUGUCAUCUUUAUUGCUACAAAAGAAAUGAAAAUGCAGAUCGCUAGCAGAUGAGAUAUCUGAAAUGAGCAACCACUGAAUAUGAUGGUCCAUUAAGUUCCAUCAACCAUGGAAACUAAUACCAUGUGUGAAAUGGUUUCCAAGUUGGGGAAGAAAAAUAAAAGAGAUAAUAUGUUCCACUAACAGAACUAACCAAUUAAGCACUGCUUUUGUUUUACUAAUAAGGUGUAGUGUGAUGAUAAAUUUGAUUUUGAUAACAUGCUUUCCAUCCAACAGGAAAAAUGUAAAAUUUCCACAAACAAUCAAAGGAAUAUCAAGUGCAAGCAGUUUAUGCAAGUUCAGAGUAAAAAUGCAGCAAAUGCUAUAGCAGGAAUCAGAUGAUUCAAACAAAGGAUCAUGUACGAGUAAUGUGAGCUUAGCAAAAACCCACCUCAAUGCUAAUCAAGACACCAGAAAGCGAGCUAGUGUUCUUUGCCAAUGCUAAGAAAUCAGACAAUGUUAGAAACUUCCCUAAAUUUUUGAAUUUGGGAUUCCGUAACAAUUCAUAUUUUGAAUAUGGAUUGGAAAUCACCGCUACAAUGAAAAAAGAAAAAGAUCAAUACAAUAUCAUUUUCUUCAAUGAAAACAUUUGGACAAUCAUACAUCCACAAAGAAACAACAUAUGGAAUUCAAACAACAACAACUAGAUUACAAAGCAGAAUUUAGAGUUGGGCAGGAGUCAAAAAAGAGAGCAGAGGAAUAUUUCUGUUCCUUUUCUCACAAAAUUCUACCUUUUAAAAUGUAAAGAGAGCAAAAUCAAAAGAAUGGUGCCAGGCAAAGGACAUUUGCGUUUAGUAUUGUUCCAAGAAUUGUAAUCUCUGUAAUUCUUUUCAUGUAUUUAUUCUCAAAUCUCAAGUGGUGGGAAUAGCUGGUUAUGAGAUCUUGUCUUGUGACUCCCACGACCAAGACAUUAUUUCCUUUGAGCCCUAGAUGGAUGUGUUUUUUUGGCUGGCCACUCUUUAUUUCUCUUCCUCAAUGUCCUAAAUUAUUUUAACUUUGCGAUCCAGUACUGAGCAUUCUAUUUUAACAGAAUGUGAGGAUUGAGUAAUGCCCCUCCACGUAAUUGUUUGUUCAUAGGCCAAGAUUUUUUCCCCCACUAAAAGGAAAAAAAAUUUAUAAAAAAAAUCAUGUUUUAUUGGGAAGGGGGUGCAACAGAAGAUUGAAAAAGCAAAAGAAGUAAAAGCCAACCAGUUUGAACUUACGAGUUAAGUUCUGAAUCUCACUCCAUGUUAAGCUAAAGGUGAAUAUCCCACUGCCUGCCUUAAUCUGUGGAAUAUUCUGUUCACGAUUGCUGUAAAUUGAUUGGGCAACUGUUGUACUGUCAUAAAGAUUUAUAGAGCCUAAGCAAAAUGGUAUCCCGUCUUUUGAUAUUUGAACAGGACAAUCAAUAACAUCAGCACCAUCUAAAAUAGCUUUCUGGUAAGCCAAAUCAGUGCAACCAGGGUAGUCUCCACUUGCACCAUUUUUUGAGAUGACCGAAAGGUUCACUGAACCAUGAGAAAAGGAGGACAGAAGAGCUAAGUACUAAUGUUCAAAAAAUGCAAUAUCCUUUGAAGUUAAAUCUCAUAUAAAAAGAAUCAGAAAAUAAUUUUGCACCUUGAGGUGUAGCAUUCUUGCCCAGACCAGAAAAACAAUCUGCAAUACAGAAGGAGAAAUCAGAAUCUCAAAAUAUUUAUUCUCCGGAUUAGGAGAAAUAUCCAGACAGAACUUAAGCAUUAUAAUCUUUAACUCCAACCGAAAGAUUACAGCUAGGAUAAGAAGAGAAAUUGUCUCAAUGGUUCUAUGAGUCAAUGAUAACAGCAGUCACAGUACUAAACCUUUUAAGUUCGACCAAAAUUUGAAUCAUGCAGUGAUAAGGAAUAAAGUAUCAAGCAUGUUCUGACAUGAGAAGCUAGAAGUAGCAACAGUUGAAAGUUAAAUGAUGGUAGGCAGGCUAACAACUGUUCCCAUAAAGAAAUUACUGCUAAAUGUCCAGUUAUUUAAGUUGAAAAACACUAGAUUGAACCAAUAGUUCACGGUUUGUUCAGAUCCAUGAUGCUUAAAGAGAAGGAUUACAGCUUACCAAUAGUCGCAGAAGGAGUUACUGGAAAGUCAGAGAGCACGCCAUCAACAGAGAAUUCACCAUUGUCAACAAAUCUGAGAUACUCAGUUACAGGAUCAUAACUGUAAUUGUAACUUAGUGGAACGUCAUUAUAAAAUUCUGAUACAAAAACCUCUAGCCCUGCCUUGUGUGCAUCCGAGACGAUAGAAGUAUGAGGUUGUAAGUAAUUACUUGCAUCUAAAGGCCAUAUGUAUGACUUAGGGAUAAGAAUUCCAGAUGCAAAUGUCUUGAUGAAAGUAAAGUUCUUUGAGAGAGAACCAUAUGUCUCAUUUGUUGAUGGCUCGAUGACAUUUGAUUCCAGAAACCGGAAGACCAGUUUUGUUAUAUUUAGGUUAAAUCUCUUAACAAUACUUCUCAAGAAACCCGCUUCUGGUGAUGAGAGAUGAUUAAUGACAACCCUUCUGUAUAGAGACAGUACAUAGCUUCUCAUACUCAAAUUGUGCUGUGUGAAGAAUGCAUCAUGCUGCAAAAGUAUCAGAACAAAAAGAUUUGGUUGAAAUAAUAGAUGGUAGUGCACGUUCCACUGAAUUAAAGGGAAGGGAAGAACAGAAACAACAGUAAAGAAGGCUUCAUGUUAAUAAGUUCAUAGAAGGUACUGGUGUAAGAUAAAACAGAAAUUAUAUUGCUUCUCUACCUGAAUAUUCAACCAUAAGCCUGGUGGUUUUAAGGUAGCCACAUCCUCAACAGUUUGGAUGGGAUAAAUGUAAUCAAACCUUUCACUCCGAGAAAAGAUUCCCUGAUUCACUGUCAAGGAAAAACAAUGUCAGAAUCAGAAGUUCAAGGCAGGAAUUGAGAAGUUAAGAAACAGUUGAUCCACACAGACUGGUAUGCUAAGAAAAUUUUCAUAGUCAAUCUCAUGAAGAUCAAUUUAGAUAAAAUCUCCUUCAGAGACUAAUGAGCAGGUCCCUAUCAGUAAAAUCUGAAGAUCAACAAUGGGAUAUCCAAAUCCAAAAACAAAACAACCCCCCAUUGGUUUUUUCUUCAAAUAUUUGAUUGAAGUAUCCUAUCUGCAAUAAAACUCUCAGUGUCUCUAAAUGACCUGAUGUUAUUAACUGUCUUUCAUGCUUGACCAUUACUAUCACUUAUACAUCAAGCAAACUUCACAAACAGAAGGACUAUAACAACAACAAUAAAUAAUAAGAAUGGAGAAUAAACAGCUUGUACUUUUGUGUUAUUCUUAUGCAAAUAAAAGGGGUAAGGUCUUGAGUUUGACUCCCGCCUUUGUCAAUUCAUUGCUAAUUUCAACAAAAAAUGAAAAGAAGGAAAUGGCAGCUGAUUCACUUGAUUCAUGCAAAUUUUUAGCAAUCAACAAUAAGAAAAUCUGGAUAUUUCAAAUGAUCACUUCAUGUAAUAAUAAUACUUUACAAGAAGUAUAGAAAUAAACAGGCUACCAAAAAAUGACCAAUAACCAUAUGAAGCAAGUUGUUGAAGUCUUAGCCAAACUCACAGGAUACAAGUGACAAUUCAUUGAGAGUGAAAUCCACUGUGAACCAUCCUCGGGUAGGAAUUCCAUUAACUAGGUACAACUUAUCCUUAUUUUGCAUAACUUGUGCAAUGCUAGUAGAAUUGUCAAGCCUGAGAUCAGGGGCACAAAUCCCCACACUAUCUUUAGUUAACUGCACAUCACACCAUAGGACAACACCCGGCAAACUUGUAAGUGUUGCAAACUGGAAAGCAUCUGAGCUAGAAUCAGGAAAUAAUCCUGAAAACCCGCCACGUGCUAUGACUAAAGGGGGAUUUCCUGCAGAAUGAAAUUAAUUAGUGAGCUUUUUUCAUUAUAAGGUCGAUUGACUCUACUCAAAUGUGUUAUAGGGUCAUAUUUUUAUCCAUGCAAAUUUACUGCAACACAGAUUGCAAGUUCACUAACCAAAAAUUGUUAUUGCAACACAAAUUACAUCAAAUUAUUUUGUGAGCAUAUAAGAAUUAGUUAAGUUGCAAGUUCAACAUUUUUUGGGUAUUCAUAAUAGAAAUAUUUUGGAAAGCACCAAGAAUCUUAUGAGUAGCCAUUUUUCUUGAAAGAAUUUUAUUGACCAACAUUCUUUUUUGUCAAUUUUCUCAACAAACUCAGAUUUAUAGAAACCUCCGGUUUUUGGAAAGCCAGGUUCAAGCAAAUUAACUAUCACAUAAAACAAUUGACUUAUCAGAACUUAGAGUGUGGGGAAAUGUAAAAAGAAAAAUGAAAAACCACCCACAACACCAAUAUCCAAAAGCCUGUAAUUCAUGAAAAAGAAAUGCAUGCACUUUUUUUUUUGUGUAUAAUGAACUGAACUGGUAGGAAUUUCAUAUAAAUUGAAGGUUUUCCAUAAAUGACAUGAUGUGAUUUCUCCAAGAAAAGAAAGAAAUUCAAGAAUUCAUUUUGCAUAAGCCCAUGAUGAGAUCAAAAUCAGCUUUCGAAAAAGAAAUCAAUUUUAAUCUUUGAAUUUAAAGUAAUCUUCAAGGCCCAAUACAAACAAGUUAUCUUAUUCUAGAAAUAGUAACCAUGUUGUUCCUUGCUAUUUUCUUAACUAAAGCUUAUUUAAAACGGUGUUUAACGAUCUAAGAUACCAUAAAUAAAAUUAUCACAAAUUCUACUAAUUACUCAUUUAUCAUAAAUCAAAUGUAAAAAAAAAAAAAAAGUAAAAUAUUGCAUCUCUUAUAUAUUUUCAAUAUUUAUUUAAGGCCAAAUCUUCAAAGACGGAAAGCAAACUCCCUACAAAUGCAACUAGCUCCUAAGCUGUAAUUCUAAAAUAGAAAAUCGAGCAUCACAUGCAUUUUCCUAGCAAACAAACACAAAAUCUAGAGGGAGAGAGAAAUCUGAGUGCGUGGUAGUGAGAGAAAAGCAAAGACAGACCGGUGAGUGUUUGCCAGGUAGUAGCAGAUCCCUGAGCAGAGACAACAACCACCAAUGACUGAAGUAGUAGUACAGCUAGUAGAGGAGUGAAGAACGAGCGUAAGUUACACAUUGCCGGAAAAUCUAGCCGGCGACUUGUUGGAGGAGCUUAAGCAAAACUCCGGCCAAUAUAUAUAUAUAUAGACAGAGACACCGACCAUUAAUCUUACUAAAACAAAUAUAUCAGAUAAUAUGUGGUAAAUUAACAAUUGAGUUGGACUAGAGAUCCCUAUCUGCCCACUCAGUGAUGGAAUCGGGAUGGCUCGAGCCACUGAGUAAAAGGUGACAAGUGCUGGUUGGAAGACAGCUAGAAUGGCGUCCACACCAUGAGCACAAACAAUCCGGCAACAGUCCACUUGUCAUGAUAUGAUUGGUUCUCCUAUUUUAGGAGAAGGUGACUUGUCAGCACGCAACGAGAAAACAAGAAGACAUCCACAAACGACAGAAGAUAUUGGAAAAAGAUGAUGGUGAACCAAUUGGCAACAAUAGUUUACAUUUAGGAGUCAAUAAAUAGACUUAUCAUUUUGACAUGACUAUUUUAAUAAUGACCCGUUGUUUUUUUAUAAUAAUUAUAUAUUUAUUUACUAAUUCUUUGUUUUAUAUAUAUUGUGGUUUUCUUGGGUUUUUAAUGGAAUAUAUAUAUAUAUAUAUAUAUAUAUAAACUAAACCUAGAGAUCUUUUCAUUAUACACGCAUGCAUUGUGCAUCCUUUUACAAAUUAUUAUUAAUUAAAUAAGUGAUCUUGUUUUUUUCAUUUUAAUCUCUAAUUUGUUUUUUUUGUACUGAAUCUUUUUCUAGCAAAGUUGAUAGUCAAUUGUUUCAAAAUGGUUAACAAAAGGCAAAAUUAAAGGAUAAAAGACUAAAGGGAAAAUAAAUGUUGUUUCUAUUGAUCUUUAAGUAAUACAUUUAUGAUUUUAUAUAUGUUUUGCCGAUAAUAAUAAUAUCAAAAUUAUACUAAUAAUAUGCUUGGUUGAGAAUAACUUUAAACUUGUUUUAUAUGAAGAAUAUCAACAAGCAUGGAUCAUGUCCAAGAAGAAAGCAAAACGAAGUAUUUAUUUUAGUGCUCAUGAUGUAAUCAUAUUAUUCGAUAGUUUCACCUACAUUUAACUAGUGUUUUGCCUAUGUUUUAUGUAUAAAAUGCCUUGAUAUUCUUUGUUUUAUGUUUUGAAGGCACCUUUAGAUGAAAGAUGCAAAAAGGAGUAAAUUGGAGGUAAUUGACAGAUUUGACCCUCAGUCGAUGUUUUGUGCAGAGCGUGAGUUCUAGAAGUCGAAAUGAAGUGAUUCUAGUGGCAUUAGAAAGAUAACAUCCAUACCUUUCUGGAAAUAUAAGUCAAGAAAAAUAAAAAUACAAAGAGCAUGGAAAUCACAUCCUUCAAAGUCAAAACUCGCAUUCUGCCAGUGUUGACCUUUGUCCAUUAAAAAUUCAAUAUCUGGAGCUACAGACAUCCAAUUGAUGCAAACUCAAUUGUGUUGGAUUCCUGACUCAAAUUCGUACAAACGCUCCAAAUUUCAGCCAAAAAAAAUGUCAUAUGAGGGAGAUAUGAUUUUUCAAAGAUGACAAUUGAAUUCUGCCAGCAAACAGGUUUCAUGAAGAAACGAAUCCAAAUUACAUCCCGAAGCAUCCAAACCGACAUCCAAGUUUUAAUUUCAGCAAUUUAGCUCCUCUAGUAAAUCAAUCCAGAAGGUCAAGGAAGGCAGCCACCAACCUCAAGCCACCAACCUCAAAUCACCAACCACAAACCAGCUGCCAACCACCAGCCACCAGCCGUCAGCCGCCUUCACACUACCACCAUCUAUCGAUGUUCACACUUGAACUUUGAUUCUUCUUACUUACAUUUUGUGUAUAAAUAGGCAGCUAAGUUUAUGCUAUGAAGAGAGCCAAUAGGGAAGGAAAGAGAGCCAAGAGAGGGAGAGGGAGUGCAGUGGAAUAAAAGAAAGAGGGGUGGCAGCCAUAAGAGAAGAAACACAAACUCUCCCCUCUACAAAUCAGAAAUCAUGUAUUCUUUCAUCUUUAGGAGUAGUUGUUCAAUAGAUAUGCAAGGCUAAGCUCGUUUUCUUGGUUGCAAGGACGCAAACACCUUCAGAUUUCAAGAACAAUGAGAUUUAUUCUUCCAUUUAUUUUCAGUUUGUAUUAUGAAUGAGUAUGUUUGUUUUCCUAUGCAUAUUUCCUGUGAUUGUUUAUCUUAAUUGCUAGAGCGGACUCUAAGUUAUUAUUGUGAACAAUUUAUUGCUAAGUUUGAUAUCAAAACCGGAGUUGUGGUAUAUAAACUUGUGAAGCAACUAAGCUUGAUAAUUGUAGCGGAACUACGUUAUUAAACUUAGGGAGAACAUUCGAUCAAAUGCAACACAAACUGACAACUUGGUUGUUAAGAUUAAUGACUUUAUCUAGAUCUUAAGGCUGCCAUUGGAUUAAAUCAUUAGUGCGGACACUGUGAUUGUUUGUUGGUUAGGGUUAAUUAUACAGCGGAUCUGUUAAUUAACCAACGUUAAGAAAAGAUAAAAAUUCAGAAUAUAAACUGGAGUUUCGUUUCAAGGAUCGGUUGUGAUUUCUGUUGGUGGAUGUGUGCUUGCGACCAAGGUUUGUUUUCUUGAUAUAUUUCAGUUUCAAUUGAUUUUGUUUAUUAGUGUAAUUUCUACCAUAGUUUAGAUCAUUGUAAAUCAAACCCCCCCAAUUACAUAACGUAUAGCAUAAAAAUCUGAACUAAACCUUCCUCGUGGGAUCGACCCCUUGCUUGCUCUAUACUAUCUUGUGUGUUUUAAGUUAGGGUAAUUAAUUUGUGCGACCGCGACAUCGCAACAGCUCAUGUGUAAAUCUUUAAAUACUACUUGAAAGCAGUAAUUAAAAUGAAUUCACACAUUUCACUUCACAUAUAUUUUAAAAGGAUUGAUAAAGCGGUUCUAAGAAUUCAUCAAGUUUAAAACUAUCAAAACUAGAAUUAUACAUGAACCAGUUGAUCAUUUGAUGAUACCAAAUGAACCGGUCGACUGCUUGCUCAUCAGGGAUGAACACCUAGAAAUUUAUAGAAACUGGUCGAUCGCUUCAGCCGUCAGUGGGUCUAACGACUGGUUUCUUUUAGAAACUUAUAAAUAGCUCUCAUUCUUGCAAAACUGUAAGAGAAUUCCGAACAUACAAUAUAUAGAGACUAUUUCAAAAGCAAAACUAGCUAGAAAUCAUCAAUCCUAACAUACUAUAAUGUUAUGCUAAAUUCAACCUUCAUAUUCUAGCACAAGAGUAUAAAUUCUCACACUCACUAUACUUAAACACUUUCAUACUUUCUAAGUGUUAUUUAGUGAGUUAUAGACAUCAUAGUUUUCAAUUGUAUUAUCUACUCUUUAAAAGAGUGUUGUCACAUUUCAAACAAUUGUAAACCUUCAAAAGUAUAGGUGAAAAACUCUUGGUCAUUGGUGAGGUGCAUCUACAAGGUAAAAAAUCUGAAGUUGAUAUUUCUUCAAGUGGUGAAUAAAGGGCUCAACAAGGAUUCAUCAAGGACAUUGUAAUCUCUAACUUGGAUUAGUAAAGAAUAUAGAGUCUAUAAUAAUAUAACACUGUGUCUUGAAGAAUUCAUGUAUGUUGUCUUCAAGGAAACUCAAAAUGAUAAAAUUGUUGAGAUUCUUUAUCACAUUAAUGAAUGUGGUCAACAUUUGAGUCUUAAUGAUAAGACCCCCAUGGAGGCUAACAAUAAAAAAAUAAACAAAGACCAACCAAGCACAAGUAAUCAAUAAGAGAUGGUAAGUAACUCUUUUAUUCCACCAAAAGAGUUAAGGUACAUAAUCUCUUACCUUUUUGAGUUAAUUAUUGACAACCAUUUUGAAGAACAAAGGCUAUAACUUCAUUUACAAAUAUAAAUGGUCAUUUUGUUUUUGUUUCAUAUAUAAAACCUAAAUCAUUUCUUGAAACUGAAAAUGAUGAUAAUUGAAUUUUAGCCAUGCAAGAUGAGUUAAACCAAUUCAAAAGAAAAUUAUGUAUGAGAACUAGUCCUUAGACAUAACAACCAAUUAAUUAUUGGAACUAAAUGGGUUUUUAGGAACAAAGUUGAUGAGCAUGAGACCAUUGUUAGAAAUAAAGCUAGACUAGUUGUCAAAAGUUAUAAUCAAGAAGAAGAUAUUGAUUAUAAAGAAACCUUUACACUGAUGGCUCGAUUAAAAUAAAUAAGAAUGCUUUUAGCUUUUUGCAUGCCAUGCUAAUUUUACACUUUUUUAAAUGAAUGUUAAAAGUGCAUUUUCAAAUGGUCUUAUUAUGGAAGAAGUGUAUGUUAAGCAACCUCAAGGUUUUAAAAACUUUCAUUUUCCCGAUCAUGUUUUCAAACUCAAAUAGGCUUUAUAUGGUUUAAAACAAGCAACAUGAGCAUGGUAUGAUAAAUUAAAAUCUUUUCUUAUUGAUAAUAGUUUUAACAUUGGUAAAAUUAACAUCACCCUCUUCACAAAGAGAAAAAGGUAAAGAUAUCUUGUUUGUGUAAAUAUAUGUUGAUGUUACUAUAUUCGAUGCUACUAAGGAAUCUCUUUGUAAGGAAUUUGCAGGAUGUAUGCAAGAUGAAUUUGAAAUGAGCAUGAUGGGAGAAUUAAAUGUUUUUCCUUAAAUUGCAAAUCAAACAAGCAAAGAAUGACAUCUUCAUCAACCGAAGCAAGUGUAUCAAAGAUCUACUAAAAGAUUUGGGAUGAAACAUGUCAAAGAAGUUGACACACCUAUAAGAACAUCAACCAAGCUUGAUAUGGAUGAAAAUGAUAAGAAUAUAGACAUCACCAAAUAUUUAGGUAUAAUCGGUUUAUUCUUAUAUUUAACUCCAAGUAUACUCGAUAUUAUGUUUUGUGUAUGUCUAUGUGGAAAUUUUCAAACAUGUCCUAAAGAAUUCCAUGUUAGUGCUAUAAAAUGAAUUUCUUUGAUAUUUGCAUGUACAAUUGAUUUAGGGUUGUGGUAUUCGAAAGGAAACGAGUUGAAUUUGAAUCGGUAUUCAGAUGUUGGAUUUAUUGGGUGUAAAGUUGAUAAAAAUAGUACUAAUGAAACUUGUUAUUUUAGGAUCAUCACUAGUAUCUUGGGCUAGUAAAAAACAAAACUCAAUAGCCCUAUCAACAACUGAAGUCGAAUAUAUUAUAGCGGGUAGUUGUUGUGCAUAAAGUUUAUGGAUAAAACAAACCUUAAAAGACUCUGGUCUUAAUUUUGAUAAUAUAUUGUUGGUUAAUUGUGUUUAAUUGUUUAUUUAAAUUAAUCACAAUAUUUGUAAAUAUUAGUUGAACACCUAAUUCAACUCUUUUAGGUGUUAUUAUUGCCUUAAUCUUAGAACAACAAUUUCCAAAAAUAUACGUUACUCCUCCUAUUUUUCACUUUAUCACUUUUUAGCCCUUUUAGUUUUUUAAAAUGCAUUUUAGUCCAAAAUUUUAUUUUUCUUGUUUCUUAGUCUUUGUUUUAGAGUGGAGGGAUAAAUUCGUUAGAUUCCAAUGAUAGAGAGAGAAAAUAUUUGUUGACAUCAAUUUAGAUCACUAAAAAAGUCAAUUUUGAUGUUAAUGGGUUCCAAUCGAUGAGAUGAGUUGUAAUGGGGUGUUAUUUGGCCUUCCUAUUGCUUGAGAUGAUAUAUUUGAGCUCAACAAGGUUUUUGAAUUCUGGUUGAUUUUAGGUUUAUGGACAUGUUUUUAGGUUAUUUGAUCCCAUAAACAAGCUUAACAAGGUCUUUAGGGUAUUUUCUAAGUGUUUUAGGUCACAAAUAGGUUGAAAAAAUAAAUUUUAUGAAAAAAAUACUACUACCCUAAUUUUUCAGCGACUCUCUAUUCGUUGGAUUCUGGAGACGUAGAUGACAUGUCUUUUGCCUCGUUUUAUUUUUUAAAUAGUGAGCAGACGAUGUGUUGUCCACCCUCUAUUAUUAGAAAAAAAAAAAAAGGCUCAACGUGCCAGCCAUGCCUAUGUUUAUGGGCCAGAUGUGUGGCUUGGCCUGCGCACUUGGCUGAAUUGAUAUUUUUUAAAAUGAUAUUUUUUUUAAUGCUUUUUUAGCUCUUUAAAAUUAAAAAAAAAUUUCGUCCUUCGUCAUUUAAGUUUCUCUUUUUGUUAUUUUCAUUAAAAAAAAAAAACCUUUUUGUUUAUCCAACUUUAAAAAAGGCUAUUUUUUCUUUUUUUAGCCCCACACUUCGUGUGACUAAAUAAAGAAUAAUUUAAGAGAUAGAAAGUUAUUAAAUUCAAUAUGAUACAUGACCCAAAUCAUGAGUUUAAUAGGUUGAUUUAAAUUUACUUGGGUCUUUUUUUUUGUCUUUUUUGAAUUGAAUAUUUUUAAUUUUUAAUUUAGUCUUUCAACAUUCAGUUCCUUGGGUAUUGAGCCUUGUUAUUUGUUUUGAUUUGCUUUAGAUGGAUUAUCAUGGUCUUAUGAUUUAGGUUGCAAAUUGAGCUGGUUAAUCUUGAUUAACUCAGGUCGAUCUAAUAUGUUGUUGUUACAAUAUUUGAGAAAAUAAUUAUUCAAUAUAUCAUCAUCUCAAUAUUAAAAAAAUAUAUCAUAAAAUAUGUGUUGGAUUUUGUAUUCAUGAUUAAUUCUUUUUCAGAAAACACAUCAUCAAUCCCUAAAGGUUUUUUUUUUUUUUUUUGCAUUAGAAAAAAAGAUUUAUGGAAAAGUGUGUUUUUAAAAUCUUUCAGUUCAAAAAUAUUGUUAUUGUUAAAUAAAAAUAAUAAUUUCUUUCCCCUCAAGAUUGUGUCGCUCAUCCAAAAUGAUUAAUAUAAUCAUAAUAUUUUUUUAUUUUUAAAAAAUAUUAAAUUGAUAAUAAUUUUAAUGAUUUUAAUAAAAAAAUAAAAAGUUAUUUUAAAGUGUUUUUACAUAUUAAUAAACAUUUUAUACACAAUUAUUAUGCUGCCAUCAACAUUUACAUUAAAAAAUAUAUAACUCUCUUUCACUAUAGUCAAAUAACCCUCGAAGGUUUAUCCUUUUAAUAAAUUAUUGUAUUUGGUAUUAGUUCAUCUUAAAAAAAAUUAUAUGUUUUUUAUACAUAUCAUCAACAAGUUUGGUUAUUUUCUAUUUCCAUAGCCGAUUUUAUCUUAUGACAAUAUUAUAAAGAGAGGUUUAUCAGCUUUUAUUGCAAACUAAAUUCUCUUCUUCUUCUUUUUUUCUAUUGAUACUCAUCUAAAUUUUAGGCUAACAUAUGAAUUUUAAAACGUUUAUUUUUAUUUUAAAUAUAAACAAAAAUAAUGCUAUAUAAUUGAUUAAUUUUUAGAAUUAGAAAAACUAUUUAAUUUAUUAUUAAAAUAAAAACCAAGAGACUAAUUUAUAAUUUAUUGUGUUAUUGAGUUUAUUUGUCUAAAAAUAUGCAAUGUGUAUUUAUGAUAUGUUAAACCGUUUAUUAUUGUGGUAAUUUUUAUUUUUUUAUUUAAUUAUAAAGAAAUUUUUUUUUGAUUAGUCAAAUAAUUUAUAUUUUUAAAUUGAACCCCACAUAUAAUUACAUUUCAAACAUUAAUUUUAUAAAAACUAAAAUAAUUUUUUUAUCUCACAACAAUUUUAACUAAACAGUUUAUAUUUUUAAAAUUACUAAUAAAAUUACUUAUUAAAUUCUUUUUUAAAAAAACUGCAAUUGCAUAAGCUAAACACUACCUAAUCUAACUUGCGUUUUGAAUUUUGUUAUCUUGACGGUGAGAUCAGCUGGCUUAAGGUUUUUAAAUUAUUUGACUGGAUGAUGAGCUGAGAGAGGUUUCUAUUAUCAUUACUUGUUAUUUUAAUGAAAGCUUCGUGUAUUCAAUUCAUGGAAGUCUGUACAAUGACAAUAAUGCCCUGAGGUAAAAGGAUUGGUGAGGGAGUUCCAUUUGUGUUACGGUGAACCAUACUUCUAACCUUCUUUUUUUAUUUUAUUGUAUUAGUUGCGAAUAAGUUCUUUAUUAUAUUUGAUUAUAGGAGUAAUUGACUGAUUUAUUUUUAUACAUUGGAUAGUAUUCUUUGACAUGUUCAUCCUUAUAUAUUUAUUAUUUUCUCCCAUAUAUUGUUUUUUUAUUAUUAUUUGAUAAAAUACCCCUCAAAUUAUAAGAACAUUAAAAAAAAAGGGUGAAACUUAACUAUAAAAAAUUAAAGAAACUUGAAAACUUUAGGAAAAGAACUUACAAAACAUAAUAACAAUAAAAAGAAAAAAGAAAAAAAAUGAAAGUACCUAGUAAAAUCUAAAGGUUAAAAAAUUGAUCUGAUUUUGUAGGACACGAGUUCUAAACAUUUUUCAUUAGUCUCUAUGUUUUUUCUAUAUUUUUAUUAAUUAUUUUAAUUUUUUUGAAAUAUUCAAAGUUUUUGUCUUUCUGAAUUUUUUAAUUUUUUUAGUUUUUUUGUUCUUAGAUUCGGUUAAUUUUUUAAAAAAUUGUAAUUUUUUAUAUCCUUAUAAAUAUAUAAGGAUAUAUGAAUUUUAAGAAAAUUCUCACAUGGAGAAAUAUGUUCAAGGAUCGAUGAAUAUAAUGUCCUUAAAUCAUAUCUCUCUCUUUUUGAAAAUUGAAAUUCACUUGCCAAUAAUUAUUCUUCUAACUUGAAUUUUGAUUUUCAAUUAUAAAAUUUUCUUUCUUUUCUUUAUUUUUUCCUAAGAAUAUAUUUAGAAAGUUUGUUUUCGUGUUAAUAAUUUUAAUGUGUUAAUAUAUAUAUAUAUAUAUAUAUAGACAGAGACACCGACCAUUAAUCUUACUAAAACAAAUAUAUCAAAUAAUAUGUGGUAAAUUACCAAUUGAGUUGGACUAGAGAUCCCUAUCUGCCCACUUAGUGAUGGAAUCAGGAUGACUCGAGCCGCUGAGUAAAAGGUGAUGAGUGUUGGUUGGAAGACAGCUAGAAUGGCGUCGACACCAUGAGCACUAACAAUCUGGCAACAUUCCACUUGUCAUGAUAUGAUUAGGGGGCGCAUUGAGGGAAGCAAAAUGCGUGGAAUGGUUCUCUUAUUUUAAGAGAAGGUGACUUGUCAACACGCAAAGAGAAACAAUAAGACAUACUCGAAUGACAGAAGACAUUGGGAAAAGAUGAUGGUGAACCAAUUUGCAACAAUAAUUUACAUUUAGGAGUCAAUAAAUAUACUUAUCAUUUUGACAUGACUCUUUUAAUAAUGACCCAUGGUUUUUUUAUAAUAAUUAUGUCUCCAAUUUUUAAAUUUAUAUUUAUUUACUAAUUCUUUGUGUAUAUACAUAUUGUGGUUUUCUUCGGUUUUUUAUGGAAUAUAUAUAUCAACAAAAACAAAAAAAGGAACUAAGCCUAGAGGUCAUUUACUGGACACACCUGCAUUGUCCAUCUUUUUACAAAUCAUUAUUGAUUAAAAAAGUGGUCUUUUUUUUAAUUUUAAUCUCUCUUUUUUUACUGAAUCCUUUUCUAGCCAAGUCGAUGGUCAAUUAUUUCAAAAUUGUUAACAAAAACUAAAAUUAAAGGAUAAACGACCAAAGAGAAAAUAGGUGGUUGUUUCUAUUGAUCUUUAGGUAAUAUAUUUAUGAUUUUAUAUAUAUUUUGAUGAUGAUAAUAAUAUCAAAAUUAUAUUAAUAAUAUGCUUAGUUGAGAAUAAGCAUUAAACAUGUAAGAAUACAUCAACAAGCAUGGAUCAAGUCCAAGAAGGAAGCAAAAUGAAUUUUUCAUUUUAGUGCUCAUAUAUAAAUCUUUAUAUCCUACUUGAUAAUACUAACAAAAAUGAAUUCACACACUUCACUUUGCAUACAUUUUAAAAGGAUUAAUAAAACGGUUCUAAGAAUUCAUCAGGUUUAAAACUAUCAAAACUAGAAUUAUGUGUGAACUAGUUGAUCGUUUGGUGAUACCAAAUGUUAUUUAGUGAGUUAUAGACAUCAUAGUUUUCAAUUGUAUCUACUCUUUGAAAGAGUAUUGUUACAUUUCAAACAAUUGUAAACCUUCAAGAGUUUAGGAGAAAAACUAUUAGUCAUUGGUGAGAUGCAUCACCAAGGUAAAAAAUCUUGAAGUUGAGAUUUCUUCAAGUAGUGGAAAAAAAAGGGCUCAAUAAGGAUUCACCAAGGACAUUGUAAUAUCUGGCUUGGAUUAGUUAAUAAUAUAAUACUCAAGACCGGCUUGGUGCAUGAGGUGUGGAUGUGAGUUUGUUGAACCACAUUAAAAAUCGAGUUUGCAAUCUCUCUUCCUUAUCCUUUUACUUUACGCAAUUUAAUUAUAUUGUUGGUUAAUUGUGUUUAAUUGUUUUUUAAUUAAUUGCAAUAUGUGUUAAUAUUAGUGGAACAUCUAAUUCACUCAUUUAGGUGUUAUUGUUACCUUAAUCCUAUAACAAUAAUUGGCAUUAGAGUCUGGUUCUCAUUUAUAAGUUUGCUUAGACUUUGAGUAGAAUUGCAACCAUUAGUUUUAAUGUACAAAAUAAAGGAUCAUCAACCUCUAGGCCACCUUUCUUUGAUGGUAAUGACUAUGCCUAUUGGAAAGCUAUGAUGAUUCUAUAUCUUCAAUCGAUUGAUUAUUGAUUAGUACUUAAAAGUGCAUUUUUAUCAAGGUUUUAUAUCAUCAUUUUGCACUUGAAGUAUCUAUAACUCCUUAACUAAAGCAUGUUUUAUAAUAACAAGUCUGAUACCAUAAGAUACCUUUAAUUUAUGGUAAAUGUUUAUCUUAAAUGCAGGCCUAUCACAUAAAUGAAAGGAUUGAUUGAUGAGUUUAAGUACGGAAAUUGAAAGGACAAAGAGAGGGCCAAACUUAGUAAAGAGAUGUUGGUUCAGUCCAAACUGGAACACUGUUCGGUCAUCGGGUCAUAUCUGGAGCUGUAGAUCUUGGAUUUAUGUCUGCCUUAUAUGGAUGGAAAGCUAAGAAAUAGGCCUAAAACUUUCAUGGGAGUCCAAGAUUUAAAAAGGCUGUUUUCAAGUCCAAAUUGUAGCAACAAUGGAGAAGUCUGAAUCUGUCCUGCAGCCCAGACACUGUUCAAUGUUUAGCCCAUAUCUCGAGUUUUAGAACUCCAAAUGACCUCCAAUUUUUAACCUGGAAAGCUGAGACAAUUUCCUAGAACUUUCAUGAUUUAAGUCUGUUCAAAUUAUGAUGUUAUCAAUUACGUUUUUGGCAGACAAUAAGAUAAGGAUUGUCACCAAGUCAAGAUGUGGCCACCUACUCAACAAUUAGUCAACAAAUCAAUAAUUCUGAAUUUUGGCCUAUAAAAGGAGGUAUUUGCCAUGUAUUUAGGCAUCUUGGUUUUUAGAUCAAGAUCAUGCUCUUGCUCUCUCUUUAUAUUUUGUAAUGCUUAAGUUUUGCUUAUAUUAAUCUCUUACUUAUGCUUUUCAUUUCCUUUCCUUGUUUAUUUAUGUUUCUCUCUUUCAUUAUGUUUAGUUAAGUUUAUCAUGUCAAGGUGAAAAGGUUACACUAAUGGUGUAAGAAUAAGUAUAAUAUAAACUCAACAUGGACCUUAAUAUUUGAUACUAACAUGUUUUAUAUUUGUUAUCUUGUUCACUUUUAAUACUUUGCUUGUUAAAUGGUUAAUCUAGAUUUAUGUUGUAUAACCCUUGGUAGAACAAAUACUUGGCACUUUCAUAGCCCAACCAUAUGGUAUAACCGACACCUGUGCUAUGAAAGGAAUUUGAUUUGUUGUUAACAUAAGUUAUAAUCAUGAAUGCCUGACAACAUUUACAAGUAUUAGCAUUAUUCAAAUAAGAUAACUAAUGUAAUCAUGUUAAUAAUUUAUAAUCCGAUUGGAACCUCCUUUGUGUGUGGUUUCCAGUUGAGUAAUAAAAAGAGUUUAUACUAUACUUGUUUGAAAUACCAUUAGUGGAUCCUCUAACCUUGACAAUUAUUUUAUCAUUGUUUAAUCUUUAUAUCAAUAUCACAUCUCAAAGCUCUCUUUGUUAUUAUUAUUGUUGUUGUUGUUGUUGUUGUUUAUAAUUUAUACAAUUAACCUCCUUGUGGUUCGACCCCGGUCUUGCCGGGUUAUUUAUUACUUCGACACUCCUGCACUUGGGAGAAAACAUCAAUCUUUUGGUCGUGUCAAGUUUUUGGCGCCGUUGCCGGGGAGGUAAAUUCUUGUAAAAUUAUAAUAUUUAUUUUAUUUUCUCUUUUCACCUUUCAUUUUAUCUAACUUUUGUUUUGUUUUGUUUUGUUUCCUUUUCUUUUCUUCUUUUUAUUCUCUUCCUACACGUGCACGAGAGUUUGGUCACGUACAUUAAGUGGUAGACUUUGUAGGGUAUCCUUAUCAUUUUCAGAAAAUAUGGCCGAAGAAGAUAACCAGUCGCUUCAUAACGAGAAUAAUGAGAAUAUUCGUGUUAGAACACUUAGAGACCACAUGAAUCCCACAAGAACAAGUGCACCCUCAUGCAUAGUUUUUCCUCCUGAUGCAUCUCAUUUUAAUUUUAAGCCAGGCAUUAUUCAACUUUUACCUUGUUUUCAUGGCUUAGAUUUAGAAAAUCCAUACUUGCAUUUAAGGGAAUUUGAGGAGGUCUGUAACACCUAUAAUGACUCAAAUUAUAGCAUGAACACCAUCAGGUUAAAGCUUUUUCCUUUUUCAUUAAAAGAUAAAGCUAAAACAUCUACAAAAUUUGAGACCAGGAUCUAUUUGUGCUUGGGAUGAAAUGCAACAAUAAUUUUUAAAGAAAUUUUUUCCAUCUCCCAGAACAAACUCUUUCAAAAAACAAAUCAUCACUUUCACUCAAAAACCAAGAGAAACAUUUUACCAAUGUUGGGAUAGGUAUCGAGACUUGCUUAAUACUUGCCCUCAUCAUGGUUUUGAGACAUGGAGAUUAGUUUCACAUUUUUAUGAAGGGUUAACACCUAGAGAUAGGCAAAUGGUUGAAUUGAUGUGCAAUGAAACUUUUGAGGAUAAAGACCCUAAUGAAGCAAUGGAGUACCUAGACUUGCUAGCUGAAAAUGCUCAAAAUUAGGAUACUACAGGCACUUAUGAGGCACCAAGUAAAACCCAACCUCAUACAUCUAGUGGAGGUAUGUACAACCUUAGGGAAUAUCAUGACCUCCAAGCCAAGUUUACAUCUUUAGCUAGAAAAGUUGAGGCACUAGAAUUAAAAAGGAGUGGUCAACUAAAAUCUGUUCAAGACAUUGUGUGUCAAAUCUGUGAAACUAAUGAACAUUCAACCAAUGACUGUCCAACUUUGCCUUCUUUUAAGGAAUGUCUCCAUGAACAAGCUCAUGCUUUAAACAGUUUCCAAAGGCCCAAUCAUAACCUAUACUCGCAAACAUACAACCCUGGUUGGAGAAAUCACCCAAAUUUCAAUUGGAAGAGUGAUAAUAAUAAUGCACAAACUUCACAGCCACCGUUUCAAGCACACCAUAAUUUUCAAAAUUCUCAUGGAUAUGCACCUCCUUAUGCUCCACCUCCUAGAAGAAAUCUUGAGGAAACAUUGCAUGCAUUCAUUGAAAAGCAAGAGACAAUCAACACUCAACUUGCUCAAAGCAUGACAGAUUUUAAAGAUACUCUUGCAAAAUUGACAUAUGCUCUCAGUUUUCAAGAGAAAAGUAAGUUUCCAUCUCAACCAUAACAAAAUCCAAAGGGGCAAUACAAUGUGAAUGCAAGUAGUUCUGGAAGCCAACACAUGGAUCAAGCCAAAUCAGUCAUCACUCUUCGCAGUGGUAAGGUUAUUGAAAAACCCAUUCUUGAACCUUGUGAGAAAGAUGAUGAGUCAAUCUCUGAGGGUAAGGAAGGGGUUGAAUCUGAACAUUGCAAAAAAAAGACUGAUUCCCCACCAACACUUCCAUUUCCUCAUGCCAUGACCAAACAAAGAAAAGUCAAUCACAACUCUGAAAUCUUUGAAACUUUCAAACAAGUAAGGAUCAAUAUACCUUUGUUGGAUGCUAUUAAACAAGUUCCUUCUUAUGCUAAAUUUUUUAAAGAUCUGUGCACUGUGAAGAGAAAACUGAAUGUGAAAAAGAAAGUCUUUUUAUCCGAACAAGUAAGUGCCAUUCUUCAGAACAAUAAUGCUUCGAAAUAUAAAAACCCUGGUUGUCCUACAAUUUCAUGCUUUAUUGGAGAACAUAAAAUUGAAAGAGCUUUACUUGAUCUUGGAGCUAGUGUGAAUUUACUUCCAUAUUCAGUUUUUUAAAGUCUCAAUCUAGGUGAGUUAAAACCAACUUCUGUAACUCUUUUACUUGCCGAUAGAUCUGUAAAAGUGCCUAGAGGAAUACUUGAAGAUGUGUUAGUACAAGGCGAUAAAUUCAUUUACCCUGUGGAUUUUAUUGUCUUGGAUACACAACCUGUUGAAGCAUGUAAUUCAUUUCCUGUUAUUUUAGGACGUCCGUUUCUUACAACUUCUAAUGCAUUGAUUAAUUGUAGGAAUGGACUGAUGAAGCUAUCAUUUGGAAACAUGACAUUGGAGAUGAACAUUUUCAAUAUUUGCAAGCAACCUGGAGAUGAUAAUGAUUUACAGGAAGUGGACUUUACUGAAAAAUUAGUUCAUGAUCAAUUUCAAACCACUUCUAGUGAAACUGAGAUUGAUGAAUCUGACGAUUUGCAAAUGGUUUAUUUUCAGGAAGAAUCAAAGGAAAAUAGUUGGAGACCGAAAAUUAAGGAAUUGCCACCACGAUCAAUUGAGUCCAUACCUUCAAGUGUUCAACCACCAAAACCUGAUUUGAAGCCCUUACCAUUCAAUCUCAAAUACUCAUUUUUUGGAGAAAAUGAAACUUUUCCGGUAAUAAUCUCUUCCAAACUUAAUGCACUUCAAGAAGGUAAGUUAUUACAAACUCUGAAAAUGCACAAAAAUGCAUUAGGAUGGACCAUAGCUGACAUAAAAGGAAUUAGUCCUUUGAUUUGCACACACAGGAUUUAUUUGGAGGAAAAUGCUAAACCCUCUAGAGAAAUGCAACGAAGGCUUAAUCCUAAUAUGAAAGAAGUAGUGAAAAAUAAAGUCAUUAAGCUUCUAGAUAAUGGAAUCAUUUAUCCUAUUUCUGACAGCAAAUGGGUAAGUCCUACCCAAAUUGUACCCAAGAAGUUUGGAGUCAUUGUGAUAACAAAUGAGAAAAAUGAGUUAAUUCCAACUAGGACUAUUACUGGUUGACGCAUGUGCAUUGACUAUAGGAAACUUAAUUCAAUGAUUAGAAAAGAUCAUUUUCCUUUACCUUUCAUGGAUCAAAUCCUAGAAAGAGUUGCAGGUCAUGAAUUUUAUUGUUUCCUAGAUGGUUAUUCAGGUUAUAACCAAAUUGAAAUUGCAUUGGAAGAUCAAGAGAAGACUACUUUCACAUGUCCAUUUGGUACUUUUACAUAUCGAAGGAUGCCUUUUGGAUUAUGCAAUGCACCAGUCACAUUUCAAAGAUGCAUGCUCAGUAUAUUUAGUGAUAUGGUUGAACGUUUUCUUGAAAUUUUUAUGGAUGAUUUUUCUGUUUUUGGCGAUUCAUUUGAUGAUUCUUUGACUAACUUAGAAAAGGUUUUGAGCAGGUGUGAAGAGAAGAAUCUUGUACUGAAUUGGAAAAAAUAUCACUUUAUGGUAACAAACGGCAUUGUACUUGGUCACAUUGUUUCAUCGAAAGGAAUUGAGGUUGACAAAUCUAAAAUCGAGUUAAUUGCUAACACCAAAAUCUGUUAAAGAUGUUAGAUCAUUCUUAGGACAUGCUGGUUUUUAUAGAAGGUUCAUCAAAGAUUUUAGUGUGAUAUCCAAGCCCUUGAGUAACCUUCUAACAAAGGAUAAUAUUUUUGAAUGGACUAAACAUUGUGAAGAAGCCUUUGUUAAACUGAAAAACUUGCUUACUUCUUCUCCUGUCAUUCAACCUCCUGAUUGGUCAUUACCUUUUGAAAUAAUGUGUGACGCUAGUGAUUAUGUUGUGGGUGCUGUCUUGGGACAAAGAAAAGAUAAGAAACCUUAUGUGAUUUACUAUGCAAGUAAAACUUAAAUAGUGCUCAAAUGAAUUACACCACCACUGAAAAAAGAAUUACUUGCAGUAGUAUUUGCAUGUGAAAAAUUCAGGUCUUAUCUUGUUGGCUCACCUGUUAUUGUUUUUAGUGAUUAUGCAGCAUUGAAAUAUCUUCUUUCUAAGAAAGAUUCUAAAGCUAGAUUGGUUCGGUGGAUUUUGUUACUUCAAGAAUUUGAUAUCACAAUCAAAGACAAGAAAGGCACCGAAAAUUUUGUCGCAUAUCACUUGUCAAGAUUGACAACAGAUUCGAGAUCUGACAUCACACCAAUCAAUGACUACUUUCCCGAUGAAUCUUUAUUUUUUGUCUCUACAAUGCCUUGGUAUGCUAAUAUUGUUAAUUUUCUUGUUUCAGGACAAUUGUCAGCUCAUUGGAGUACCCAAGACAAAAGAAAGUUCUUGAACGAAGUAAAGAACUUUUAUGGGGAUGACCUUUAUUUAUUCAAAUAUUGUCCUGAUCAAAUAUUUCAAAGAUGCAUUCCUGACAAUGAGGUAAGUAGUAUCAUUAAAUUUUGUCAUUUUGAGGCAUGUGGAGGUCAUUUCUCAUCAAGAAAGACCACUGCAAAAAUCUUACAAAGUGGAUUUUACUGGCCCACCAUGUUCAAGGACUCACAUGCAUUCUGCAACACUUGUGAAAAUUGUCAAAAGUUGGGAUCUAUUUCAAAACGUCACAUGAUGCCUUUAAAUCCUAUUCUUGUCAUUGAGAUCUUUGACUGUUGGGGUAUAGAUUUCAUGGGUCCAUUUCCUCCAUCAUUUGGUUUCUUGUACAUAUUAGUCGCAGUAGAUUAUGUUUCAAAAUGGAUAGAGGCAAUUCCAAGUCGAAACAAUGACCACAAAACAGUGAUAAAGUUCUUGAAAGAAAAUAUUUUGAGUCGAUUUGAAAUCCCUCGGGCCAUGAUAAGUGAUGGUGGAACACAUUUUUGCAACAAGUUAUUUGAGUCUUUAAUGAAAAAAUAUGGAAUCACACACAAAGUUGCCACCCUUUAUCACCCUCAGACAAGUGGACAAGUAGACCUUGCUAAUAGGGAGAUCAAACAGAUCUUGGAGAAAACAAUAAACCUUAAUACGAAAGACUGGUCUUUAAGACUUAAUGAUGCACUUUGGGCUUAUCGAACUGCAUAUAAAACAUCAUUAGGUAUGUCACCUUAUAGAUUAGUCUAUGGAAAACCUUGUCACUUGCCUGUGGAACUUGAACAUAAAGCUUGUUGGGCUAUUAAAGCUUUCAAUUCUAACCUUGAUGAUGCUAGUCAGCUGCAAAAAUUAUAAAUAAAUGAGCUUGAGGAAAUAAGAAAUGAUGCAUAUGAGAAUUCAAAAAUUCAUAAAGCAAGAAUCAAAGAGUUUCAUGACAAGAGAAUCUUCAGAAAAACAUUUGAUGUUGGUCAAAAAGUUUUGCUUUAUAAUUCUCGACUCCAUUUAUUUCCUAGAAAGCUAAGAUCAAGAUGGAGCGGUCCAUUUAUUGUGAAACAUGUGUAUCCAUAUGGGGCCUGUGAUAUCGAGAAUCCAAAGAAUGACAAUGUUUUCAAGGUAAAUGGACAUUGUUUGAAAGUUUGUUUUGACAAUUUUUUAGUUGAAAAUGACUCUAUUGAAUUAAGUGAUCCUGUAUAUAAAGAUUGAUUCUUUUUCUCACAUUGUUUUGUGUUUCAUUUUGGUGUGAAUUUUGUUUUGCUAGUCUCUCUCACCCCGGUCAAAUGGCGGAUAACAGUACUCCAUGACUUAAGUCGGUUCUUUCAGUUUCCCAUAAUAACUGAUAUAUGUAUAUAUUUGUGCAAUUCUUUGCUCUUUCUCCCUUCUUUGAAUAUCUUCUCCAACUCUCAUUUGAAAAUGGACACCACUCUUGAAAAAUUGAAAAAGUACUUUCCCGCUCUGCCUUAGAAUGCGAUUACAAAAAUUUACCGUGCUAGGUGUGCAAGAUUGAGGUUGUUAAUGAAUCAUGGAAUUCCUGAAGAUAUUCGUUGGCUGAUUGAAGCAAAGAUCUGAUUAUCAGGUGAGUACUCCAAUUCUUUCAUCUCAUACAUGCCUGGAACAGGUAAAAGCACUUUUGCAAAGAAACGUCGUGCAAAACGACUGAAACUCUACCACCGAUGUGCCAGAUGGACUUGUAAUGCAACAUGUCGUUCUUUAGGAAUGGUAUCUAUAAACCGUGAAGAUAAAAUACAAUUCAUUAAGGAUGGCCUGAGUAAGGGGUCUUUAGAUAAUCUUCUAUUGACUCUUGAGACGCAUCCUGGUGGAGAUGUGCAUCGUGCAAUUCAUGAUUUAUGGCCACAAUUCCAUAAAGAACAUGAUAGACUUAGUCUUGGGAAUCUAACUAUAAAAGACCCUGUUUGCCAGUUUUUAAGAAAACUGGAUGGGAAGCCUAUCCCCGACCCAUAGAGGGCGUUUAAGCUGUUCUUGGACGUAAAACCAAGGGAAGAUGUGAGCCACAAUCACAACUACCUGUACAUACACAUGCUUUUUCAAAAUAAGUAAGUAAAUAAAUAGAGAGAGUGUGUGAGACUCCAGCUAGCCUACAUAUAAGUGGUAUGAUUGUAUUUUUAAUUUCUCAUCUAUAAAAUAUUUUCUUUCUUCCCUUCAUUUCUACUUAACCCAUACAUUCAACUCUUAUUAGGAUGGCAGAGUAAGGAGGAAUUUUAUUGACUCUUGAGACGCAUCUUAGUAAAUAGUUUUAUCAAGGCCUAUCAGAAUACUUCUUGAAAUAUUCAUGUUUACAAACUCUCGCAUUGUUAUCACUUGAUUCUGCUCAUAUACUCAUUUAACAAGUAUUCUUAAACCUUUAUUUUCACACACACACUCUAACAUAUGAUUGUGGGUCACACAUUGGAUUAUUACAUUAUUUAUGUUCUUUUGUUAAAGGUAACAACUAAGGAAAAAGGGAUAGUAUAUAAUUUGAAAAAAAAAACAAAUUGAUAAUAUUGAUGAUAAUAAAAACGUAGAUAAGUUUGGUUUCGUAGCCUCCCUAACCUAAGCAAUUAAGCCCGAAGAGGUGUUUUAACACCUAAUACCCUAAAGUCAACUGACUUGGGAGCUAUUGGUCCAAAACUUGUUACAUGGGUUAAGGAGAAAAGCUUAAGAAAAUCAAACAUUGCAUUAUCUACGUAUUAGUAUCUGCAACUCAAGUUACUAAGCUCGUAGGGGUGUCUCAACACCUAAUGCUCUAAGACCAACUGGUCUAGGAGUCAUUAGCCGAAAGCUCGUUACAUGGGUUAAAGAUGCAUUGUAUUUUAAGUUAUAUGUAUAUAUAUUUAAAAGAAAAAAAAGAGAAAAAAAAAAGAAAAAAAAGAAGAUAAUAAUCUCAACCCAAGAAAGUUAACCUUAAACAUUAGAAUAGAAUAUUAUUUUCUUCCAAUAAAAGCCCCAUCAUCUAUGUUUUCAUACAUUGAGCAUAUAAAAAGGAAGAUUUAUUAAUAUUUUGUUUAAGAGAUAUUGAGCAAAUAUAUAAAUUUAAUGAGAGUUUGUUUAUCUGGAUAGAUUAAUGGAAGUUGAAUGAUGAAUGCCUUGCUUUGUGGAAUUUGCAAAUUGUUUUUCUAUUUUAACGCUUUGAUUACUAGGGACUAGUAAUAAGCUGGUUGGGGGGGUGUGAUUAGUACUUAAAAAUGCAUUUUUAUCAAGGUUUUAUAUCAUCAUUUUGCACUUGAAGUAUCUACAACUCAUUAACUAAAGCAUGUUUUAUAAUAACAAGUCUGAUACCAUAAGAUACCUUUAAUUUAUGGUAAAUGUUUAUCUUAAAUGCAGGCCUAUCACAUAAAUAAAAGGAUUGAUUGAUGAGUUUAAGUACAGAAAUUGAAAGGACAAAGAGAGGGCCAAACUUAGAAAAGAGAUGUUGGUUCAGUCCAAAUUGGAACACUGUUCGGUCAUCGGGUCAUAUCUGAAGCUGUAGAUCUUGGAUUUAGAUCUGCCUUAUAUGGAUGGAAAGCUAAGACAUAGGCCUAAAACUUUCAUAAGUCCAAGAUUUAAAAAGGCUGUUUUCAAGUCCAAAUUGUAGCAACAAUGGAGAAGUCUGAAUCUGUCCUGCAGCCCAGACACUGUUCAGUGUUCAGCCCAUAUCUCGAGUUUUAGAAGUCCAAAUGACCUCUAAUUUUUAGCUUGGAAAUCUGAGACAAUUUCCUAGAACUUUCAUGAUUUAAGUCUGUUCAAAUUAUGACGUUAUCAAUGACCUUUUUGGCAAACAAGAAGAUAAGGAUUGUCACCAAGUCAAGAUGUGGCCAUCCACUCAACAAUUAGUCAACAAAUCAAUAGUUCCGAAUUUUAGCCUAUAAAAGGAGGCAUUUGCCAAGUAUUUAGGCAUCUUGGUUUUUAGAUCAAGAUCAUGCUCUUGCUCUCUCUUUAUAUUUUGUAAUGCUUAAGUUUUGCUUAUAUUAAUCUCUUACUUAUGCUUUUCAUUUCAUUUCCUUGUUUAUUUAUGUUUCUCUCUUUCAUUAUGUUUAGCUAAGUUUAUCAUGUCAAGGUGAAAAGGUUACACUAAUGGUGUAAGAAUAAGUAUAAUAUAAACUCAACAUGGACCUUAAUAUGUGAUACUAACAUGUUUUAUAUUUGUUAUCUUGUUCACUUUUAAUACUUUGCUUGUUAAAUGGUUAAUCUAGAUUUAUUUUGUAUACCUUUGGUACAACAAAUACUUGGCACUUUUAUAGCCCAACCAUAUGGUAUAACCGACACCUGUGCUAUGAAAGGAAUUUGAUUUGUUGUUAACAUAAGUUAUAAUCAUGAAUGCCUGACAACAUUUACAAGUAUUAGCAUUAUUCAAAUAAGAUAACUAAUGUAAUCAUGUUAACAAUUUAUAAUCCGAUUGGAACCUCCUUUGUGUGUGGUUUCCAGUUGAGUAAUAAAAAGAGUUUAUACUAUACUUGUUUGAAAUACCAUUAGUGGAUCCUCUAACCUUGACAAUUAUUUUAUGCUUGUUUAAUCCUUAUAUCAAUAUCACAUCUCAAAGCUCUCUUUGUUAUUGUUGUUGUUGUUAUUGUUGUUGUUGUUGUUGUUUUUUAUAUACAAUUAACCUCCCUGUGGUUCGACCCCGGUCUUGCCGGGUUAUUUAUUGCUUCGACACUCCUGCACUUGGAAGAAGACAUCAAUUUUUUGGUCGUGUCAAUUAUAAAAUAUAAGGAUAGAGAAUAGACCUUUUAAACCUACCAGAACCGAAAAUGGUGUUACAAUUCCUAAGGCUAUGAGUGAGUAUAUGAUGGAAAUGGUGUUACAUUAUCCAUUGCAUGAAAAGUGUUAAAGACUCUUUAUGGUACUCACACACAAGAUCAUAUUCAACAAAUCAAUGGCGAGUUACAGUCCUUGAAUAAAUGUACUUAUUCUUUAAAAGAUUAUUUACACAAAGAAAAAUCUUUGGUUGUCUCUUUAUGGUGCAGGAAAACCAAUGGAUGACGAUGAGUUCAUCAUUUGCAUUUUUCAAGGAUUAGGAUCUGAAUUUGAUCUUAUAGUAGCAACAUUGAAUGCAAGAGAUAUUUUUCCAUCUUUUGAAGGAGUUAUUGGCAAACUCCGUGAAUUUGAAAUUCGACUUCAAGGAGCACGAGCAACUACUUCCAACAUUGGUUUUUAUACAAAUCGUGGCUGAAAAAACUCAAAGCCAUGGGUGAACCCCGGCACUCAAGGCUACAAUAAUCACAAUUUCACUAGAAGAAAUUCCACGGACAGUACUUCAUCAUCACGAGCUAAAAAGACUUGAUUCCCUCACUUUAAUAUAGGCUCAUCUAGAACUCGUCAGAAAUAAUUCUCACAUAAUGGUGGUCGUGGAUGGCAUCACUUGUUUUCAAUGUGGGGGGGCUUAAUCACAAAGCAGCCAGAUGUUUUGCUUCUGAUGAAGAUCAAUAAAAAGCUUUUGCUAAUAUCAAAAUUAGAGAAACUACAGAAGAGAUCUGGUAUUCUGUCACUGGUACAAACCAACUUAUGACCUCUAACACAAAUGAAGUUCAAGGUAUUAACUCUUAUCUUGGCAAUGAUUCUUUCAUGGUUGGUAAUGGUCAUGACUUGCCUAUCACUAGCACUUGACACAUUAUUUUUCUUACCACUAAUUUUAAGUUAAAUGAUGUUCAUGUGGUUCCUGCAAUUAAGAAGAAACUAUCAUAUGUCUCUCAAUUUAUAAGAGAAAUUAAUUGUUAUUUUUUGUUUUAUCCAUGGGGAUUUGUUUUCAAGGACAUGAAGAUGAAGUAGGUAGUCCUUAAGGGCUCCAUAAAGGAUGGUUGUAUCCGAUCAACCUGCAACAACUUUCAACAUCUUCAAUCAGUUUUUUAGCCAAUAAAGUAUCUAGCAACUUAUGGCAUGCAUGACUUGACCAUCCUCAAGCCCGGAUUCUUAUAAAGUUAUGUUUACCAUCUAUAAAUAAACAAAAUGCUUUCUAUGAAGGCUAUGUUUUGGGAAAAUCAACAAAGUUACCAUUUGAAUCUCGUAAAUCCUAUGCUACUUCUUUUCUGUAUACACUUCACACAGAUGUAUGAGGUCCUGCAUCUGUUUCUUCUUAUGAUGGCUAUUAGUUUUACUUAAUCAUUGUUGAUGAAUAUUCUUGAUGUAUAUGGUUCUUUCUUAUAAAUCAUAAAUCUGACGUAGCAACAAUAUUUUCUACAUUCCUCAAGCAAAUGGAAAAACAAUUUGAUGUUUAUGUUAAAAUAACUCAAAGUGAUGAGGGUGGUGAGUUUGUUAAUCAAAGCCUGCAUAAUCUUUUCAAAACUAAUGGUAUCAUUCAUAGAUUCUUAUGUCCAUAAACAUCAGAACAAAAUGAAUUGGCUGAACGUCGUCAAUGGCAUAUUGUGGAAUAUGGAUUAACAUUGUUAUCACAUGCUUCUAUUACGAUACAAUUCUGAAUAGCAGCCUUUUGUACUGUAAUAUUUCUAAUAAAUCGUCUACCUACUUCAGUUCUUGGUUACAACUCACCGCAUAAAGUUAUUUUCAGUUAUGCUUCUGCUUAUAAUUCCCUACAAGUUUUUGGGUGCUCCUGCUACCCAUUACUUGCACAAUUUGGUUGAUCAAAAUUGGACUUUAAAUCCACAUGGUGUGUGUUUCUUGGUUAUUCAAAUAAUCAUAAAGGAUAUCUUUGUCUUGAACCUUAGACAAGUCGCCUCUACAUAUCUCAUCAUGUGAAAUUUAAUGAAUCUCAGUUUCCCUACAGAUGCAUGCAGAAACGUGACACACAUGUUUCUCAGUUAUUUAAAGUCAGAGCACUUCCUCGACUACUCAAGACCAUGACUGAAAAAACAAAUGUCUCAACUCAAUAAAUAAUACAUCAUGUUUCAGCAAAAAAUGUCCAAAGUGUAUGAGUAUCUCAGUCUCCAAUUCCUGAACCAAUUCCUCCAUUCACUGCACUAGAAUUCAAUACUUUAGCACCAGAGGAUUCUCCCAUACUUGCUCCACAACAACAUCAUCAUAUGGUUACACGGGCUCAAAUAGGGAAGCUAAAACCCAAGGUAUUGUUCUCUUCAUAAUAUUCAAUACCUGCUUGUUUUGUUGCUGACCUUAUCACUCAACAACAAGACCUAGCGUACUUCAACAUCUGCAAUGGCAUCAAGCAAUGCAAGUUGAAAUGGAUGCUCUUCACACCAACAACACCUGAAAUUUGGUACCUAGAGAGCCAAACAUGAAUGUUAUCAGUAGUAAAUGGGUGUUCAAAAUCAAAACACGAUCUGAUACCUCUAUUGAAAGGUAUAAAGCUCAACUAGUGACUCGUGGAUUUACACAACAACCAAGCCUAGAUUAUGAUGAAACCUUUAGUCCAGUCAUCAAACCAAGUACUAUUUAGUUAAUCUUUACCAUUGGGCUAUCUCAAAGCUUGUCUAUCAGAUAACUAGAUGUUAGUAAUGCCUUUUUUCAUGGUGACCUACACGAAUAAGUAUAUUUGGCUCAACCCCAGGUUUUGAGGAUUUCUCCCAUCCAGAUCAUGUUUAUCAUCUCCAUAAAGCUUUGUAAGGUUUAAAGCAGCCCCUCGCGUCUAGUACCUAAAAUUCAGUACUUAUAUCCAGCAAAUGAGAUUCAUAUAAUGUCCCUAUGAUCAAUCUUUAUUCUCGCACUCAAGGAUCAGGCAUUCUUCUUUUACUUAUUUAUGUUAAUGACAUUCUUUUAAUAGGAAGUUCCUCUUCACAGAUUGACAAGUUUAUUACACACCUAUCUUUCAUCUUUCAUAUGAAAGAUCUUGGUGAUAUUCAUUACUUCUUAAGUCUUCAAAUCAUUUGCCAUGCAUCCACUGUCACUCAUACAAGGUAUUUACUGUCUCUUCUUCAAACGUUUGGUCUUGAUGGCACCAAACUUGUAAGCACUCCACUAGUAUGGGGGCCUUCUAUGUAUGCUGUUGAUGGUGCUCCCUUAGUUAAUCCUUUCCUUUAUCGCUGUUUGGUUGGCUCAUUAUAAUAUCUCACUCUAACCAGACUCGACAUCUCCUAUGUUGUUCAUCAAGUCUGUCAAUUCAUGCAAACACCCCAUGAUAUUCACCUCAUUGUUGUUAAGAGGAUUUUUCGGUAUCUGAAGGGUACUCUCAAUGUUGGUCUUCACUACGUCUGUACCCCUAUUCAUAAACUUCGUGGUUUUUGUGAUGUCGAUUGGGCUAGUUGCAGGGAUGAUAAACAUUUCAUUACUGGUUUUGCUAUCUUUUUAAGCGAUAAUUUGAUAUCUUAAAGCGCUAAGAAACAAGCUAUUGUGUCUCGAUCGACAACUGAAGCUAAAUACUGUGUCUUAACCUUAACUACAAGUGAGCUUAUUUGGUUUGUGCAUUUACUAAAGAAUAUUGGCUAUUGUGUCCCUCCUUCUACGUUGUAUAGUGACAAUAUUAGUGCCAUUCAUAUGGCCAAGAAUCCAAUGUUCCAUCACCGUAUAAAACACAUCAAAAUUGAUGUUCACUUUGUUCAUGAAUGGGUUGCGUGUGGUGUUCUCUCUUUGGUAUACAUUCCAGGAUCGGAUCAAAUUGCAGAUAUUUUUACCAAAUCCCUUUAUGCUAUAAAAUUUAUUCCAAAUCAUGGCAAGCUCUGUCUCAGUCCAGUCCCGCCUUGAGCUUGAGGGGGGAUGAUGAGAUAUAGAGAUAUGCAGAUGCUGAGAUCCUGCUGAGAUCUCUUUACUGAGAGAUCCUCUACUGGGAUCUCUAUGUCAGGAUCCUCCCUAUUUAUUCACUUCAUGGUCUCCACAAUAUUUGUAAUUCAAUAUGUUUCUAUAAUCUCUGUAGACAAAUUAUAUAUAUAUAUAUAUAUAUAGCAAGAAUCAAUCCUACAUAAAUGUCCAGUAAUGCCUAUUUAUAGGUAAUAACAAUACAUAGAAAUAUAAGUUCACCAUUUCCUAUAAGCAUCAUCUUUUUAUUUUUCAAUAAUAAUGUGCUAUAAAUAAUUGGUAGGUUGAGAGACCUUUUGAGAAGGAGCCCUUAUAGAUUAUGAUGCUAAAAAAUAAGAAACUAUAUUAGAAGACAAGUUAUCCAAUAAGGUAUAAUGAAUAACUAAAGUAUAAAGAUUUCUCACCAAAAGUUUGUUUUGCUCAAUUUUCUAGCUGAUCUACUAGCUAAAUUUUUAGUAAGCCUUCUCUUACCAUCUUUUGUAAAAGGUUCUUCAUCAUAUAAAAGUUUCUUAGCCAUCUUUUUUAAAGAAAGGUUUAAGAUGACAUAUUAUAGCUUUCUUGUACAAUAGAAAAAACCUUAAUUAAUUUCCUAAUAUUAGCAUAAAGUCUCUCACACUAUAGAAUCCAAAAUUAUGUUUUGUUAACUAUGUUACAUUUUUCACUUCCUUUAGCAUUUUGAAAAUUAUUAUCUAGAUUAGAACUAUUAAUGGUAUAUUACAUUAGAAAUGGAACACAUUAUACAAACUUCGAUUGUCUUGCCACGAAAUAGAGGUUAUAGGGCUCAUAAGAACAAUAGUUUCCUUUAUAAUAAAUCUAUCACUAAACUAAAUUGUAGAUCCUUUUAGGUUAGAAUAAUUUUUCACACUACAAUGUUCUCCUCUCCCUUACAAUUUAUACUUUGAUGUUUAAGAAUCAAUAGUCAUCUAGGGCAUGUUCUCAUAGACAUUAAAAUGAUCAUGGAUCGGUUAUUCCUCCUUGUCAUGGAUAGAAAAAUAUCUAGGUAUCUCUUGAAAGGAAAGUUGUGGAAAUGGAUCAUUUUGUCCUCUACAAAUUAAUAGGGAGUCCAAAUUUGACUACACGACACUAGAUUCAUGGAAAUUUAUAGUUUCCCAUGCUUAAAUCCACCAUAAAAUUCAAUAAAAGUUUCCUUUUAUCAUGAAAGGGUGGUUGGUCUUCACCUCUCACUUGGCAUUCCUCUAAUACCAUAUAUAUAUGUGUGUGUGUGUGUGUGUGUGUGUGUGUGUGUGUGUGUGUGAUUUAACAUAAAAGGUCUUAGGAUAAUUUACAUUAUCAAAAAAUAGUAAUAAAUAACCCGACAAGACUAAGGUUGAAUCACAGGGAGGUGAACUAUAUAAAAUUAUAAACAACAAAUGAAAAGGAGUUGAAGAGAACUUUUGAAAUGUGAUAUUGAUGUGAGUAUUAAUCAAAGAUAAAAGCAAUUGUCAAGGUUAGAGGAUCAACUAAUAGUAUUAGAAAUAAGUAUAGUAUAAACUUUUUUUAUUAAUCAACUGGAAACCACACACAAAGAAGGUUCAAAUCAGAUGAUUUAUCCUUAAUAGUUCAUUAUAAAUUUUUAACAUGAUCAUAUUGAUUAUCUUAUUUUAGUAACACCAUACUUUUAAAUAUUGUCAGGAAUUCAUGAUGUUAACUUAUGUUAACAACAAAUCAAGUUCCUUUCAUAGCACAGGUGUCGAUUAUACCAUAUAGUAGGCUAUGAAAGUGUCAAGUAUUUGUUGUACCAAGGGUUGUACAAUACAAAUCUAGAUUAAUUAUUUAACAAGUAAGGUAUUAAGAAUUAGUAAGAUAAAAAGAUAAGACAUGUUAAUAACAAACUUUCUUGGAUAUAAACAUUGAAGUCCAUGUUGAGUUUAUAUUAUAUCUAUUCUAACACCAUUAGUGAAAUCUUUUCACCUUGACAUAAUAAACUUAGCUAAACAUUGUGAAGAAGAGAAAACAUAAAUAAACUAGAUAAGAACAUAGUUAUGAUGAAAAGUAUAAACAAGAGAUUAUUAAAAGCAAAACUUAAACAUUACAAAAAUACAAAGAAAGAAAGCAAGAAGAUGAUCUUGAUCUGAAAACCAAGAGGCCUAAAUGCAUGAAAAAUGCCUCCUUUUAUAGGCCAAAAUUCAAAACUAUUGAUUUGAUGACUAAUUGUUGAGUGGGUGGCCACCUCUUCACUUGGUAACAAUCCUUAUCUUCUUGUCUGCAGAAAACGUCAUUGCUAACAUCAUAAUUUGAACAAAUAGUCUCAUGAAAGUUCUCGAAAAUUGUCUCAGCUUUCCAACAAAACAAGAAUGAGGUCAUGUGGACUUCUAGAACUCGAGAUAUGGGCUGAACACUGAACAAUGUCUGGGCUGCAGGAUAGAUUCUGACUUCUCUGUUGUUGCUAUAAUUUGAACUUGAAAAUGGUCCUUUUGAAUCUUGGACUCUCAUGAAAGUUUUAGGCCUAUGUCUUAGCUUUAUAUCCAUAUAAACCAGACCUAAAUCCAAGUUCUACAACUCUAGUUAUGAUCCAAUAACCGAAUGGUGUUUCAAUUUGAAUUCAACCAACAUCUCUUUUCUAAGCUUAGCCCUCUCUUUGUCUUCUUAAUUUCAGUAGUUAAACUCAUCAAUCAAUCCUUUGAUUUAUGUGAUAGGUCUGCAUUUAAAAUGAAUAUUUACCAUAAAUUAAAUGUAUCUUAUAUUAUCAGACUUGUUAUUAUAAAACAUGCUCUAGUUAAGGAGUUAUUGAUACUUCAAAUGCAAAAUGAUGAUAUAAAACCUUGAUAAAAAUACACUUUUAAGUACUAAUCAACAAUGGUCCUACCAUUAUCCAAGGUCACAACUAUAUUUAACUAGGCCUUAUUUAAUUUAUAAGACCUGGAAAAAAUUAAAUAUCUAUAUACCCAAAAGAGAAAGGAAAAAAAAAAGCCACAUGUUCUAUCUAGAAGGAAAAUUUGGUUCCUUUCUUCUCCUUUUUAAAAAUAACACUAUAUUUAGGAGUACUUACCAAUAAGUCUUCAAAUUGACCUAUAAUAAAUUAUAUGGAUGCACAAAGCUAACCUUUUGAGUAUAGGCUCCUAUCAAAGCCAAAUCAUAUAGAAAUAUAUAUAAUUUGCAUCCUAUACCUAAAUACAAAGAUGUUAUUUGAUUUGACUAAAAAAUGAUAAAGUUGUCACAUUUCCUUGCUAGGCUUAGUGGUAAUCCUAUAUAGUUGGAUUACGUCAAAGAUCUAUUAGCAUUUUCAUUCUUCAUCAAAGUGUGGUUUUAUUCUCUCUAUAUAUUGAGGUUCACUUGAUUUUUCUAGAGUGAAAGCCUUUCUCUAUAUAUCUAAGGCAAACAAGUUAUAUCUUUUUUAUAGAAUUUCUUCUUAAUAUUGUCCAAAGACAUUCUUGAAUCAAUAUUUUUAGGGAAAUGCUGAUUAUAGAUCAGUGUAAAUUAGUGAUACAAUCUAUGUAAUGCUAGAAGUGGGUGAUAAGAGAAGGGUUUUAUUUUGCAGAGCUUGAAGAUGUCAUUUAUGUGUUUAAAGAGAGAAGUAAGGUUAAGGUUUAUCCUCUUUUUUAGAAAUCUUUGGUUUCUUCAGAUAAGGAUUGGGAGCUUUUUAAAUAAAAUGAAAGGAUAGGAUGUUAAUUGAUUGAAUUGAUAAAUUAACUAUAAAUCAAAAUUAUAGUUAUUGUAACGGUAAUAUCAUGCCAAAAAGCUAGAAAACAUUUUAUUUUGAAAUUUCUUAAAUGUCUAACAUGUUAGACAAUGAAAUAUGGUGGAUAUUUUGGAAAAACAAUUCUUGAUUUUCCAUGUCAUUCAUGGUUAAUUUUAUGAUUGAUUGAAAUAUAAAAGGUAAAUCAAUAUUCUUUCAUUUAUAUUAAAUAAAGAAAUAUGGAUGCAUUAUUUAUGUCAAAGUUAAACCAUUCAUGUAUCAUGUGAUUAAGAACAAUAUAAUUUAUUGUUAGUUUUUAAGAAAAAUAACGAAGAAAAAUAAAAUUAAAUAUCAACCAAUAAAGAAGGUUAAGUUCGAAAAUCAUCUAAGAGAUUAAGUUUCACAUUAAGUGAUUGAUUAAUCCUAUAUAAAAAAGAACUUAACUUAUGGAUAUUAUAAAUUGAUAUAAGCAUAUGUUAUUAUAAAGAUGUCUGCCAGAAAAAUAGUAAAUAAGUGCAAGUUAUGCUAGGAUUAAUAUUGUACAAUCUUUAUAUGUUAUAAAUUGUUUGUUUAAGAUUAAGAUUUUAUAUUUAUGUGAGAUUUUAUCUCAAUAAAAAUAUAAAUAUAUCAUUUAAUAGCUUAAAAUAAUGGUUAGUGUUAUAUACAUAAUUUAUUAUGCAAUUUACUCAUAAUUUUAUGCUAUUUAUUGCUUUCUUUUAUGUAUGACAAUAUAUUUCUUUUCCUUAUACAUUUUACUAGUCAUAUUACACGUGCUUGAAUUCAGGUCGAAUCAAAAGUUAAUUUUUAACAUAAAUGAAUGUUCAAGCGUUUUAAGUGUGUUUUUUAGAAUAUACAAAUAGAAAAGACCAUAAACCAAAAGAAAAUGACCACACAUGCAAAGUUGCAAAUAUAAUCCACGGUGAACUAGAAGGAGGUGAGCAGUGGAGCACGUUAUAGUGAAAUCAUCGGAUCUUUUAGUAUUUCCUGCAAUUAUAAUUUACGAAUUCAAGAUAUAGUGAAAUCAAAGCUUGUUUUUCUUUUUCUUUUUUUUCUUAACAUAUUGAAGUCAAGUUACGAAUUCUUUGAUCAAGAUUAAGUGUCUAAUUAUAAUUUUUCGUUGUUGGAUAAUCAAUGAUCACUUUAUUUAUUAGAUCAACAAAUGAAAAUAAUUAAAUAAGGCAUUUAAAUGAGAAAAAAUGGAUUGACAUUACUCUUUAUUUAUUAAAUCAUAUACUUUACCAUCAAAGAAUAAUAAUAUCUUACAACCAUGAAACAGGCAGUCAAUUCACCAUUACAUCUUACGUGUCCUCUAAGGAAUUUGUUUUUUUCACAAUACGUAGGGAAUUAAGGAAGAAAAUGCCUACAAUGCUACAUCAAAAAGAAAGCUUCACAGCCGUCCAAUAAAUAAACACAAAUGAGAGGGGAAAGAACACAAAAGAUUAGCUUUGAACAGUCGUUCAACAAAAAGCUCCAAGGUGCUUCAUCUUUGACCAAAGAGAUUGGAAAUGACAGCACAUAAUGAUCUUGAAUAGAGUGAUCAUGUUAAAGUUUUAAAGCAGCAGAAGAAUGGUGAUGAGCAUAGCCAAAUUGGGCAGGAAGAUGCACGCACCAAUCUUGGGCAGCCCAUUUGGAGCUCCUGGUGGUACUGCUGUAGCUCCACCACCUGGAACUGGGGGGGGACUUGCUGUAUGAGAGGGCAAGGGUCCCUCCACAACAUCAGGUGCAGUUAACACUGGGUUUGGAGGCUCAGCUGGGGGCAAGGCAAAAGGUGAGAUUAGCUGCAUGAGACCGCCAGGCUGAGCAGGGCUCAUGUAAGAAGGUAAUUCCUUGCCCAAGCAUCGGUUCCCUGCAAUAAAAUGGAGCAAUGUGUUACUAAAUGGCAAACAGAUAUCACUACAUGUCUGGUGGAUAUAUUUAUUAUGGAAUUUCCAUAAAAUCUGAAAUGAGACUAACACAAAUAAUGGCAGUUAAAUAUACUCUCAAGUCAUAUUGUAUGAUCCUAACCUGAUUUCUACAUCUAACAUGUAAUAUGCGAAUCUAUUUUUCUCAGCCUAGUACAGCAUGAAAUUAAACUGACAUUUUCAUGAGAACAAGAUCAUCUAAGGAAUAAUUUGUCCAGAACAUACAACAUCGUCCAGGAUUCACUCUGUAUUGUUGCAUGUAAACUAGAAACAUCAGUGACUUACUCUUGUAUCUGGCAGAAGUCAGAGGGAAUUCUGUGAUAACACCGCUGAUGUUGGCUCCCAUGACGUAGGAGUUAAUUUCAACUGUUGAAUCUGAGAAGAAGUCCCAUGCCUGAGAUACAAACUCAUUGCUGAAAGUUUCCACAUAAACUGAGAGCCCAUGCGAUUGCAGCUUUGGCACAACAUUUGUAACACCACUGAGGAAUGAAGAACUUUCAGGAAAGACAGAAGCCUUGCUGAUGACCACCGAACUAGCAAAGUCUUUGAUGUCCUUCAGUGCUGCAUCUUCAGCAUCUUGAAUAUCCUCUUCAAUCCGGUACACAAGCUCAUAAUUGCUUUCGUCCCUAAAUUUCAUUAGAACUGAGCUGUUGGUGGACUCAAUCAUAACUUUCUUGGAAGUUGGAUCAUCAUAACCAGCUAAGCUCAAGACUUCAAGUACUUUGUCAGUAACGGGUAAUCCCUCUUUCUCUAUAAGAUAGGCUGCAUUCUGAAAUGAACAGAACAGACAACAAACAUCAGUCAGGGUGGGAACAACCUUCAUUUUUUCAAUGUGGACAAAAAUAAUAAUCACAUAUUCUUCUUCUUUUUGGCUGCUGUUGAAGACCUUAUUCUAUUAUUCUAUGAGAGAAAUCCUCAGGCGUGCAAUUAUAGCUCAAAGGUCUGUACUAAGCAUGUGAGCUACUCAUGAGACUAGAAGGAUGGCAGGAAGUUACGCCAAAGGAUGCGGUUAAUACAACCACAGGAACCAAUGUCAUCUUUAUUGCUACUAAAGAAAUGAAAAUGCAGAUUGCUAGCAGAUGAGAUAACUGAUAUGAGCAACCAUUGAAUAUGAUGGUCCAUUAAGUUUCAUCACCCAUGGAAACUAACACCACGUGUGAAAUGGUUUCCAAGUUGGGGAAGAAACAUAGAAGAGAUAAUAUGUUCCACUGACAGAACUAACCAAUUAAGCACUGCUUUGUUUACUAAUAAGGUGUAGUGUGAUGAUAAAUUUGAUUUUGAUAACAUGCUUUCCAUCCAACAGGAAAAAUGUAAAAUUUCCACAAACAAUCAAAGGAAUAUUAAGUGCAAGCAGUUUAUGCAAGUUCAAAUCAGAUGAUUCAAACGAAGGAUCAUGUACAAGUAAUGUGAGCUUAGCAAAAACCCACCUCAAUGCUAAUCAAGACACCAGAAAGCGAGCUAGUGUUCUUCGCCAAUGCUAAGAAAUCAGACAAUGUUAGAAAAUUCCCUGAAUUUCUGAAUUUGGGAUUCCGCAACAAGUAAUAUUUUGAAUAUGGAUUGGACAUCACCGCUACAAUGCAAAAAGAAAAAGAUCAAUACAAAAUCAUUAUCUUCAAUGAAAACAUUUGGACAAUCAUACAUCCACAAAUAAACAUAAAAUGGAAUUCAAACAACAACUAGAUUACAAAGCAGAAUUUAGAGUUGGGCAGGAGUCAAAAAAAAAAAGUGCAGAGGAAUAUUUCUGUUCCUUUUCUCACAAAAUUCUACCUUUCAAAAUGUAAAGAGAGCAAAAUCAAAAGAAUGGUGCCAGGCAAAGGACAUUUGCGUUUAGUAUUGUUCCAAGAAUUGUAAUCUCUGUAAUUCUUUUCAUGUAUUUAUUCUCAAAUCUCAAGUGGUGAGAAUAGCUGGUUAUGAGAUCUUGUCUUGUGACUCCCACGACCAAGACAUUAUUCCUUUGAGCCCUAGAUGGAUGUGUUUUUUUGGCUGGCCACUCUUUAUUUCUCUUCCUCAAUGUCCUAAAUUAUUUUAACUUUGCGAUCCAGUACUGAGCAUUCUAUUUUAACAGAAUGUGAGGAUUGAGUAAUGCCCCUCCACGUAAUUGUUUGUUCAUAGGCCAAGAUUUUUUCCCCCACUAAAAGGAAAAAAAAUUUAUAAAAAAAAUCAUGUUUUAUUGGGAAGGGGGUGCAACAGAAGAUUGAAAAAGCAAAAGAAGUAAAAGCCAACCAGUUUGAACUUACGAAUUAAGUUCUGAAUCUCACUCCAUGUUAAGCUAAAGGUGAAUAUCCCACUGCCUGCCUUAAUCUGUGGAAUAUUCUGUUCACGAUUGCUGUAAAUUGAUUGGGCAACUGUUGUACUGUCAUAAAGAUUUAUAGAGCCUAAGCAAAAUGGUAUCCCGUCUUUUGAUAUUUGAACAGGACAAUCAAUAACAUCAGCACCAUCUAAAAUAGCUUUCUGGUAAGCCAAAUCAGUGCAACCAGGGUAGUCUCCACUUGCACCAUUUUUUGAGAUGACCGAAAGGUUCACUGAAACAUGAGAAAAGGAGGACAGAAGAGCUAAGUACUAAUGUUCAAAAAAUGCAAUAUCCUUUGAAGUUAAAUCUCAUAUAAAAAGAAUCAGAAAAUAAUUUUGCACCUUGAGGUGUAGCAUUCUUGCCUAGACCAGAAAAACAAGCUGCAAUACAGAAGGAGAAAUCAGAAUCUCAAAAUAUUUAUUCUCCAUAUUAGGAGAAAUAUCCAGACAGGCAUUAUAAUCUUUAACUCCAACCGAAAGAUUACAGCUAGGAUAAGAAGAGAAAUUGUCUCAAUGGUUCUGAGUCAAUGAUAACAGCAGUCACAGUACUAAACCUUUUAAGUUCGAACAAAAUUUGAAUCAUGCAGUGAUAAGGAAUCAAGUAUCAAGCAUGUUCUGACAUGAGAAGCUAGUAGUAGCAACAGUUGAAAGUUGAUGGUAGGCAGGCUAACAACUGCUCCCAUAAAGAAAUUACUGCUAAAUGUCCAGUUAUUUAAGUUGAAAAAUACUAGAUUGAACCAAUAGUUCACGGUUUGUUCAGAUCCAUGAUGCUUAAAGAGAAGGAUUACAGCUUACCAAUAGUCGCAGAUGGAGUUACUGGAAAGUCAGAGAGCACACCAUCAACAGAGAAGUCACCAUUGUCAACAAAACUGAGAUACUCAGUUACAGGAUCAUAACUGUAAUUGUAACUCAGUUGGGCGUCAUUAUAAAAAUCUGAUACAAAAACCUCUAGCCCUGCCUUGUGUGCAUCCGAGACGAUAGAAGUCUGAGGUUGUAAGUAAUUACUUGCAUCUAAAGGCCAUAUGUAUGACUUAGGGAUAAGAAUUCCAGAUGCAAAUGUCUUGAUGAAAGUAAAGUUCUUUGAGAGAGAACCAUAUGUCUCAUUUGUUGAUGGCUCGAUGACAUUUGGUUCCAGAAACCGAAAGACCAGUUUUGUUAUAUUUAGGUUAAAUCUCUUAACAAUACUUCUCAAGAAACCCGCUUCUGGUGAUGAAAGAUGAUUAAUGACAACCCUUCUGGAUAGAGACAGUACGUAGAUUCUCAUACUCAAAUUGUGCUGUGUGAAGAAUGCAUCAUGCUGCAAAAGUAUCAGAACAAAACAAUUUGGUUGAAAUAAUAGAUGGGAGUGCAUGUUCCACUGAAUUAAAGGGAAGGGAAGAAAAGCAAAAGCAGUAAAGAAGGCUUCAUGUUAAUAAGUUCAUAGAAGGUACUGGUGUAAGAUUGCUUCUCUACCUGAAUAUUCAACCAUAAGCCUGGUGGUUUUAAGUUCGCCACAUCCUCAACAGUUUGGAUGGGAUAAGUGUUAUCAAACCUUUCACUCCGAGAAUAGAUUCCCUGAGCCACUGUCAAGGAAAAACAAUGUCAGAAUCAGAAGUUCAAGGCAGGAAUUGAGAAGUUAAGAAACAGUUGAUCCACACAGACUGGUAUGCUAAGAAAAUUUUCAUAGUCAAUCUCAUGAAGAUCAAUUUAGAUAAAAUCUCCUUCAGAGACUAAUGAGCAGGUCCCUAUCAGUAAAAUCUGAAGAUCAACAAUGGGAUAUCCAAAUCCAAAAACAAAACAACCCCCAAUUGGUUUUUUCUUCAAAUAUUUGAUUGAAGUAUCCUAUUUGCAAUAAAACUAUCAGUGUCUCUAAAUGACCUGAUGUUAUUAACUGUCUUUUAUGCUUGACCAUUACUAACUACCACUUAUACAUCAAGCAAACUUCACAAACAGAAGGACUAUAACAACAACAAUAAAUAAUAAGAAAGGAGAAUAAACAGCUUGUAUUUUUGUGUUAUUCUUAUGCAAAUAAGAGGGGUAAGGUCUUGAGUUUGACUCCCACCUUUGCAAUUCACUGCUAAUUUCAACAAAAAAUGAAAAGAAGGAAAUGGCAGUUGAUUCACUUGAUUCAUGCAAAUUUUUAGCAAUCAACAAUAAGAAAAUCUGGAUAUUUCAAAUGAUCACUUCAUGUAAUAAUAAUACUUUACAAGAAGUAUAGAAAUAAACAGGCUACCAAAAAAUGACCAAUAACCAUAUGAAGCAAGUUGUUGAAAUCUUAGCCGAACUCACAGAAUACAAGUGACAAUUCAUUAAGAGUGAAAUCCACUGUGAACCAUCCUCGGGUAGGAAUUCCAUUAACUAGGUACAACUUAUCCUUAUUUUUCAUAACUUGUGCAAUGCUAGUAGAAUUGUCAAGCCUGAGAUCAGGGGCACAAAUCCCCACACCAUCUUUAGUUAACUGCACAUCACACCAUAGGACAACAUCCGGCAAACUUGUAAGCGUUGCAAACUGGAAAGCAACUGAGCUAGAAUCAGGAAAUAAUCCUGAAAACCCGCCACGUGCUAUGACUAAAGGGCGAUUUCCUGCAGAAUGAAAUUAAUUAGUGAGCUUUUUUCAUUACAAGGUCGAUUGACUCUACUCAAAUGUGUUAUAGGGUCAUAUUUUUAUCCAUGCAAAUUUACUGCAACACAGAUUGCAAGUUCACUAACCAAAAAUUGUUAUUGCAACACAAAUUACAUCAAAUUAUUUUGUGAGCAUAUAAGAAUUAGUUAAGUUGCAAGUUCAACAUUUUUUGGGUAUUCAUAAUAGAAAUAUUUUGGAAAGCACCAAGAAUCUUAUGAGUAGCCAUUUUUCUUGAAAGAAUUUUAGUGACCAACAUUUUUUUUUGUCAAUUUUCUCAACAAACUCAGAUUUAUAGAAACCUCCGGUUUUUGGAAAGCCAGGUUCAAGCAAAUUAACUAUCACAUAAAACAAUUGACUUAUCAGAACUUAGAGUGUGGGGAAAUGUAAAAAUAAAAAUGAAAAACCACCCACAACACCAAUAUCCAAAAGCCUGUAAUUCAUGAAAAAGAAAUGCAUGCACUUUUUUUUUUUUUUUUGUGUGUGUAUAAUGAACUGAGCUGGUAGGAAUUUCAUAUAAAUUGAAGGUUUUCCAUAAAUGACAUGAUGUGAUUUCUCCAAGAAAAGAAAGAAAUUCAAGAAUUCAUUUUGCAUAAGCCCAAGAUGAAAUAAAAAUCAGCUUUCGAAAAAGAAAUCAAUUUUAAUCUUUGAAUUUAAAGUAAUCUUCAAGGCCCAAUACAAACAAGUGAUCUUAUUCUAGAAAUAGUAACCAUGUUGUUCCUUGCUAUUUUCUUAACUAAAGCUUAUUUAAAACGGUGUUUAACGAUCUAAGAUACCAUAAAUAAAAUUAUCACAAAUUCUACUAAUUACACAUUUAUCAUAAAUCAAAUGUAAAAAAAAAAAAAAAAGGUAAAAUAUUGCAUCUCUUAUAUAUUUUCAAUAUUUAUUUAAGGCCAAAUCUUCAAAGACGGAAAGCAAACUUCCCUACAAAUGCAACUAGCUCCUAAGCUGUAAUUCUAAAAUAGAAAAUCGAGCAUCACAUGCAUUUUCCUAGCAAACAAACACAAAAUCUAGAGGGAGAGAGAAAUCUGAGUGCGUGGUAGUGAGAGAAAAGCAAAGACAGACCGGUGAGUGUUUGCCAGGUACUAGCAGAUCCCUGAGCAGAGACAACAACCACCAAUGACUGAAGUAGUAGGACAGCUAGUAGAGGAGUGAAGAACGAGCGUAAGUUACACAUUGCCGGAAAAUCUAGCCGGCGACUUGUUGGAGGAGCUUAAGCAAAACUCCGGCCAAGUUUUUUCGAUAAAUGCGACAGAUUUCCCGGGGAGGGUGAGAGAGAGAGGGGGGAGGUGUGGAACCUUUUCAGACAGGCUUUUAACAGAUUUGUUAAUGUAUCGAGCCUUUUCUUUCCUCUUUUUUUAGUGUUCUUAUUUGUUAUUGCUGCGUGUUUGAUCGACGUUAUAACGUGGAUUGUCAGCAAGAGCCGCUAGGUUUCGAGGAAACAUGUAUUUAUUUUAAAAAUAUAUAUUAAAUUGAUAAUUUUUUAAUAUUUUUAAUGAUUUUAAUAAAAAAUAAAAAAUAAAUAUUUUAAAGUGUUUUUACAAAUUAAUAAACAUUUUAUACACAAUUAUUAUGCUGCCAUCAAUAUUUACAUUAAAAAAUAUAUAACUCUCUUUCACUAUAGUCAAAUAACCCUUGAAGGUUUAUCCUUUUAAUAAAUUAUUGUAUUUACUAUUAGUUGACCUUAAAAAAUAAUUAUAUGUUUUUUAUACAUAUCAUCAAGAAGUUUGGUUAUUUUCUAUUUCCAUAGCCGAUUUUAUCUUAUGAUAAUAUUAUAGAGAGAGGUUUAUUAGCUUUUAAUGCAAAGUUGCAAACUAAAUUCUCUUUUUUUUUUUUUUUCUAUUGAUACUCAUCUAAAUUUUAGGCUAACAUCUGAAUUUUAAAACGUUUAUUUUUAUUUUAAAUAUAAACAAAAUUAAUGCUAUAUAAUUGAUUAAUUUUUAGAAUUAGAAAAACUAUUUAAUUUAUUAUUAAAAUAAAAACCAAGAGACUAAUUUAUAAUUUGUUGUGUUAUUAAGCUUAUUUGUCUAAAAAUAUGCAAUGUGUAUUAAUGAUACGUUAAAACUGUUUAUUAUUGCAGUAAUUUUUAUUUUUUUAUUUAAUUAUAAAAAAAAUUAUUUAAUUAGUCAAAUAAUUUAUAUUUUUAAAUUGAACCCCACAUAUAAUUAUAUUUCAAACGUUAAUUUUAUAAAAACUAAAAUAAUUUGUUUAUCUCACAAUAAUUUUAACUAAACAGUUUAUUUUUUUAAAAUUAUUUAUUUAAAUUUUAAGAAAAAACUGCAAUCGUGUAAGCUAAACACUACCUAAUCUAACUUGCAUUUUGAAUUUUGUUAUCUUGAUGGUGAGAGCAAUUGGCUUAAGGUUAUUAAAUUAUUUGACUGGAUAAUGAGCUAAGAGGGGUUUCUGUUGUCGGUACUUGUUAUUUUAGGCUAUAUUUAUUUUCUGGAAUUCACUUUUCGGGAAAUCACUUUCCAAACUUUCCUGUGUUUGUUUGCCAUUAGAAAAGUUGGUCAACGAAAAACACUUGGUCAAAGAAAAAUUUGGCUUGAUUUUCAGGAAAGUGUUUUCCUAGAAAAUUUGGGCGAAAAACACUUUCUAGAAGUUGUUAAAAAUUUAGAAAUGUCAUAUUAUUUGCUGAUUAUAUCAAAUUUGGUCCUCAAACUUUUGAUUGCUAUAUAUAUUUUGUUUUGAAUAUUUAUUUUUCAAUUUCAUCUCUUAAAAUUUAAUUUUUAUAUUAACUUUGGUCCUCAUUUUUAUAAUUGUUAUUUGCUUUUCCCUUAUCAUUUUUUUAUUGAAAUUUUUUAUGUAUCAAAUUUGGUCCUCAUUCUUUUGAUUAUUACUUAUUUUAUUUGAAAUAAUUUAUAAAAUGUUAAUUACUAUUAUUUUAAUUUCUUCAUCUUUUAUUUUUUUUUAUUUUUUAGAUUUGAUCUCUAUUAUUUUGAUUAUUAUUUAUCUUAUUUGAGAUAAUUUAUGAAAUUAUAUUUUUUUUCAAUUUCAUUCUCAUUCAACUUUUUAAUUUGUAAGAUUUGUUUCUCAUUAUUUUAAUAAACUUGAGAAAAAUAAAACAUUAAUAAGUUAUUUUCCAGCUCAUUAAUUUUCCAUGACAUAACCAAACACUGGAAAUUGUUUUCCAACUUAUUUUCCAUUACACUACCAAACAUCAGAAAAUAAUUCACUUUCCCGGAAUUCACUUUUCAAAAAGAAACUACUUUCCUACAAACAAACAUGGCCUUAAUGAAAGCUUCAUGUAUGUCUGUACAAUGACAAUAAUGUCCCGAGAUAAAAGGAUUAGUGAGGGAGUUCCAUUUGUGUUACGGUGAACCAUAUUGUUCUAACCUUUUUUUUAUUUAAUUGUUUUAGUUCUUCAUUAGUAAUUGACCGAUUUAUUUUUAUAUAUUGGAUAAUAUUCUUAGACAUGUUCAUCCUUAUAUAUUUAUUAUUUUCUCCCAUAUACUUUUUUUCUUAUUAUUUUUUUUAUAAAAUACCCCUCAAACUAUAAAAACAUAAAAAAAGGGGAUGAAACUUAACUAUAAAAAAUUAAAGAAACUUGAAAACUUUAGGGAAAAAACUUAUAAAACAUAAUAACAAUAAAAAGAAAAAAGAAAAAAAAUAAAAGUACCCAAUAAAACCUAAAGGUUAAAAAGAUGUUUUUUCUAUAUUUUCUAUGAAUUAUUUUAAAUUUUUUGAAAUGUUCAAAGUUUUUGUCUUUCUGAAUUUUUUAGUUUUUUUAGUAUUUUUUUUCUUAGAUUCGGUUAUUUUUUUUAUAAAAAAAUCUGAUUUUUAUAUUUUUAAAAUUAACUUUUCCUUUAAUAGUAUAACAGACAUUUUAUGUCCAAAAAUAACAAAACAGCAUGACAAGAAAAUAUGAAUAUAUAAGGAUAUAUGAAAGGAAGAAAAUUCUUAAAAAUCACACGGAGAAGGAUCGAUGAAUAUAAUGUCCUUAAAUCAUAUCUCUCUCAUUUUCUAAAUUGAAAUUCACUUGCCAAUAAUUAUUCUUCUAACUUGAAUUUUGAUUUUCAAUUAUGUAAUUUUCUUUUUUUUCUUUAUUUUUUCCUAAGAAUAUAUUUAGAAAGUUUGUUUUCGUGUUAAUAAUUGUAAUGUGUUAAUAUAUAUAUAUAUAUAUAUAUAUAUAUAUAUAUAUUAACUAUUGAGUUGGACUAGAGAGCCCUAUCUGCCCACUCAGUGAUGGAAUCGGGAUGGCUCGAGACACUGGGAGAAGGUGAUGAGUGCUGGUUGGAAGACAGCUAGAAUGGGGUCCAUACCAUGAGCACUUGUCAUGAUAUGAUUGGGUGGCGCGGAGGGAAGCAAAACGCGUAGAAUGGUUCUCCUAUUUUAGGAGACGGUGACUUGCCAGCACGUAUGGUAUUUAUUUCAUUUUAAUCAGCAUUGAAUGACAAAACAUAGGUUCUCACUGUCCCCGUAAAGGAUUUAUUUACCUUCUCUUGCCCCCGAAAGCAGAAAGCACGACGUUCUUUUUUCUUUUUUUCUUCGAUAUAAAUUCAAGAAAGUUAACAACCGUGAGGACUCCUAUUAGGUCACAUAGAUAAAGCACAGAGAAAUAAAGAACGAAAAAUGAUAAAGUUUGGAAAAACCUCAAAUUAAAAUUAGCCUUUCCAUGACAACUAGUGCAAUGGAUUUUAGAAGAUUUUUUUUUUUAGUUGGAUUGUAUUGGUGUUUCACGAACCCUUCAACAUCAAGUCUUUUUUUUAUUAGGAGGAGAAAACUCUCCAAUAUUUAUAUUAGUGAACUAUGAGAAGUGAAUAAUAUAUAACAAAAAGAAUGAAAACAUAAAAGAGUGCAUGUUGUGUUUGUUGUGUGUGGUGUUACAUUGUGGCUUGUUAUUGUUACUUGGUAAUAUCGGAUAUUUAUACACCUUGGUUACAUGAAAUUGCUUCGAGGAGAGUGGAUUUGUAGAUAUAUCAUGCGAGAGUAAUCAUGAAGAAUAAUUACUUUUACCGCGCAGGCAACAUAUAAAAUGAGUCAUUGGUUGUUGCAUCACAUUAUUAACUGGUGAGAUAAGGUAGCAUCAUAGUAGCCAUUGGUGAGACAUGUUGACGCCCACACUAAUAUCUCUAUAAUAGAGAAUUAUGUAUGUGUUGUGUAACACUAGUAAGUGGUUGUGUGGCGUCGUACUAAUAAGGUGUGUGCCCAUGACUUUCAUAACUUUUACAAUAGAGAAUUAGGUGUGCUUCAUAUAACAUCAGUGAGUGGUUGCGCGAUGUUGUGUUGAUAAGGCAUGCACUCAUAACUUGUGCCAACUUAGAUGUUUUAAGUGCUUGGGUGGCAAUAAUACGUGCAUGAUAAUAUUUUAUCGUUUUUCAUUUCUUCUUCCCUCCCAACCUUGCAUGAUGUCCAUUCAAAUAAAACUGAGAACUGAAUUGAAGGAAAAAAGAGAAUAAUUGGUUGGCGAGUGUAUUAUAGGUGUCUACAUAUAAGCGAGCCCCAUUAAGUUAUGGUGGUGCAUUUGAGAUUGUCCUAUCUCUGACAAUGACAUUCUUUGAUGUUAUUGGAUUUGUCUCGAUGAGAGCUUUCUCAUAGUACAACAUGUUACAUCAUCGAAGUCACAAUGCUGCUUCAAUGACUUAUCUUUCCUUUCUCUUAUUUUUUUUAUUUUUUCUUUUAUUUCAAUUAACGAGCUGGUCUUUUUCUCUCCUCUUGUUGUCCGAUCUUCUUCUUUUCUUUUUUUUUGGACUGAAGACUAGCCCAACUAUUUGGUCUUCCUUUUUUAUUUUAAUUUGGCCUCUGGCCCCACCAAUUUGGCUAGAUAUGUUGUUAUUCGAUCUUAGUUGUUGAGCCUCUAGCCCAAUAGCUUCAUCAAAUAGGUAUUUAUUUAGAGUAUUAGGCCUUUUGGGCAUCAUAAUCCAUAUAUCAUUGAUAUUAAAGAGAAAUUAUUGCUUAAGUCUUAUUAAAAAUAAGCAUCGAGUAUGUCUUAAAUAAAUAAAAAAUAAUCAAACAUCGAAUGUGAUCGAGAUUUUAGUGUUAAUGCUUUGCAUUUUGGUGACAAUUUAUUCUAGAAGUUUCUACGAUAAUCGAUGUAUAAUAACACAUUAAAAAUCAAUAUUCUAAAUGGUUAGUUUCCUAUUUAUCAUAGGUUAUUAUUUAGUUAUACAAUUCUAAUUGCAUUAAUUAUUCAAUUAGAGUUUUUUUCAAUAUUAUCAAGUUUUGUAAAAUUUAUGUUUGCAACCUACAUCAAACGCAAGUUUCAAAUAUGAUGAAAUGACCACAAUACCCUAAUAUAUAUUGUAACAAAAACACCAAAAAACAUAUCAUUUUUCCAUCUCUCUCUUUCUCUUUGAAAUAUAUUUGUUUUUCAUUUAUUUUGCAUACAAAAAUCCAUCUCAUAACAAUUUUAAUUAAACAUAUUUUUUAAAACCGCAACUAAAAUUAUUUUUCUUAAACCUAUUUUUUAAAACCGCAACCAUAAAAGCUAUCAUAAUACUAAACACACAUUUAAAGUGAAUUUAGUUUUGUAGUAGCUUUUGUGGUUGUAAUUUGAAAAAAUUAGGUUUAGAAAAAUUACUUUUAGUUGUAGUUGGUUUGAUUAAAAUAUAUGUUUGGUUAAAAAUAUGGUUGAAAUUGUUGUUUAAUAAAAAAUACAUUAAAGAUGUUUGGUUGAAACUAUAGUUGAAAUUGAUGUUGCUAAUAAAAUGAUAAAAAAAAACAUGUAUUAAUUUCUUAUUUUGUAAUUAUAUUAAUGUAUAUUGGAUUAUUAAUACAUAGUAAAUACAACAAUGCAAAUUACAAUCCCACUUUUAUUUUCCUAUUAAACUUGCUACAAUCCCAUCAAGAACAUAAUCCAUACAAGGCCUCUAGUUUCCAUGGGUUUGUGAAUACGGAACCACAUCAGUUAAAAAAUCAUCAGGAACAAAAUUGAAAUAGUGAUCAAAUUUUAUAAAUUCCACAUCUUCCUGUGACUUCCUUCUAAUAUAGUUAUGUAUGUAUUGUCAUUGAUGCCACUACAAUCUAAACUUGUGUUUUGUAAGGAAAUGCAGACAUAUUCUGCUAAAUUCUCCACCUUUUUUUUCACGCUCCAAAUAUAUGUUUUAUCAUAUAACGUAUUGGUGAGUAAGCAUGAUUGAAUACUUCUUCCUUACUUCAUGGUUGUCCUCAUCGAUGAAAUUCUGGCAAGUGAUAUCUCUUACCUUUAUAUAGACCUAAAAAUUCAUACUCAUUUGGAUAUUCAUAAUCAAAUAAGUAGUACUUCACUGCGAUAACACAUAAUGACUUUAUAAUUUAUUCCCUAAUAGUUACAAUAACAUUAAUUUUUCGUUAUAGAAUUAAAUUAAAUUGUUUGUUUGUUAUUAUCUUCUAGUUAGUUUGGAAAUUUGAUAUUGGGAUUGCUAAUUGCCUUAAGGGAAAUUCGCGUAUCAUUUGCACUACCUUCCUAUCUAGCCUAAACAAACAUGAAUUGCAUGUCAAAACUACAUGCUACCAUUACUUUUUGAAUCGGCACACCUUUUAUGCCAAUAAAUGAUAUUUGAUUUUCUAUAGAUACACAAGCACACACAUGUGUGCAAUUGAUAACUUCUAUACAAUUCUACAUGAAAAACAAGAAGCAUGAAGCAUUAAUUUCUAAGUAAUUUGGAAAAAAACUAUCCAAAUUAUUAAUGAUAAAGAAGUAUAUUAGAGUUACCUUGAAAUGAAGUAUCUAACUUGGAUUCAUCACAAUUUCAAGUUGUAUGUUUACAAACUUAAAAUCUUUUGGUUUUAUAACAUCUAGUGCGAAAGAAGAAACUAUUCUCAGAACUUCAUUAAAAUAUCUACUAAUAGUUUCUCCUGGAUGUUGAAAUCUUUCCUAAACUUCCCUAUUUGAAGCAUCUAAUGUUGAUGUAUACAGAAACAUGCCAACCUUUUCAAUAGCUCUCAUCUUUCUUGAAGCUUUUAACCUUCGUUGGCUUUCUAAAUCAAAGAAUAGACUUUAAAAUAUUGUUGCAUCGAUCCUAAAUAUGUUUACACAUAUUUCUCAAUGUCCAUGUAAAAUUUCAUUUAACCAGCGCAUAUUUGUGUUGUUUGAAAUCAUACAAGGUUCUUUAUAUAUAUAAUUAUUAUAGUUCAUUGAGUGAUCUUUAAUUCUACAUAAUACUAAUUUAUGAUGAUCAAAAGCAUUUUCAUCAUCGUUAUUAUCAUCAUCCUUUUUAUUGCUACCAUCACUAACACAACUUGUCAAAUAACCAUCUCAACCCAAUAGCUUAAGCUGUUAGGUGAGGUCCUAGGAUAUGAUUUAUAUUAUUCUCUAAUACACCCCCUCAAGUAAAAGCCCUUUGGGCUUGAAACUUGCACAGACCCACAUUACCUUGUGCUUAAUUUUUAUCAAAUAAAUAGGGACGGUGAGAUUCAAACUCGUGACCGCUUGGUCAUCAAGGCUCUGAUACUAUGUCAAAAAACCAUCUCAACCCAAUAGCUUAAGCUGUUAGGUGAGGUUCCAGGAUAUGAUUUAUAUUAUUCUCUAACACAACCAAUGCUACCGCCACCACCACCACAAUUAACAUAAUCAACAAAAUGAUUUAUUACAUUAUCAUAAUCUCCAUAAAAAAAAGCAUUAAACCGUUCAGCAUCCAUAUCUAUAAUGAGAUAUCAUUUCUUGUAUUUAUGAGUAGAAUAAAUUAUAAGAGACUAUUAGUUCUACAAAAAAUUUAAAUAGGGAAAAUAACUAACAAGAAACUAAUUUAUUGUUUUGUGGAAAAGUUUAUUAAAAUUAUGAUAAUAAUUGAACAUAAUUGUUUAUUAUGUUCUGAAGUUGUAAGAUGUGUUUUUUAUUUUUAUUUUUUUAAUAACUCCAUAAUUAAUAAUAUGGGUCAUAAUGUUUAACAUCAUCAUCUUAAAUUUAUUUUGUAUUUUUUAUUUGCAUUUUUCUGUUGUUGACUGUGGCUUUACAAAAAGAUUGUUGCAUAGCAAGAAAUUUAAGAAAUAGAGAUAAUAAAAGGUUUAAUAAUGAACUAAUUAUUUUACCAGUAAUGAAAAUAGAAAUAACAUAUAAAAAUCUAUAUUACUUUUCUAUUAGCAUCAAGGUUUGUUUAACAUUAUAUGAAAUACACAAACACUAUUAUUUAUGUCUAGCAUAGUUUGUUAUAUCCUUCAUUUAGUUAAUCAUUAUUUCCUUCAUAUCCUAUAUUAGAACUUAAAUGGGCUUUUUGUACCUACAAAACACUAUCACUUUUCUUAUCUCAUUGCAUUCACUAUCCAAUUAUCACAAGAAAAUACCUAUCUUGUUACAUUUAUAUACAAUGUACCUUGAACUUGUAUUCCUUAAAAGACAAUAGUUACACUGGUUACUUUUUACUUGUAGUAAAAUUAUUUAACCAUUGUCAGACAAACAAAAUGGAUGCAUUUGACUUGUAUUAUUCCUUAACUAUAAUGAUAGUUUCAAAGACUGGUAAUUGAUAAAUAAAAAAAUAAAAAAAUAAAAAAAUGUUACUUGUUAAAUGUUACUUGUUUAUGUCUACACAACAAGCUCUAAUUAACUUUCAAUUGUUUACUUAUGAACGUAAAAUAUUAACUUUGAAAGUGACAUUGCAAAUACGCUUGCAAUACAAUAUUUUAUAUAGGAAUGGAUGCAUAUAUAAACAUAGUUGAAUAUUAGUUGUUGAAACUGCAAAACUAACUUUCAAAGGUUACUAUUCUCACCUAAAGUUCUCAUCCAAUACCUCUCUUCAAUGUUACACCAUUUCUUAUUACUAUCAGUGGAGGAACCAUUAUUCUUUGUCAAAACGCUAUCAACUAGUCGAUCCAAGCAUGAAAAUAAUUAUGCUUCCAUUUCAAAACCCUUUUUGUUUUCACCUUGAACUGUAGAAUAUGGUGUUGCUGUUUUUCUUACCACUACUAUGGUUGUUAUUGUUGUUUGCAACGUUGAAUCCAACUAUCAUGUUACUCAUAUCAACAAAUUAGAAAUAUCAUCCUCUUCUGAAUCAUCACUUAUUUCCUCCAGAUUAAUAUCAAUAUUAUUAGCAUUGCUCACUCCAUCAUCCCUGCCAUCUUUAUCAUGCACCGUUCCUAAAGAGGGAGCCAAAACAUAUAGUUCAACAUGCCUAAACUUGUUUGCUCCUCUGAUUUCCUACAUAAGAAAAAAUUAAAUAUAAUUAAUUAAACUUAAUGAGUUAAUGAAAUGCUUCAAUAAGAUAAAUGAAAUUGAAAAGAUGAAGAUCCUAACAAAUAACCUCGAGUUUUGCUUUCCACCACUUAUCAAUUGCAAAAAUAGUUCAUAAUUCACUACUCUAACAAACUUUAGUUUUAGAAAUUAACUUUUUCCAUAUCCUCAAAUACCUUUUGAUAUCAUCCCAUUUAUUCUUCAAUUGUGCCUUGGUCAAAGCAUGGUCAGCCUGCUCUUCAAAGGCAAUAACCAUAAAUUUCCAACCAGUUUUGUCAAAAUGAGUAUUUGGCCUCGUGCCCUUCUUAAUAGUUUUGAUGUAAAUGUCAUAGAAAGUAUACAACACUUAUUUAGUCUAAGAAGCUUUAUCUUCACUUUUAGAACCUUCAAUUGCUUUGUUCGAUAACCUAUUUCAAAACAUACAAUUAAGCAUUUAAUGUCGUAAGUGUAAUCUAAUCAUUAACUAGAAGAGUAAACAUGUUUGAUUGCAUUGUAUAAUUUAGAAUUUAUGAAUUAAAACAAUGGAAUUAGUGUAUAGUAUGGCACAUUAAAUUUCUUUCAAAUAUAGUAGAAAAAAGAAGUCUACCUGUUUUCAAAUAAAGAUAUGUAAGGAUUGCUGUUAACAAUAGUUGUAAUAUUGAAUACGAGGCCUAAUAAAGAGAUAGUAUGGAUAAAACAUUUUGUUGAUUUACAUAACAAUUUCAAUUUAAUUAAGAAGUGUUAAGAAUACAAAUAAUUCAUUACAAUAGCCCAUGUUCUUGAUCCUAGUUUUAUUAGUUUUUACGUGCUAAUACAAGAAUUCCAUUUUUAUUAAAAACAUUUAAGAUUUAAGAUUUUUAAUAGAGGAGAGGUAGUUUAGUUUUGCUAUAAAUCAAGAGACACUAUCCUUAAUAAUUACGGAAAAGGUACACAAAAUAACACAACAAAUUAAAAAACAUUAAGCUAAAGACAACUACGUAUACUAUAGCGUGAGGGAAAAAAAACACCAAUAAUGAACAAAAUAAUUUGCCCAAAAUAGCUUGAAAAAAGCAUAUAACAAGUAGGGGAAUGUUGUCUAAAAUUACCACUAGAAAACUGUUUUAUACUACCUUCACUUCUAUGAUCAAAACCACCUUGAUCUCCAAGUUGAUUAACAUUUGGUUUGCUUGCUGCCUGACUUGAUGCAUGUUUUAGUGGAUGUUGAUGGUGCCUUGGAUUCUACGUUUCUCUCUGCUGGUUAUUUGUAGGCCACGCUAAGUAUGCUGAUGGAUGAUGGCAGUUGUUGCUCCUGCCCAGUACUGUGCUCCAUUUUUUGGUUGUUGUUCGCUUAUGCUGGCAAGGUUAUAUGCUAUGCUUUUAUCGUGAUUCUCUCCUUGUGUAUGGUGAAGGCUGCGGGUUGUUGUCUGAAGUAGUCUUGGCUGGCUACUAGGUAGUACUGUUACUCUAUUCUGUCUUUUUGGUUUUUUUGUUUGGUUAGGUUGGGCACCUCCUCUCUGAUUAGGUUCCCCAUGUAACCAAUGUCUGCCUCCUCCUUUGGUUUGUAGCUCCUUUUUAGAUGAGCUUGAUGUAAUUAUUUUGUCAGGGAGCUUGUUUCCUUUUGUAUAUCUCUGUACAUGAACCUGCUAGUCCCCUAGUUUAUUUUAUUUUGAUCUUUUAAAUAUACUUACAUUUUGAUAAAAAAAAAAUACGAAAAGGAACAUCAUUGUUAGAACAUGAGAUCUAAAGUAAACCAGUCUAAAAACCUUAAGUAAACUAAGAAAUCAACAAUACCCUAUGUUUGAAUUGAUUAAAAAUAUAACUAUGAGUUAAGGAUUCAUGAAGAAAAAAAUUGAUUACUUGUUUGAAAACCUCUUAUCCGCUGUUUAUAUUCACUAUUUGAGUUGUUCUUUUUCUUGCUUCACAACAAAAACCAAUAAGGAGCAAUUUUCAUUCUUGCCAUCAUAUAAAAUAAAAGUUGAAAGAAAAACACAACACCACUAACACACAUGUAAAUAUGAUAUAAACCUAAAUAUGUAAUAGAUCUUUGAAGAGAUAACAAAGAAGAAGGUGAAUUCAACAUGAGAAACAAGAACAAAACAUCUGAAAUAAACAAAAUUGAAGGGUAAAAUUACUUCAUGAUGUUUACUUAUAAAGAUCUAUUGAGAUAAGUGAUAAUGGAAUUGAUGGGUUUGUCUUCACCCUAGAGAAAAAGAGAAAAGACAGAUAUAUCUGAUGGAAGAAAAAGAGGGUUCUUGAAAGAAGAUAAGGGUAUUUUGGUUUUUUUUUUAACAACGGUUCUUUCUCUUUAUCUUUUUUUACAAAUGUUGUUGGUGGAGAGAGAAUAAACUAAGGUUUGAGCUCAGGAUUUUGAUCUACACAUUAGAGAAGAAAAGAAAUGGUGAAGAUGAGGGUUUUUGAAAGAAGAUGAGGGUAUUUUGGUAUGUUUUUUCUACAAUGGUUAUUUCUCUUUUUUUUCUUGUAAAAGUUAUUUGUGGAGAGAGAAUAAGCUGAGGUCUAACCUUAGGAUUUUGGUCUACACACUAAAAAAAAAGAGAAACGACAGACAACUCUGAUGGAAUAGAAUGGGGGUAUUUUGGUUUGUUUGUUUUUUUUUUACAAUGAAUACCUCUUUUUUUUCUUGUAAAAGUUAUCGGUGAGGAGAGAAUAAAAUGAGAUAUGACAUCAGGAAAAACAAGAGCAUAAUGCUUCACAUGAAACUAUGGUUAUACCUUAAUUUAAAUGGUACCCACACUUUAAAGGAAACUGAACAAUUAAUUUUUAUGGUUGGAUCAUGAUCCUCAACAACUGUCACACUACUAAACACCGUCCUAUCUAAUGAAAUUACUAAUAAAAUAAUCAUAUUGAGAUUCUAUAUAUAUAAAAAAAUCUUCCAACAACAACUAAAAGACUACAAUAAUAUAUGAAGUAAAAUAAUUUAAUUUAAUUUAACUAUUUUAUCUUUGAUUUGAAUAAUAUCAUGAAAAUAAAGAUUAUAAUUAUAAUUAUAAUAAAAAUUAAAUAAAUAAACUUUUUAUGUCAACGCAAGCUGUACCUAGUUUGCAUUAUAAAUACAGGCUAGGCAUAUCAGCAGCUACCUAAAACACAUGUAAGUUGAUCAUGGUCGCAAUGUUUAUGUGUUGAUAGUGUAAGCAAUUAUCUAAUUGCAAACAUGAACAAUCAAAUAAAUUCAUAAUACCUAUGAUCUUAGAACUUCAAGAUUUUCACAUUCAAAUACAUAUUUAAAGAAAACUUUAAAAGAAAGCGUUCUUGGAUCUAUAGUAAACCCCUUAAAGAUUGAAAUCUCGUAUGCGGAUCGAUGAAGAAAAUGGUGUUUCUCUUCUGACCCCUUGAGUGCUUUUCGGAAGUUUUUGAUGGAAUAAAACAUACUGUUAUGGGUAAGAGAAGACCAAUUUUCUAAAGAGACACCUUAUUUAACCAUAAAAAGCUACUUCUCAAAAUUGACCAUAAAAUUCCAGUAUUAAUAUUGAGCUUAUUAUUUUAUGUAACAUAUAGAUGCAUGAACAUUAUAAAUUUUAAAUUUAUCAACAAACAUUUACAAAAUCCCUUUCCAUGAAAUACUUUUUUGAGGACUCAAUCCGCGGCUUUGAGUGCGAUCCAUCUGUAUAUUUCUUGCCUAAACGUGGCUCCAGCGACCCACGACUUAGUAUAAUCAAGACAGCAGUUUAUAUGUCAUGCAAUAUCAAUCAUGGCUGUUAUGUCAACUGUCGUGUUUCCCUCACCAUGUGCUGGCCGUGGGCUUUUCUUCACCAACUUGAGAGUUGAGACAGAACCUUCCCAGCUCCCUCACGCACCUCAAAUGAGACACAAAAUACUGACUUAUUAGCGUCUGAUAUUUAACUGUUUGUUGCUAAACUGAUAUGAUAUCAUACGAUCAUUGUCCAAUUUGUAAAAUAUUGUUCUUGUCUCAUGAGCUUAUUUCGUGGUAUAGCGAUGCCGAGCCCUCGGUUUCGUCCCAGCAACAUUUGACCAUGGAUUUCUGUCGUUUUCACAUUGUUUUUUUUUUUUUUUUUAAUGUAAGAAUAUUGACUGCGUAUGAGAUUACACAAGCACAGGACAUUUAUUGAUAGUGAGAUGCUCUACACGCAGAGGAAGCACCUUCGUAUUGUUUGCCGACGCAGAUAAAUAAAUGUCACGGUGCAGGAUUUAAAAAGAACUAGCCAGCUAGAUAAUUAGUACAAUAGAAUCGAACAUUGAUCGCAAGCAAAGAUUUUAGUUUCAGCAUACUAAGAUGUUUUUGUCUUCCUAUCAACAGGUUGGCACCUUCUCUUUUAUUUUUUUAUUUUUUUUGUCUUACUGUCAACAGGCUGGCCCUUCUAGCAUAUUAUUCUAUUAUCAAUUGAGUCCCACACCGUUUGAUUUUGUCAAUUUUACUCCAAACAUAUGAACAUUGAGCAAUGCACCCCUCAACCCUUGUAUUAUUAAUAAUGUCGUUGAUCUUCUCUGUGCAUGUAUGUUACCCCGCGGUGUCUUACUUGCUCACUGGGUUUGCAGGGUGUUCAGUGGAUGCGAAAAUUAGUCGUGGUGCACGUAAACUGACCUGGAUACCCUUGGCUAUGAAAAAUAAAAAAAUAAUAGUCAAAUAUUUAAAUUUUUUUAUCCAGCUCGCACGUCAUUAAGUGUGUUUCCAUUAAAAGCAUCAAAGUAAACUCCAAUCUACCAUAACAAAUAGUAAAUUUAAACCAAAAUGUGCUUAAGAUUAGCACCUAACUUUUUGUUUGUUUUCAUAAGUUUUGUAUUACGCGUGUAGUCAUGUUGUUAGAAUUUUUGGCAUAGACCUAAAACUAAACAUACGGCCCAGUUUAGAGUUAUAUAAUAUAAACACAUGACUUGGAUGGAUUUUGUCUCCAUCAAGAAGACGAAAUUAUUCCACCCAAUUUUUCCUAUAGUAACAGACGACCCUAUAAUUUUUAGACGGAGUUUGUCUUUGCAAGACAACCAUACUUUUAACAAAUUAUAUUUUUUUUUGUUUUAAAUUAAUUUUUUUUAUAUUUUUGGAUUGUUUUAAUGUAAUUAUAUCUAAAAUAAAAUUUUAAAAUAAUAAAAAAUAUUAUUUUAAUAUAUUUUCAAGCGAAACAUAAUUUUAAAAACAACGUUACUAUAAUCCCAAACGUUAUUACUUAGGUAAAAUAAAAUAAAAGAUGAAGAUCAACAACCAUUCCUCUCUCUGGACGAACUAUCUUAGUUGAAAAUAUACACGUCUAGGUAGCUUCUCAUAAGCUUCUAGCUUUUGAUAUUCAAGUUGACGAGACAUAUCAACUCGUUAUUGUUAUACCCUUAACAACUCAGGGCCAUAUCUGUACCUCUAUCCUAAGGAGUUCUUCUCAAUCAAUUACUUUUGUUAGGAAUUUAACGUAUUAGGGCUUAGUGCAAUUGUAAGUGGAGCUUCCACCAUUGAUAACAGUGAAUGAUAUCUCGAUCAUUCUUCGCUUUAUAAGCAAGCUAAGGAGGUAAGUACUAUUGAAAACAUAUAUUUUUGCUAGAGAUGAAGAUAUGAUCAACAAUAAUUUCUUUACAACAUUACUACUUUUAACAAAAUGAUGCAUUAUGUGUUUGAUCGAAUGGAGAAAAUCACCAUUUGCUGAGGGAAAAACCAAUCCUCAGCCGCUCGAUUUCCUUCCACCUCCUCUAGUUUUGUUUAACCAUAACUACCUAGACCACUUGCACAAAUUUCUUAGACCAAUAUAAAGACGUUGACCAAGAAUCAAAUAUGAGGUUAUUACUCUUUGGAUCUUUAUUAGCUAAAACAAAUUUUCAAUGGUAUUUUAAUCUACCACCAAAAUCCAUACAAUCAUGAACAAGUAUGGAAAAGAAUUUCAUUAAAAGUUUCUAUCAUAUAGAGUUAGAGAUGACUUUUAUAGAUUUGACUAAUCUUGUCUACCAACCUGAAGAAUCAGUCAAUGCUUAUUUUCAGUGGUUCAUGAAAAAAACACUGAAGUGUUCUGCAUAUAUACCGAAAGCUAACUAUAUCCAAAUGAUUUUGAAAAGGAUGAAUUGGCCCAUGCAAAAGAAACUUAUUAGGUAGAAGUUCAAAGAUGUACGAACCUUUACUAAUAAGGUUUCUGAUACAAACCUUAUGGAUAUAAAGAUCUAAAAAUUCACAAUUAAAUUAACUCUUUCUAGUAAAGCUAAAUUCAGACUUGUUAUUUAGUUUGACACAAUAAUAAUCUAUACGAAGACACCAAGAUUAUAAGUAACCAAACCUCCACACAAUGCCUAUAAAGAGACACAAAUGAGAAGUAUAAAAGAAGACAUGAAGCUUGGCUAAUUCUUCAAUAAGUCAUAGUAGUUCAUUGAAAUACCAAGAAAUAUGAGCAAAACCUCUUAUACACAAUAGUAAUUACCGAAAUCAAAUUCCGUCUUAAAAAAACCUAAAUACAAGCUAAAUAAAUCUAUUUAUAAUAGGUAAAAACAUUCUAAAUAAUGCUAGAAAAUAAUAAAAAAGUUUUAAUAUAGUUCCUGCACAUUAGCUUCUGGAUCUUAUCUCAAGGCCUUCCUAAUGAUCGAUGGCCUUGAAAUAUUAACUCAUUAUAGAACAAGACCUCUGAAAAUUUCUGAUAAAAUCUUAGCCCAAUCCAAUGGUUGUAUUAAAAACUAUUCUUGUUAGGCUAAAACUAUGCAUCAGGAAAAAUAAACUUUUAACUGCCAAAAUUAAUUAGCCAAUGAAGUUUAUUGAUAAGGACCUUCUUGUGCAUGAAUUAAAUUGAAUAAGGUUUGAUCUUCACUUGUUGAUGUUGCCUCUUUGAAACCCACUUUGACCUAAAUAUUAUGAAUAAACCCAUUGAAUAUAUUUUUAAGCUUCUUUGCCUUUGAUUUUGUAAUUGACCCCAAUUGAGACUUGCAAUGAAUCUUUUGGAAUAGUCUUGAUCAUAUUAUCCCCUUUCUCUUUAAAAAGUUUCAUCCACAAAUUAUCUCCUACAUCAAACAAAAAGUGAUAAAAAAUAUUGAAAGUAACAUUAGCACCAUAAUUACUUGGUAGAUCCACGUUAUAAACAUUGUCAUUAAUUCUUUCAAGGAUUUUGAAUGAUCUAUCUUCUCCUGACAUCAACUUCAUAAUUAUUUUGAUGUUGAUGAUGGAAUUGAUGUUGAGUCUAUUUGUAUAGUCAAACUCAAGAUAAACAACCAUUUGAAUACACCACUUUAAAAAAAGGUUAAGACAACAAAAGUAUGUGUAAAUUACAUAAAUAAGUCAAAAGCUAGUAUUAAGUCUUUUUCCAUAAAAUAUUAUUUUGAUAUUGGCCAAGUAGAUGAGAAUUUGACUAACUAAUAUACAUGAGGGGCAAAUGAAGCUUACUGGCAACCCCAUUGCUAGACCAAUUUACUAUAAAUGGUAUGAUUCUUAAAAAUCUACUACCAAUAAUAUUGUGAUUGUUUGGAAUUAGAUUCGGAAGGCUAAAGUUUGUUAAAAAAAAUGCAAGUGGAUGAGGAUCCCUUAUAAAAGAAACUACGAUCAUAACUUCAAUAAAUUUGAAGGAUCUAUUUAUAUUUAUAAUUUUUAAAAGAACAUGGCUAAUAAACCAUAAUCAAAGUUAAAACUAAAAAAAAAAAAAUCCUAAAAUAGCCAAUAAUCAGUCAAUGUUUAUUUUCAGUGGUUCAUGAAAAAAACACUGAAGUAUUCUGCAUAUAUACCGAAAGCUAACUAUAUCCAAAUGAUUUUGAAAAUGAUGAAUUGGCCAUACAAAAGAAACUUAUUAGGCAGAAGUUCAAAGAUGUAUGAGCCUUUACUAAUAAGGUUUCUGAUACAAACCUUGUGGAUAUAAAGAUCUAAAAAUUCACAAUCAAAUUAACUCUUUUCAGUAAAGCUAAAUUCAUACUUGUUAUUUAGUUUGACACAAUAAUAAUAAUCUAUACGAAGACACCAACACUAUAAGUAACCAAGCCUCCACACAAUGCCUAUAAAGAGACACAAAUGAGAAGUAUAAAAGAAGACAUGAAGCUUGGCUAAUUCUUCAAUAAGUCAUAGUAGUUCAUUGAAAUACCAAGAAAUAUGAGCAAAACCUCUUACACACAAUAGUAAUUACUGAAAUCAAAUUCCGUCUUAAAAAAUAAAUAAAUACAAGCUAAAUAAACUUAUUUAUAAUAGGUAAAAACAUUCUAAAUAAUGCUGAAAAAUAAUAAUAAAAUUUUAAUCCAGUUCCUGCACAGUAGCUUCUGGACCUUAUCUCAAGGCCUUCCUAAUGACCAAUAGCCUUGAAAUAUUAACCCAUUAUAGAACAAGACCUCUGAAAACUUCUGAUAAAAUCUUAGAAAAAAUAAACUUUUAACUGCUAAAAUUAAUUAGCCUAUGAAGCUUAUUGAUAAGGACCUUCUUAUGCAUGAAUUAAAUUGACUAAGGUUUGAUCUUCACUUGUUGAUGUUGCCUCCUUGAAACCCACCUUGACCUAAAUAUUCUGAAUAAACCCAUUGAAUACAUCUUUAAGCUUCUUUGCCUUUGAUUUUGUAAUUGACCCCAAUUGGGACUUGUAAUGAAUCUUUUGGUAUAGUCUUGAUCAUGUUAUCCCUUUUCUCUUUAAAAGGAUUCAUCCACAAAUCCUCUCCUACAUCAAACAAAAAGAGAUAAGAAAUAUUGAAAGUAACAUUAGCAUCAUAAUUACUUGGUAGAUCCACGUUAUAAACAUUAUCAUUAAUUCUUUCAAAAAUUUUGAAUGAUCCAUCUCCUCCUGACAUCAACUUAGAUCUUCUUUAUUGAGAAAGUCUCUCCUUUUGUAUAUGCAUACAAACUCAAUCACUUGGUUCAAAAUAAUCCUUUUUCUCCCUUUAUUAGAUUUGAAUGCAUAUUACUCAUUAUAUAUAUAUAUACACCGCUUUACAUUGUCACAUAGAGCCUUUACUACCCCCUUUCAUUAAUAGGUAAAGGAAACCAAUCCAAAGGAGUCCAAGGUUUAAAUCGAAAGUAAUAGAAUGCACACUCCUAUUAUAAGUAAAUUCAAUAAAUGACAGACAAACUUCCUAGUUUUUCAAAUUCUUUUGCAUGAUAAUUCAUUACAAUGUAGUUAAAGCCCUAUUAACUGCUUCAGUAUGAUAUCUAUUUAUGGAUGAAAAGUAUUAGAAAAUAACAAUUUUGUUUUCUAAUUUUCUGUGCAAAACCUUCUAAAAACAGCUAAGAAAUUUAACAUCAUGUUCAUACACAAUACUCCUAUGUACUCCAUAGAGUGGAACAAUUUCCCUAGAGAAUAAAUUUAUUAUGUUAGUGGCAUCAUCAAUUUUAUGAUAAGAUAUAAAAUGUUCUAUCAUAGAAAACUUAUCCACAACUACAAAAAUAGAAUCCCUACCCUUUUUGACCUAGGCAAACCUAGUAUAAAACCCAUAGAUAUAUCAACCCAAGGUUUCUUAAGCACUAGAAAAGAAGAAUAUAAACUAUGCGGUAAAAUUUUAGACUUAGCUUGUCUACAUGUUAUGCAUCUAUCAAAAAUUCUUUGCACAUCUUUUUUCAUCUUAGGCCAAUAAAACUGCUUAUGCAAAAUAUCUAAAGUCUUAGCACCCCAAAGUGUGCCAUUAAUCCACACCCAUUAGCUUCAUAGAACAAUUAGGUACACAUAAUCUCUUUUCUUUGAAUAAAUAUUCAGGAAAUUCAAUCUUUUCCAUACACAAGUCACACUUUUUUUCAGAUUAACAUAUAAACAAUCUUUUCACAAAGCAACCAAUACAUUCCUUAAAUGUUCAACAUGCUCCUCUAAAUUCUUACUUUAAAUCAAAAUAUCUAAAAAAUAAACAACAAUAAACUUACCUAUAAAAUUUCGCAAAGCAUGGCUCAUUAAUCUCAUGACAGUACUAGGUGCAUUAGUUAGUUCAAAAGGUAUAACUAACCACUUAUACAACCAUAUUUAAUUUUAAAAGUAAUUUUUCAUUCACCUCCCUCUUUCAUUUAUAUUUGAUGAUAUCCACUUUUUAAAUCAAUCUUAGAAAACAUACAAGACCCAUACAAUUCAUCUAAAAUAUCAUUAAGUCCAGGAAUUGAGUGUCUAUAUUUUACCGUAAUAAUGUUAAUGGCAUGACAAUCAAUACACAUCCUCCAAGUCCUAUUCUUUUUUGGUACUAACAAUACUAGAAUAUGGACUCAUACUUUUUCUUAAGUACCUUUGAAGUUCCUUGUCUUAUUAUGAUUACUUUUAUAGGUUGGUCGAUUAGAUAUAGAUGCUCCAGUUACAAAAUCAAUUUGGUGCUUAAUUUUCCUAAUAGUUGGCAACCCACUAGGAAUUUCAUUAGGAAAUAUGUUUUUAAAGUCUAGUAAUAAAGAAACACAUAUUAGAAAGCCAAUGAUCAUGGUCAUUAGUUUUAAAAUAUGCCAUUAAUAAAGAAACACACAUCACUUAUGCACUAAUAAAAUUAUAGGCAUGUUAGAAAAAUAAACAUUUUUAAUCUCACUCCCGCUUGCAUAAAAAUUAACAUGUUUUUUUUUUUACAAACUCUUUUCUUUCUCACCUUCCAUUCUUCUCUCAUCUCCUUGUUGAAUCCUUAUUAACUCCUAUUAUAGUCGAAUCUAACAUUCUUCUCUCUUAGCUCACUUUAUCUUUGCUCUUCCUCACAUCCUUACAUGGUUAAUCUUUUUCUUUGGCUUUACCUUUUCCUUUCAAUUUCAACUGGUCUUUUUACACUUGUCUAAGGGACAAUGGUACAAGUACAAUUGUCUUCCCAUCCCUUUUAAGAGUAUACUUGUUCUUAAACCCAUCAUACUUGUUUUUUCUAUUAAAUUGCCAAGGUUUUCCAAACAAUAAAGAGUAGUAUGCAUAGGCACAACAUCACACAACACUUCAUCCUUAUAUUUUCCAAACCAAAAAAUAAACCAAAACUUGCUUAGUAACUUUUAUUUCUUCACAAUCAUUCAACCAUUGAAGUCUAUAAGGCUUUUCAUAUUUAAUAGUGUUCAAAUUUAAUUUUCUAACAAGUGUAGUAUUAGUAACAUUAACCCAACUCCCACAAUUAAUAAUCAUAUUACAUACCUUAUUAUUUAUAUGACAUCUAGUAUGGAAUAUGUUCUUCCUUUAUCUCUCUAUAUCAUCCUCUUUAAUCUAAACAUUAAGUGUUCUCCAAAUUUCAACUGGAUACUCAACAUCACUAUAGUCCUCAAAUGGUGGCUUAUCAUCCUUAUUGGAUUUGUCACUUUUAGAUUCAAUAUCCUCAUUCUCUCUCAUAGCCAUAAUUUUUUUGUUUGGACAUUAUGAAGCUAUAUUGUCACUCCCUAAACACUUGAAACAUUUAAUAUCAUAGUUAUAAUUAAAUGGGAUCUUAACUUUACCUUUUGUUUUAGUGGCUGAAUUUUUUCUCCAAGCCUUGGAUGGUUUAACAUUGUUGCCCAUAGUAUUCAAAAUUGAUAUGGAAGCCUCCCUCUCUUUCUCCUAUAAUUUGGCCUUUAAAAUGAAAAGGAAUUUGAAUUACCUUCUUUAGUUGUAUUGCCCUUUCUCUUCAACUGCCUCCCUAUUUUGGUAGCCAUAUGAAUUAGAUCUUCAAACUUAACAUAAUGUUACAACUCAAUCACAUUAGCUAUCUCUUUAUUCAAUCCAUUCAAGAACAUUACUAUUAUAACUUCUCUAUCCACCAUAACAUUAGCUUUAAUCAUGACAAUCCCUAUUUUCUUAUGGUAAUCCUCCACUCUCUUAGAAACUUGAGACAAACUCUACAAUCUUUGAUAUAAUUCCAUCCUAAGUCUAUAUAGGUCUCUCCUCUUUCCUUCUCUUUUCUAAGACAAGUUGAUCCCACCAAAUAAUAGCAUAGUCAAUAAACUCAAUAACAAUAAGAUUAAUUUUCACCUUAAAGUAAUUGUGACAAUAAAAAAUCAACUUCAUUUUUUCCCUCUCUAAAUAAGCUUCUAAAUCAUUUUUGCAUUGAAAAUCCAAAAUAUUCAUCUUAAUAUUGCCUAAAUCUAUAUCCAAACCAUCUUGAAAUCCUUCCUCCGUAUUGACUCUCCUAUGACCGAAUUGCUCAAGUGGCUAAACUUUGUUAGGCCUUUGGUUUCUAUGUGGCCACAACCUACCACCAUUGUUAUCAUCAAAAUCCUUGGACUUGUUAUUUGUAUUUUUAGUUAUAGAUUUUUUAAAAUGUGAAUUACCUCAUCUCACAUUCCUUAUUCCUUCCAAACCCUUAUGGUCUGACCCAUCUCAAAGACUUGCCACUUCAGUUCUCAAACCAUCCAUCCUACUCAUUGCUUCUCUCAUGUUUCACAUAAAUUUUCAGCUUUACACUCUAAUAUGCUCACUUUCACCUUUUAUCACUCAAUUCUCAAGAUUUUAGCUCUUUAAAAAACUAAUUCACAACAAAUCAAAGAUUAAUAUCUUUAUGGAGCAAUCAAAUAAUGCAAAGACUCAAGAAGUAAUAAAGACUAAAAAUUAUCAAUACAAAAUUACGAAUAUGAAAACACGAGUAUCAAUAUGAAUUCAUACGAAAUAUGAACUAUACAAAGAUAAAAGAGUACAAAGGAGGAUAAUGAAAAAAGAUUUAACGACUCAAAAUAACAAUAACAUUUGCAUUUUUCUAAAAAAAAAAAAAACAAAGUAAUGAUGCAAAAACUACCCUUUUAUAAUUUUUAAGAUAUCCCAAUCAAGAUUCUUUUAGAUUUAAAGCAAGUGGUUGAACUUUAUGUUUAUUUGAAUCAAGUUUUUCGAACCUAAAAAAUUUAUUGUAAUUUUCUUUGUUCUUUUUUUUUAAGACUUUAUUUAAUCAAGAUCACAAGUAUUUUCCUUUUAUAUAUAUAUAUAUAUAUAUAUAUAUAUAUAUAUAUAUAUAUAUAUAACUUGAUGUUGCAAUUAGGUUUUAGAGAAGAUAAAUAAUUCGACAACAAUGAAGUAUGUGAAAACUUGAAGAUAAAAGGGAUAUAAUCUAAUUUAGAGCCUUGUUUUAAUACCAACUAAUGUGAACCCCAUAGAUAUAAGAUCCUGAAAUCCAUAAUUAAAUCAAUUCUUCCUAAAAAAGCUAAAUUUAGGCUUGUAAUUGAGUUUGACACAACAAUAACUUGUAUCGAGGCACCAAAACUAUACAUAACUAAACCUCUACCCAACGUUUAUAAAGAGAUGAAAACAAGAAGUAUAAAAGAUGUUAUGAAACUUGGUUAAUUCUUCAACAAGUCAGAGUAAUUCAAUGAAAACAAAAAAUUAUAAGCAAAAUCUUAUACACAUAAUAAUAAUUGUUGAAAUCAAAGGUUGUAUAAAAAAAACCUAAAUACAAGCUAAAUAACCCUAUUUGUAAUAGAUAAAAAUAUCCUAAACAAUGUUAGAAAAAUAAUAAAAGAGUUUUAAAUAAAAUAGGAAAAUGUAUCCUAAAUCAACUAGGAAACCAAUAAAAUUCCCUUACAAUAGCUUCUAGACCUUAUUGCAAGGCCUUCAUGAAGAGAGAUGACCUUAAAAUUUUAAGCCAAUAUAGAACAAGACUUGGGAAACUUUUGGUAAAAUUUUAUUUUGAUCCAAUUGUUGGAUAAAAAAUUAUGUUUGUUAGAAUAAAAUUAUGCACUAGGAAAAAUAAACCUCUAACUGCCAAAAUUAAUUAGCCCGUGAAGUAGAUGGACCAGGCCCCUCUCGUGUAUUAUUUAAAUUGAAUAAGAUCUAAUCUUCACUUACUGAUGUUGCCAUCUUGAAAUCCACAUUUGCCUAAAUAUUUUGAAUAAGCUCAUUGAAUGUAUAUUUGAGCUUCUUUUCCCUUAAUAUUAUAAUUGGUCUAAUUGAACCUUGCAAUGGAUCUUUUGGUGUAGUUUUGAUCGUAUCAGUAUCUAGGUUUAAAUAAACAUUGAAUGCCCAAGAAUAAAAACACCUUUUCAUGGUACCUAUCAUGUGAAAAAAUUGAUUAUGAAGACUUUGAUGAUGGAAUUGAUGUUGAGUCUAUUUGUAUAGUCAUACUCAAGAUAAACAACCAUUUGAAUACAUCACUUUAAAAAAAGGUUAAGACAACAAAAGUAUGUGUAAAUUACAUAAAUAAGUCAAAAGCUAGUAAUAACUCAUUUUCCAUAAAAUAUCAUUUUGAUAUUGGCCAAGUAGAUGAGAAUUUGACUAACUAUACAUGAGGGGCCAAUGAAGCUUAUUGGCAACCCCAUCACUAGACCAAUUUACUAUAAAUGGUAUUAUUCUUAAAAACCUAUUACCAAUAAUAUUGUGAUUGUUUGGAAUUAGAUUCAGAAGGCUAAAGUUUGUUAAAAAAUAAUGCAAGUGGAUGAGGAUCCCUUAUAAAAGAAACUACGAUCAUAACUUCAAUAAAUUUGAAGGAUCUAUUUAUAUUUAUAAUUUUUAAAAGAACAUGGCUAAUAAACCAUAAUCAAAGUUAAAACUAAAAAAAAAUAAUCCUAAAAUAGCCAAUUAUACUUGAACAUAAGUGUCCUAAUUAUAAAACAUUCUUAUCUUUGAGGGGGAUUUAGGUUCUAGAAUACUAAAGUUAUUCACUCCUUUGCAAACCUUCAAACUACUAUUGUCAUACACAUUAACUCAAAGAAAAAUCGACCAUUACAAUUGAUCAACCAUUAGUUGACCAUAAUCAUGUUUUAGAUCUAAAAAAGAAGAAGAUAGACUCAAGGUCGAUUAACCAAAACACAAUAUAUGAGGAUGUAUAAGUUUAGUAGUUAAGAUAGGCUCAAGAUCGAUUAACUAAAACAUAAUAUAUGAGGGUGUGCAAGCUUAGUAGUUUGGUUAAAAGGAGUGAGGCUAGAUCAUAUCUUAAAAAAUACACUAGGGCAAAUCCAAUGUCUAAACAAUCUCAUAGUGACUUUUUUUUAUACCAAUUCUAUUAUACAAUGGCCAAAGCUUAACGAUAGCAAUUAAAAUAUAGAUUCUAUGAUUAUAGAGGUAGGUUCUAUGAUGGUAAUAUAAAGUACAAAGCCUAAGCUAAAGACAUAGUUAUACACCUCCCAAGGCCUCACUCUUGAAGUGCAAUUGGCUAAAUUGAUCAAACAAUUAUAACACAUGACUACCCAAAUACAAAAAUAGAAGUAGCCAACUAUCAGGACUAUAGCUUUCCCGAGUACAAAGAAAAGGAAGAUCAUCCAUCCUAAUAUAUGUAAAUAAUUAGUUAUAUAGGAAUACAAUUCUCAAUAAAUGGACACAUAUUAGGAUAUUACCUUGAAAAUAUCUUAUUAUAAUUCCAUGAUCAGGAUAAUAAUUAAGUAGCUGAAGAUGGAUAAACUCAUUAAGAAAGAGAAGUCAGGAAUUGAUUUUCCAACAAAAAUGAAAUAAAUAAUUAGGGUUUGAGGAGAUCAACAAGAGAUAAGUUGGAUAUCCCUUCUUACCCAAAAUCAGGUGAAGAAGAAGUUCCUUUGGUCAAUAUGGUGUUCAUCCUUCCUAACCCUUUUAAGGUCAAACUUUAUCAAUCAUCUUUCUAUACGAUAAUAAUAAAAAACCUAGUAAUGAUGAAGAUGCUUUAAUAACACUUGGCAAUUUGAACAAGGAUGUUAUAAAUCAUGAAAUUAUGGUUGAAUCUAUAAAAAAAGUAAUAAUAUGUUCACGCAAUCAAGAAAAAAUAUGAGUAAGCAUAUUAAAACAUUGCACAUUAUUACAUAUUUCAUUGAUUUUUCUAUUUCUAAAGUGUUUGUUGAUGAUGAGGUUGUUUUUAAUAUUCUUCCUCUAUGGUUACUCAAUGAAAUUGGAAAAUCAAAGCCAAAAUACUUCUUUUUGAAGUCUUCAUAAUAGAUUUUAUAAAAGGCACCGCCAAGAUAAUGGGUCUAUUGCGAAUUCAACUAAUUAUAGGAACCAAGUAAACUCAAAUAACUCUUAAAUUCGUUGUUAAGGUUAGACCUAGAUAUAAUGUUAUACUUGGUUAAGAUGGGAUUCAUGCUAUAUGUGUAUACCUUCUCAUCUACAUCAAGAAUUAAUAUUUUGAAAUCCAAAUAGUACAAUAAAAGUGAUUAAUGUUGACGAGAAAAACUUUAUGGAUAUGCCUUAUAUGACCGAUGUAUGACUAUAUGAUUAGGAUAUCAGUACAAUUAAGUUUGCUAGUUGGGACAAUUUAGGACAACCUAUAAAUUUCAUUGUCUCCAAAACUAUCUAAUAAAAUACACAAAUUGAAACAUUGUUUUGGUAGGUUAGAAAGUAAAGGAGGAAAUUGGCUAGGAUAAUAAUGAUGUAAUGGAUCCUUUAGGUCUUGUAACCUAUUUAAAGGCCACUAAUAAGGUCAUAGACUACACUUUUUAGAACAAGAUUUGUUUGGUUGGAUUUCUUUACAAAAAAAAUCCUUCACCACUAUAAUUGGUUAGUGAUUUUCCAGUGGUGUCAUUAAAGGUGGAUCGUGAGAAAGUUGAGGUGUAAAAUCCUUUUAAAGAAAUGAAUUUAAAAAUAAGUCCAGAACCUUAACCAAUGUUGAAAAACAACUCAUUUGAACAUGAUUAUAGGAAAUACAUUAUUCAUUUUUAUUUAAAUUUAAGGAUUGUGCUUGAGACUACAAUGAAAUGCUUAGUAUGACAAGAAGUCUUGUUGAACAUCCUUUGCCUAUCAAAAAAGGGUUCAAACAACUUAAACAACCAAUGCACAAAAUGACUGCUAAUGUGGUUGUUCGUAUUAAGUAGGACAUUAAAAUAUUGUUUAGAGCUAGUUUCAUACGAAUAACAAGAUAUGUAUAAUGAUUAUUGAAUAUUUUUUACAAUAAUAAAAAAAUAAAAAAGUGAGAGUAUGUAUAGAUUUCUAAAAUCUAAAUACUACAACACCUAAAUAUUAAUAUCUUAUGCUUGUAGUUGAUAUGCUUAUAGAUUUUAUUAUUGACAAUGAUUUGCUAAAAUUUAUUGAUAGAUGUUCUAGGUGUAAUAAUAAAAAAUAUAUUGCUAAGAAAGAUGUUUAAAAGACUGUUUUUCAAUAUUCAAGAUCACUUGGCAUCUUUAAGUGGAUUGUGAUGCAUUUGGCCUUAAAAAUGAUAAAGCAACUUAUCAAAGGGAUAUGAAAUUAAUAUUUUAUGAUAUUAUUAGGAUAUUUAUAAAAAUAUAAAUUGAUGAUAUGGUUGUCAAGCUUACAACCAGCUCAUCUCUUGUUAAAGAUUUAUGAGUGUCCUUCAAAAGAAUACAACUAUAUGGAUUCAAAAUUAAUCCUUUGAAAUGUGCAUUUGAUGUUUACAUUGAAAAUUUAUUGUCUAUCAAAGAGGCAUUAAGGUUGAUAAAGACAAAGCCCUUAAAAGAUUAUUUUUUUACAAUAAGAAAGAAUUACAAUGUUUUUUUUUAUAUAAAAAAAGUCAAUUUCUUGAAAUGAUUUUUCUCUAACAUGGUACAAAAAUCUUGAAUGCUUUUUAUUUUGCUGAAACUAAAAUAGCAUGAUAUGUAAUAUUUGAUAAAAGAGAACAAACUAUUUUUGAUUAAAUCAAGAAAUGCUUUUCUUUUCUCUAUGUUUUGAUGUCACCACAAAGAAAUCAACUUCUUUGGUUGUGCCUGUAUGAUGUCCAUGGCUAUAUUAACAUUUUUCUCAUACAAUAAAAUGAGUUUGUGUCAGGUCAUCCAAAAUAUUUUUCUUAAUUUAUCUAGGAUGAUGAAUCCUCUCUUGUUUACUUAGAUACAUUUAUUUAGUUCGUGUUAUGUCCAAUAUCUACUCGUUUUCUUACCCUCGAUUAAGAGAACUUAUAGUUAGGAUCAAGUCAUAACAUUUUCUAUAUAAGAUAAUUUAUGAUGUCAAAUCUAAAGAUCACUUAUAUAAUUUUUACGUGAGUCUUUCCAUAAACACAAAUGAUAUCUUCAUAUAAAAUCCUCAUAUGGGUGAAUUUAGUGUAUAUAUCAUUUGAUAAGCACCUAUAAAUUAUUUCUAGAUAUCCCUUAUAACUCAGCUUUUGAGAACAAUUGUUUUCUUUCAUAAAGGAAAGAACAUAAUAUGUAAUAAUCUUCAUGACUCUAAUUGAUGUCCAUUAGUUAUAGAGAACUUUAUCUUUCUCUAGGCUCAUUAAUCAAACAUAAUUGAAUUUUAAAAAGAUAAAACCUUUAUUAAUAAUAAAUAUGCUUUUACAUGAAGAAAGUAAGUUCCAUAUGUAACCAAUCGAUUAGCUACUGAGUAUACUCACUAUUAUUUACUUUCUAUAAGUUUAUUUUCUUCCAAAUGUUUUAUUUUUGUCUAAAUUACUGUUUUCUUUACAACUUUAUACUUUAUAGUUCUUUCCAUUUACUUAUCAUAUAAUUUACCUUUUACACAAUUUACAUAUUGCUUUAUUUAAUUACUUUCUUUACCAUGCAAUUUAACUUUUCUUUUCUUUAGUUUUGUACAAGUUCUAUGUUAGAUAUGAAUUCUUCAUAAUCUUCAAGAUUUAUUUCUUGAUAAAAACUUUGUAGUUUAGAUUGAAAUAAACCUCCCAUGUUUAUUGACGGAUUCUUAUAUCUACAAACUUCCGUGUUUACACACUCGAUUGAAACUUAAUAAUCUUUUAAUUAUUAAUAGUUUAAGUUCAUUAUGGUCCUUAUGAUUUGUAUGACUCAUUUAAAUUCUUGAAUUUAUAUCUUAAUGUAGCUUUGAUUGCUAAAUUUAGUACUUUUAUUUAUGCCUUUUUAAAACCAUCAUUGUUUUUAGGAUUAAUACAUUGAUCCUUAUUUAUUUGGACUUAAUAUCUCUAGUUUUCUAAAGACAAAUUCACAAUCUUGCUUGUUCACGAGGUAAUUGUCUUUUUAUUGUAGAUUACGGUAUUAUAAUAAUAAAAAGCUUUUAUCUCCUUAAAGGAAAAGAGAUAUUUAUAUUGAUAACAAUAAUUUAUUCUAAAUGAUAGGCUCUAAAAUUUGAAUCUUGAACCAUCUUUACAAAUACCAACAUGAUUUUUUUUUAUGAAUCAAUUAUAAAUUUAUAAUAAAGUGGGUAUAUGACUAUGCAUGUUCUCGGUCUUUGAGGGGGAAGACAUUUUGACUCAUUCAAACUAGUUGCAUGCAAAGCGUAUCCUGCAUAGGUAGACCACUACCUAGUUAUAAUGGGAAUUUUUUUUGAAAAAAUGAUCUUUUUUUCUUUUUUAGCAUAGUUAAAAAAAAUUGGUAAAGUAAUAUAACAGAGAAAAUAAUUUGGGAUCUAGAAUAAUUUCAUGAGUCGUAUAUGCCAUAUACGACACGCGAGUCGCAGAUACCGUGCGCGUCUCGUAUUUUACAAUUUUCAUAUGUGACAUGCGAGUCGGAAAUGACAUUUGCGACUUCACUUAAAAUUUAAACCCAUAGACCCUUUCUUCCCCUUUCUCUCUUUCUUUUCUCCUCUCUCUCCCUCUCUCCUCACAGCCACCAGCCCCUUCCCUCUCUCCCCACCGCUAGAAAUACCCACAACAACACUACAUCACCUAUUGCUCUCUCUCUCUCUAGCCACAUAUUAGUGGCCAUCUCUCUCUCUCUCUCUCUCUCCCCACCAUGGUGGGUCUUUCUUUUUUUAGCCAAAAAAAGCCACCACCAAUCACCAUUACCACCCACAUUCUAUAUAUGAUUUUAUUGAACACUUCCCCUCUAUCAAUUUGAUGUAAUUUAUACUUAAUGUGUGUUAAUUUGAUUUUAUUGAAUUUUAGGAUUUUGAAUUAGGGAUUAGGUUAAUUAUAUACAAUUUAAGUUGAUAAUUAGGUUAUUAAUAAUCAAUGAUUUUGGGUUGUUAUUGAUUGUGAAUGAACAUAAUUAUGUGAUGGAAUAGUUAGUGUUGGUUUAGGUUAAAUUAUGGAUUAUACCAAAUUACGUAUAACAUAAUAAUACUAGGUAUGAAAUGCAUGAAUCUCAUUGAUGAAUGUAUAAGUUCGUCAAUUAAUUUGAUGGAUUUAGAUUUUAGCCGAUUAUAUUACCGUUAUGGAUUUGUUGAUAAAAUAUGCACUUUGAUUAAUCCCAAGAUGUUAAUAAAUUAGAAUUGUAUUUUAUUGUGUUGUUUGACGGAAUGUCUGAUAAUUUAAAAAUAUUAUGCUUCUAUAGUAAUAUCAUUGUCAAUAUUGAUAAUCGUAUCACUUAUAAUGGAGGAAGCCAUGAAUUCCUAACUGCUACAUCAGAUAUGUCCCUUAACAAGUUGCACAAUAUUAGUCACAUGGGUAAGUGCGAGGGGAAUUGGUUGGUGAUUCAUGCAUCUUACCCAGAUCUCUAGAUACUAGAGAGAUCAUGUUUUUGAGGAGUGGCAUACGAUGAUUGAUGUAGAUACCUACAUGAGAUGUUAUUUAUCUAUUACACUCUGUUUCAUUAUACCUACCUAGUCAUGUUUCCUAAGGUGUCCAUGCAAUUCGAUGCAUUAUGCUCCCCGAUAUCCGAGACAGAAUUGUUUGGUAUGCAAUAUUGUUUUACAUGCAACAUUUAUGAAAUACCAGAAUAAUUUUAUCAUGGAGAAUGACUACUAAUUGGUUUUUAAUGUAUGUAUAUAGAUUAAUUACUUGGUAUAUGAUGCUCAAAAAGCAACAACGACUAUCCAUGAAUGUGUCGAUAAGAUUAGACGUAUUAUGGACAAUACUAAGCUUAAUUUAUGUUGUGGUGGACUUCAAGAGGUUGGGGAGGCUGAGUGUCUUGAAGUAGCAUUAGCGGAAGAUGAAAUUGCUUAUCAUGGGAGUGUUGGUCUCUCCAUGAGCAUCCCAGACCAGUCCACGAGUGUCCUAGACCUAUUCACGAGCAUCUCAGGUCCAUCCAUGAGCUAGGGUGAUAUUGGUUAUUUCCACACCUACAUGGAUAUUACAGACCCGUCCUCGAGUUGGGGUGAUAUUCCAGGCCCGUCCAUAAGUGUCGCUGAUGCCAAUUGCAACUCGAUCAACUGUGCUAGAAUUCUAAAUAUUUUUUUACCCGUGUUAUUUUACUAAAAUCUUUUUUUAACUGUGCUAAGUUCCCAAAACAUUCGCGAGACACCAAUUAAUAGGAAAUUAAGCAAAGACAAGACCAAAGUGGGGCAUCUGUGAAGUCAGCUAUAAAACAUAAUCUGAUAGUUUGUCAACAUCUUAUGCAUGUGAUUUCAUAAAUAAAGCUAAAGUUAUUGAAUCAAAAAAUUUGAUAACAUGACAAAAGUUGUUACGUGCUUUUGUGAACCAAAUUAAUGAAUGUAAUUGGAGGAUUUGAGAAAAUACUAAAUGAUUUUGAUAUAUGACUGCAACAUGUGAACUAAUCUGUAAUGUGUUUGAUAAGGAACUGGUUACCGCGUCUAGCAGGUUUUGUCGUGGAAGGCCGUUGUGUCCCAACCUGAUCUUGUUUUGUGUUUUUCCAGAUCAGGAUAAAACCCGUUAUUUCUAGUUGAGAAAUGGCUCGGACGCGGCCGUUGUCUCCCGUUAGAGAUGACAGCGCUAAUGUGGCCACCACACGGACAAAUUCGUUAGCAACACAUGCUGCUAUUUCAGGAAUGCUAAAAUUUCUUAGUGGGAAGGUGUUUUUUUAUUUAAUUAUCAUAAAUGAAAAAGCACUCAUUUAAAAUAAAAUAAAAAAAUAGAGAUAAGAGGGCCAGAAUUUCUAGCGAUGAGAUUCAGCGACAACACUAAAUAAUACCAUCAUCAAUCAAACAAAGCUCUCAUCUUCAUAAAUCUAUAAACACCAAAAUUAUGUACUUCCACCCUUAAAAUUAGGAGAAAUUAGAAUUUGAAUAAUAAAUCUUUUGAAAUCAAAUGAAAAUAUUUGUAUUAAUUGAUUGUUUAAAAAUAAAAUUUGAGGUUACAUUUUCUUUUAGGAGGCAAAAGAGAGUGGGUAAAUUUUUAAUUUAUUAUUAUUUUAUAGAGAAGGAACCAAAAAUUCAAAAUUUAGUUAUGUUUCUGCAAGUGACCGAUGUCCAAUGAGAAUGGCAAGAUUCUGGCAAUUACUUGGAGUGGAGAAUACGAAUGUGUUUGUUUUUGUAGAUGUUUUUGUUUUUUAAGCAGAUCAUAAAAACAAGUUGUUCUGUUACAUUUCAAACAUAAGUUUGUGUUUGUGGGACCUAUUACAAUUUAUGAUUCAACCACAGGUUAAUAAAAAGCAACAUUAUGUUGCUUUUUAUUGAGUUGCAAACUCAAUUUUUUCUCUUGCACCGACUACCCUCUCACUUAAAAGAGUCAUUGUUUUGAGACUUCCUAAAAUACCCUAUCAUCUUCCACAUCCUCUCCACCUUCACUAGCAUAUGGUUAUACCUCCUCUUGUCCUUUUGCUUCUGCCUUCUCUUAUCUUCUGUAAUGACUUGAAAUUUCUAUUUAACUUUUAUAUUUCUAAUCAUCAUAUCUAAGUAUAAUGGGGUAAUGUUUUUUAUGCAAUUUAUCUAACAAUACAUCACAUUGUUGAUUCCUUGGUUUACCAAAUUUAUAGCAGAGUUUCCCCUAUAACUUAUACAUUUCCUUGGUUUUUUUCUUAUCUUCCUAGGAAACACAAUAUUAAAUAACUCUAUUACAUACACGUAGUAGCUUUCGGCCACUCACCAGUUCAAUUAUUUUUCCAUUUGAUUAUUACACAUCGCUUCUCACAAUUCAUCUUAUAUUCUUUCCUUUUUUCAUUUACAUAAAACAUACGUGUGAUGGAUACACACACACACACAUAACAAAAUAGAUGCAAUAAUCAAAUGCUAGAAAUACAACCAUACCAUUUAGUACAUUUCAAGGUAAAGUUAUUAACACAAUUUUAAGUAUUCAUAGUACAUAAAAAUAAGUACCUAACAAAAUUAUAAAUAGUAAAAUGAGACAAUCAGUGUUGAUCCAUUUUGUGACAUAGACCUGCAAUAUAUAUAACUUUAUAAGAGUUAUUAGUCGUCAAGAAGACUUAUGCUCAUGAUUUGUUUUACGAGGGAAAAGAAUCAUUAUGUCUAUUAGCACUUUUUAACAAUCUUGCUCAAAACAUUCAACUCAAGUUCAAUAAUACCUUAACUCAUAUGACAAUACUUGUGCUCAUCAUUGCAAAUAAAAUAAUAUUACAAAUUUAACAUCUAGCCAUAAAAUACAUGUACAUGGUUUUUCAUAAGGAAGGAGAACAAUAUGUUUAUCGAGAAUUCUUUUAGCAUCGAUUACAUCAUAUACAUAUUGAAUAACGCACUAGUUGCUAUGACGUCUAAGCUCAUAUUUUUCACUUUCAACAUUGCCUUUAUGAUGAAUUACGUAAUGCAUUCAAAUCUAAGGUUGCCAACUAUACAUCACCACGUAGUAACUCAUUUUCUUAAUUUUGAUUCCCCAAUCAAUAAUUAAUAUUUAAUUUCCUUAGUUACCGAUUUCUUUGGGUACAAUCCUUGAAGUAACCACACGUAUUAAUCUUAUGUUUACUAAUCACCAUCACCGCUUAACAUAAGUUGUUUGUAACAUUACCAUAUUUUCUAUUUUCUAGGUAUCACAACCAUUUAUUAUAUUAUCACCCCAUUUACAUUUGCUUUGACUUAGUAGUACAUCAAACGAUAUUAUGUCUUCAGUUGCCAAUCAACCCCCCCUGUCAUAUACAUUUUUAAGAAUCAGUUAAUGGACUUAUAUAAUGGUUUUAAUUAUACAAUCGAGAAUAGUUUCAAUGGUUUCCAUUAUUUGGAAAUAACAACACCAUGGUUUACACUCAUUGAAAAUAACAACACAAUGGUCUCUAUUAAAAACAAAGACAACCACAUGAAUUCCCUUUUUAUUAGAGACAAUUAGGAAGUAACUUUUGUUGCCCAUGAUUUAAUUUAAAGGACUUAUCAACUUAAAUAGAAGCAUAGAGAAAGGAGAACCUACAUCAUCAUCUUAUAAUUAACCAAAUCAUACUUUGCUUUCUUGGUCAUUAUUCUUUUGGGCAACUAAACAUCAAAAGUUGCUAUAUUCAUAGAUAUUGGAAAUUAAUCGUCAACUAUCAAUUUUUUAUCUUGUCCUUAGUCACUAAUACUACGGUAAUUAAGUAUCAUUCUUUUUUAUCCUUAGUCACCAACACUGCGGCCACUAAGUAUCAUUCCUAUCUCAUCUUUUGUCGCCGAUACUAUGACCAUUAAGUAUAAUCCGGUCAUCUCCUUGUGGAUGCCAAUAAUUCUGGCAAACCUAUCUGAUUGCCAACAAAUUCGGCUAUAAUAUCUUCCUACUGAGUCUAUCUUUAAUAUUUUACUCCACAUCUUCAUAUAACCUUAUGCUGCAUUAUUUUAUUUGAGCAAUGUUCAACAAAUAACUGAUGAUAUGUAUUAUGGUCUAGGAAUCCUUAUACAUAUAGAAUUCUUCUUUGCAUAUCUAUUCAUUCCUAACUAUGUUCAAUUUUGUAUAUAGUUCUUUAAACAUUAAUUUCGAUUGUGAAUAAUAUAUCAUACUAUUUAUUUUAUCAUAUUAGUAAAUGCUUUCAAAUGAGAUGAUUCACGACACUACCAGUAAUCCUAGUAUGGACUCUAUUAACCGGAGUUAACCUCAUUCUUUACUCUCGGCUAUCUAACAUGGAUAUCAUUAGCCAAAGGUAAUCUUCAAUGCUUAUUCUCGGCUAUCCAACAUAGAUACCAUUAGCCAAAGCUAAUCUCAUCAUUCAUUCCUGGUUAUCCAAUAUGGAUACCAUUAGCUGAAGUUAAUCUCAUCAAUCAAUCUCGGUUAUCCAAUAGGGAACCAUUUGCCAAAGCUAAUCUCAUAAAUGAAUCUCGGUUAUCCAAUAAUGGAUACCAUUAGCCGAAGCUAAUCAUAUCAUUGAACCCUGGUUAUCCAAUAUGGAUAUUAUUAGCUAAAGCUUAACACAUCAUUUAACCCCGAUUAUCCAAUAGGAAUACCAUUAGCUCAAGCUAAUCACAUCAUUAUUCAUUGCGUUUCAUGAGUAAUUUUAAUAUAUUGAAAUUAGGUAGCAACAUUAUGUAUAAAUACUUUGAGGAUUUAAUAAUAAUUAGUUAAAGGUGGAAACCACCUACCUGCACCUCUCGUAGUGUGUCCUCACCCGGUUGAAGAUCUGAUCCCGGUCGUGCUUUCUGAAACACAAAAUGACCAUUACUCAGUAUAUUUUUAUUUAGGUAAUGUCAAAGACCAUUUCCACACAUAUACUAGAACACAUAUAUAUUUAUUCAAACAUCUCAUGUGUUUGUACAAUUAUACAGCGAUAAUAUUGUAAUAAAACAUUCAUCCCUAAUUUUAAUAAAGGUCAUCUACAGAAAUUAUAUCAUUAUGACAUUGAAAUUGUCAACAAAACUAAGCCAUUCUAACAAAAACUAAGUCAUCAACAAAAACUAAGUCAUCCUGGCACUGAAAAUCAUCAACGAAAACUAAGUCGUUUUAACAUUUAACAUCAACAACGAAAACUAAGUCGUUUUAACAUUUAACAUCAACAGAAAACUAAGCCAUUCUAACAUUUCUUUUCCCUAAAUUCAUGCAUAUGGUCAAUACCAGGUUCUCCUCCUAAAGACUAUACUUCAACCUAGUUUUGGACAUAGACCACAACCAAAUUCAUUUCCAAAGUUUAUGAAGCAAAUGAAACAUGUAAUGUUUAUAUUCCAUGACAAUAUCACACAUUCAUUAAACAUUGUUUACUAUCCUCUCUUAAGGUGGUCAAAGCCUAUUUCAUUCUCCUAACAAGCAUAUUUUUUUGUUCUUCAUGUGGCAACAUCAAAUUCUCAUUCAUUAUCGCGUGGCAUAAGGUGUUCUACGUAUUCCAAUUACAAAGUACUACUAAACAUGUUCAAGGAUCAUAUUCUUUUCCAUAACCUCAUCAAGUUCAUCAUAAUGAUGACAAGUAGUACACAAUCAAGUUCAACAUGUACAUUCUUAAGGAUUCUCCCAUCUAAAUUUCUAUAGGCUAAAAAAUAGGUAUUAACAUUAAGUGUUCAUUUCAUCAAUUUUUACUACAUCAUUCCCAGUGGUAGAACCUUUAAUCAAUAACAAAUUCCAAGUAAAGAUUAGAGCUUGAUUCGUCCUAGUUGGUUGAGUCCACCCAACUCCGAACAAUGUUUGGUAUUUGAAUCAUAACUAAAGUUUCAUAACUCGUUUGCAAGUGUGGUUUGUCUCUAUGAAAAGCUAAUACAUAGGGCUAUAAUUUGUAUGCAUGACAUAAUACCUAAUUUUCCAUCUACAUAUCUAAACUCACUCAUUACAGUAGCAUAAGAAAUAUAUCCAAUACUAUAUCAAUCUAGACCUUUACUCAGUGUUUUUAUCAUAUCUAGAGUUAUACAACUUAAACUUAGUCAAAACUAGUUGCAUUUGGAAGAUAACAUCCUUACCUAUAACUGUUAUAAAGACACUAGCUCCAAAUUACAUCGUUUUAAGACUCAUAAUUAACAAUUACAGUAACACCCAAAAUCUAUCUAGUACUAUGUCGGUCUGGACCUUUACUUAGUGUUUUUCUCACAUAUGGAGUUAUAAAACUCUUAAUAAGUCAAGCCUAGUUCCAUGUAAGAGAUAACAUCUAUACCUACAACUUUUAUAAAGACACCAGCUCCAAAUUACAUCGUUUUAAGACUCAUAAUUAACAAUUACAGUAACACCCAAAAUCUAUCCAGUACUAUAUCGGUCUGAAUCUUUACUCACUGUUUUUCUCAUAGCUAGGGUUAUACAACUCCAAAUAAGUAAAGACUAGUUUCAUCUAAACGAUAACAUCCAUACCUACAACUGUUAUAAGACACAAACUCCAAAUUACAUCGUUUUAAGGCUCAAACUCAACAAUUAUAAUAGCACAAAAAAUUUGUUCAGUACUAAAUCAAUAUGGACCUUUACUUAGUGUUUUUCUCACAUCUGGAGUUAUACAACUCUGAAUAAGUCAAGACUAGUUCCAUUUAAAAGAUAAAAUCAAUAUCUACAACAUUUAUAUAGAUUGGGUGAUCAAGUCAGAUGCCUGCUUCUUUCUGUUUGCUCUAGGUCUUAGGGAAUUCUCUUCCACUCAACACCAACUCCAAAUUACAUCAUUUGUAAAUAGUAAUUUCGACUAAAAGUUGGCUAUUAAGACUGUCCGAAUUUUAAUUACAUGAGAGAUAAAUUUGACAAGCACAUUAAGUGUUUUUAUGCAUCAUAACAUCCAUUAUCAUUACUCCAUGUUCAAAGAAACUCUCAUUUCUUAUAUAUUUUCAAGAACCCUAGAAUCACAACAUCGAGGGUUUUUCAAUUAUCCUUUACUAACUAUAAAUCAAGGAGGAAAACUAAGGAAGAACACUUUAAUCAAUAAUUCUGAGUUCAAAUUGAAGGGUUCUUACCAAUUUCUUCUUCAAUUGUUCUUCCUCUUCAUCACUCAUACUUGUCUUUCAAGUUCAUCUCCUCCAACCAAGCUUCCUAAUUUCAGCUUAUAUGUGUUUCGCUCUUCACAAACCUAUUUGCAAGCUUCAAUCUCAUAAUUUGAAAAGACUUCUCAAAUGAUAUUUAAAGAGAGGCAAGACAGAAGCUCUCCUCCUCUCUUUUUAACUAUUGUUCCACGUGAAUAGUAGCAACAAUCAUAGUUAUAUUAGGUUUUAUGGGUCAAUUACUAUUAUACCACAACUUAUCCCUCCUAAAUUUCAAUUUAUUGCACUGACUCGACAUUGUGUCUUUAUUUUCGAGACUUUUCUGUAACCAAAGGUACAAAAGUAUGUUCUAAUACCCCAUAUAAAAGUUCAGUCUGAUCCAAUGGUCGGAUUGAGAGAUACAUUCAAUAUUGUAAAAUUAGACAGUUGGAAAUUUCACGCCAAAAAUCCGGAUUUCACAUACUAUAUAAUUUACUUAAAUCAUCUUGAGUUUCUUAUCACUUGCAGUCCCAAUAGUGCGAUUGUGCGCGGAGAUUAUACUUAAAAUUCGACGUUUCUCACUUAAAGGGUCAUGCAUUGAUUUAUUUGACAUUUCCUUCUAUUUUACACAUAAUAUCACCUAAUUUACAAAAUUUCCUCCUUCAAAUUAUUAUUUUUACUAGGUUAGAGAGUUUUCAUGAUUUAUCGUUAACUAAUAUUUCACAUACUAUUUUAUUACUUUAGCUUUUCUAAAUUUUAAAUUAAUCUCCCAUGAAUGUUCAUCCUAAUCCAUAAGAUUUUCUCCUUAAUUUAUCAUUUUUCAAUUAAUAAUUACUCUAUUUAACUCAAAUUUAUCUAUUUUACCCAAAUUUAUCUAUUUUUUUCUGAGGGUUUGCAUCUUUGUUCCCCCAGAUCUGAUCAGCAGACUUUCCCAUUCCACAACCUUUCUCCCGCCACCUCAAGGAGGUUUCUCAAUUCUUCUAUUCAUUACCCAUUAUCCAUCACACCUCACCUUACUCUUUAUAGAAGAGAACCUGAAUCCCAUAAGCAAUUAAAAAAACAAAACCUCUUCAUCUUCCAAGAUCCAUACCAUCCCAAUAUCAAAUAUGUUAACUUCUCAUCAUCUUCUGCUCUGUCUUCACAGGCAACGGUCAUUUACACAAAUAAAUUUGGGUAGGAUCUAUGAAAAAUUACAUAUACAUUAUAACCUUUGUCUGCAUGAUAAAUUUCUUUUUUUUUUAAUCAUUGUCCACUUUACUAAUACAUUUAAGGAUUAUAAUGUUUAUUUCAAGUAGGCAUAAAUUUUUGAAUUGAAAUUGCUGGCCAUCAUACAACAAAAAAAAUAGUUGAUCAUGAGUUAACUUUCAAGAACCAAGAUCUUGCAGGUUACUUAAAAAUCCAUAUGUCGACAUAAAUAUGCUUCUAUGCGUAACAUCAAUACCUUGUAGUUUAAUAAUAAUGAAUAAACGAAUGAGCUUUGAUGUUUUUCCUAUCAUCAGUCCAAAAUUCUAGUGAACAAAACUUAUAAAAGUAACCAGUAAUAAUUUUAUCAACCUUUCUUUGAAAUUGUUAUUUUGUAUAAUAUAACGGUAUGAUGUUGUAUGUUAUAAAUUCACCAGCAUGAUCACUCCUUAUGUUUAUGUUAGAAAAACUCUUUCAACUUUCAAUUUUCUUUGAAAACUUUACAAAUUCAUAAAUAGUUUCAUCUUUUGAUUUUAAAAACAAAAUCCAUGUAUAUCUUGUAAAGUCAUCCACAAUCACAAACAUAUAUCUAUUAAUGCUUAUACUUUUAGCUCUAGUUGGUCCAAAUAGAUCUAUGUGUAGCAAUUAUAAAUGUCUUUUGGAAAAAAUAUGGUUCUUUCUCUUAAAAGAUGUUUUCAUUUGUUUACUCAUUUGGCAAGCAUCACAUAACUUUUUUUUUUAAUGCAAGAUGAAGGAGCCCUUUAACAAGCUCAUUUUUAACAAGUUUAGAAAGAAUGUCUAUGUUUAUAUGAUCUAAUCUUCUAUGCAAAAAAAAAAAAAAAAAAAACUAUCGUUAAUGCUAGAAACAAGGCUACUUUCUAUCCUCAUGCAUUUAUUAAUUUUAAUCUUAUAAGCAUUCUCUUUUCUAUUACCAACAAGUAAAACUUUAUCAUUUUCAAGGAUUAAGCAACAUGCAUGAUCAAACAUGAUCUUGUAUCCUUUAUCAUACAAUUAACUAAUACUUAGCAAAAUAUGUUUAGAUUAUUCACAAGAAACACCUUUUCUUUUGAGGAAGAAGACUUACCUUCAAUAUUGCCAACUCCAAUGAUCUUUUCUUUUGGGUUAUCUCCAAAUGUGACUUUUCCACCAUUGAUAUUGCUUAUGCUUGAAAAUAAUGAAUCAUCUUUGGUCAUGUGUCUUGAGCAAACACUAUCCAUGAACCAUUCCCUAUAUUCCCUUGAUUCCUACACACAUAAAAUCAAGAUGAGGUUUUUGAUACUCAUACCUUCUUAGAUCUUUUUUGGUUAGUGAAGGUUCCUUUUCGAACCCAAAUCAUGUUACCAAUUUUGUCCUUCUUCAUAGGACAUGUGUAAAUCAAAUAACCAAUGCUUUUAUAAUAAUGACAUCUUUUGUUUAGAUCAUAUGAUUGUUUGGCUUUAAUAAAGCAGUUCUUUAAAUAUUUUUGGUUAUUUUUGGGUUAAUACCCUAAAUCUUUUUUUUAUUAAAGGCACAUCUUUGACUAGCAAGCAUGAUAUCUAAAAUCUUAUAACCUUGAGUGAACUUUGCUAGUGUAGUAUUCAACUUGUCCACCUUUUCUUUUAAAGCCUUAUUUUUCUCUUUAAGUUGGUUAACCUUGUCACUAUUAAUAACAAUUCAUGUUUUCUUUUCUAAUGCAUCUUUUUCAACAAGUAAACUUGCAUGACUCUUUUCUAAUGAACUAUAUUUAUGACCUAGCUUUUUAAAUUCAUCAUACAAUGAUUCGAAGGCAUUAUAUAGUUCAUUAUAAGAGAGGUCAGAUUCAUCAUUCGAAGAAAGUACCUCAUUAUCGCUUUUGAUUUCCAUGAAACACAUGUUUGCAGUAUGCUUUUCAUCUUCAUUUGAGCUAAAGUCCAAGUCAUCACUCUAUGUUUCUUUCAUUGCUCGUUUGUAAUGGUGGUUCUCUUUCUUGUUUUGUAGGAGAGGGCAAUCGACCUUAAUGUGUCCUGUUUUGUUGCACUUGUAACAUCUAAGUGCCGCUUUGCUAGCUAGAUUCUUCCUUAUUUCCAUCCUUCUUGAAGUUUAAGAACUUUUUAUUCCCUUGCUUUUUUAUUAGGAGAUUUUGGAAUUGUCUCGUUAUAAGUGCAAUGUCUUCCUUUACAUCAUCAUCAUCAAUAUGGUGUACGAUUUUGAAUGCCAAAUUCUUCUUUGGCUUUUCUUCUAGUUCUUGCUUUUCCAUAAUGAUUUCAUGAGUCAUUAGUGAACCGAUGAGCUCUUCUAAUGAAAGUUUGGUGAGAUCCUUAGCUUCAUGGAUUGUAAUCACCUUUGCUUCCCAAGACUUUGGCAAGAACCUAAGAAUUUUGCUCAUAAUAUCAACAUUAGUAUAAGUCCUACCAAGAGCAUCCAAACUAUUAGUGAUAGAUGUCAUUCUAGUAAACAUACUAGUUAUAGAUUCAUUUGAAAGAAUUUUGAAUAACUCAUAUUGAUGUACAAGCAUAUCAAUUUUGGAUUCUUUAACUUGAUUAGUAUUUUCAUGAGUUAAGCAUGCCAUAUAUCCCCAACAUUUUUAAAAGAUGAUAUUUUGUUAAACUCACUUCUACUUAAGGCACAAUACAAAGUGUUCAUAGUUUUAACAUGUAUAGAAAACAAUUUCUUAUCACUAUUGGUAUACUCACUUAUAGGUUUAGGAAUCAUUAUAUCAUUUUCAAUUUUAGUAGGCUUGUAAGGUUCAUUUUUAAUAAAUAACCUUAAAUUAUAAUCAAUAAAUUAAAGAUAUAUAAUCAUCCUACAUUUCCAAUAGACAUAAUCACUGCCAUCAAAGAAGGGUGGCCUAGAGGUAGAUGCUCUUUCAUUUUAAUCAUUAUAGCUAGUGGUUUCCAUUCUACUCAAGUCUAAGCAAACUUAUAUAUAUGAGAACUUAGCUCUGAUACCAAUUGUUGUUCUAGGAUUAAUGCAAUAAUAACACACUAAGCAUAUAUAACAUAAUAACCAACAAUAUAAUUAUAGUGCUUAAAGUAAAGAAUAAAGGAAGAGAGAUUACAAACUUGGUUUUUAACUUGGUUUGGCAAGCCUACAUCCACACCUCGAGUACCAACCAUACUUGAGUAUUGUACUCUUUUACUAAUCCAAGUGAAAGAUACAAUGUCAUUGAUGAAUCCACACCAAGCAAUUACACCACUUGAAGAUGUUCCCUCUUCAAAAAAAUUUCCUUGGUGACAAUACCUUACCAAUGCUAAAAUUUUAUCCAAACUCUCAAGUGUUUAUAAUUAUAAUUUAUUUAUAAUAAGAUUCACUCUCUCAAAAAGCAGAUUAUAUAAUUGAAAACUAUAAUCUCUAUAGCUCACUCAAUAGCACUUAGAAUGAUUGAAGAUCUGUAAAUAAAAUGAGUGUGAGAUAUUAUACUAUUGUGCUAGAACAUAAAGAUUUAAUUUAGCACAACUUAGAAUAUGUUAAGAUUGAUGAUUUUUAGUUGAUUUUUCUUUUGGAGUAGCUUUUAUAUCAUGUAUGUUCAGAAUGUCAUUUUAAUUUUGCAUGAAAGAGAGCCAUAUAUAUGUUUCCAAAAUAAAUUAGUUGUUUAUAACUGUUGGAAUGCCUCUAAUGGUUAAAGUGGUCGACUGGUUUAAAUGACCAUAUCAUUCGGUCGACCGGUUCCUGCAAAAAAAUUCCCAAGUGUUUAUCACAAAUGAACAACGAUCAACCAGUUCACUUGUUAUGCAUAAGCAAUUGAUAUGUUUAGCUUUAAAACCAGUUUUGACAGUUUCAAACCUAGCGAAACUUGAACUGAUUAAAUGGAUAUCAAUCAUAUUUAUGCAUGAAAUGUGAAGUGUGUGAGUUCAUUUUAGUUUCCUAUUGAGUAAGAUAUAAAGAUUUAACAAUAAGUAUUAAAAUGAAUUAUUAAGAACUAAGUCUUCACUUGCUUUGCAUCUUUGACUUGUUAAUGGAUUUCUUCAUUUAAUUUUUUAUACUUAUUGAUGUGAUCUUCAUAUAGACCUGUUUAAACUUAAUCUCAUCCAAGCAUAUCAUUAGUGUGGUUUCAUUUAUUUGUUAUCAUCAAAAUACAUAAAAUAUUAAUAUGUGACCUAAAGGUCAACAACUUGUUCAUCCAGGGAUGACAAUUUUAAGCCUAUUAUACUAAACAUGGGUUUAGUUUUGAGCUCAUGAUUGGACCUAUAAAAUCCCACCACUUGUUAUGCAUAAAACACGAGGUAUGUUCCAUUAACCCACUUGCCCAAGGUUUCAAGAGCCACAUAACUUAUUCAAGUUUACAAUGCUCAGACAUGAGUUCUUUUAUUGAGAUGGAAACAAAAGUUGAUGACACUUUCUCCUAGAUGGCCAAAUAGGCCCACCUACCACCUUUAAAGUUGGGUUUGGGAUGCCCUUUCCUGAACCCAAAACCAAUACCACCUUACGAGUUGGGUUCAGGAUGCUCAUGCUCUAACCUAACUACUCGAGUCUACGUUUUUCUAUCAACUCUCUACAUGGUUGGGAUUUAACAUUUAAUGCUAAUGUAACCAUAAUUGGACCCACAAGAUGGUGGUAAGACAUGUCCACAUGUAGAACCUAGCAUAGUUAUCUAGUUUGGUCUCUAGUACUAACCAAGGCUAGUUAGAAAGACCAAAGCUUUAAUUGAUUUCAUUAUAGAGCUCUCCUUUAUUAAAUUGCAUAUACAUUCCCCAUGAAAAAUCUCCAAGAGUCUCUAUAUAAUUCUUUAUCCCUGGAAAGAAAAAAGUUAUUUUCCUAAUGUACAAAUCAAUCUUUAUUUGAGCAUAAAAAACAAGCUUGCUUGAAUAUAAGGCCUUUUCUAUCUAAGAAAAAAGAUAACUUUACCUAAAUACAACUUCAUUAUCCAUAAAGACAUAAAUGAACAUUUCUCUCAAAUCAAAUGGUGAACUAUCACCAUACAGGGACAAAGAAUUGGGCUUAUAUGAUGAGUUUCUCAAUUGUAUCUUCCUCGAAGUAGAUCUUUUUCACAUUUUUUUAUUAGGUUUAGGCCCAUCUAUCUUAAUACAAAGGUGCACAAUAUAUUAUAAACAAGUACAAAUUAAAAUAAAAAACAUAAGCAGACAUAAGGUAAGGUUUCCUGCAUACCUACUACAUUGCCCUUCAAGGUAUGUGCAUUUUAGAUAAAAGGUUAAUGUUAUAUUAAAAUUUUCAUUAUUGAAAAUACCUAUACAAUAGCUUUUUUUUCAUAUAAUAAUCCCGAUCUUGAGUUUUAUAGACCCUUUAUAGCUUUUUCUUCUUGAAGUUGAGUAACAACCUCCUCUAUGGAUAAAGAAUUGGACUCAUACUAUAAGUCCCUUAAUUAUCUCUUCCUUAAUGUAGAUAUUUCCCUCGAUUGCUUUUUCGUUUUAGGCCUACCUACCUCAAUAGUAAGGUGCAUAAUACAUCAGGAACAAAUACAAAUUACUUUACAAGACAUACACAUGAACAUAAUGUAAGGUUUCUUACAUAACACUACGUUGUUUUACAUGGUGUGUGCCUUUUAGACAAAAGGUUAAUGUUAUAUUGAUCUUUGCACCAUUAAAAGUACUCAUAUAAUAACUUUUUUACCUUUAACAAGCAUAGUCUUUAGUUUUAUAAAUCCUUUAGGUCCUUCAAAAAGUAAAACAUCCUUAUAUCUUCUAAGCUCCAACUAGGGGGAUUGCUGCCCUAUACUUCAUUAUGCGCCGCUCUUCCCUCUAUUUUUUUUUAUGUUCUGUCUUACCAUGGAAAAAUAAUUUCAUGAGACUUUUUACCUAAUAAAAGAAUAUGUAGAAUCAAGCUAGUUCAUAUGUCUCACUAACACAUCUCAUCAACUGAUAGUAGUAUCUAAAUACUUUGAGGGAUUAAUCUUCCCCAAGUUGUGUAUUUCUCAAAGGCAGUAAAGGUUGCCCACCCAUUUAGGUAUAUUUAGCUUGUAUAAAUGUUAUAGUAAAAUAAAAUCAUGAAUGCAAAACUAGUAAGGGGUAACUUAUACCCAUACUUUACAUGCAAAACUAGUAAAAUAUGCACAAUUAUAUUUUACCCCCUAUACGAGCCUUUUCGGAUUGCCUACUAAUCCUUUCUAACUAGAGAAGAAUUUUGGCCAUGUACCCUCUUCUUAGUUAGACAUUAAUAUUUGUAAUUGGAUCAUGAUGGUUAUUCUAGGGAAAGUUUCCUCUAACUAAUCCUUAAGUUGUCUGAUUAGCUUUAUAAUUGUCAAUUAGUUCUUACAAGGGCCCUUGUAGCCUUCUUUUCUGUCUCUGUAUUCUUGGAUCUAAAGGUCCCCUGUACUCUUUGUUUAACCUCACCAUAUUGGAACUAAAGGGCUUCCUAACCUUAUAUAUGAGCUCACUAGACCCAGAACUAAAGGGGAAAAAUACUAGUAUUUAUUUAUUCAUGCAUGAUUUAUGUAUGACUCAUAAAAGUUUGAUAACUAAGUAGACAAUACAUGAAAAACUCAUAUUUGAAAAGAAUGGUGUUAUUAGAUCUUGAUGGCACAAACAAGAAAACUAAACACAUAAGAAAACAAGAUUCUAAUUUUUAAUCGCAAGCGACAUUUUUAGUUUCAAGUGACCUCCCCAUCAAUAGAAACAUCUAUAUCAUCAUCAUUGGCUAACCUUUCCUCAAGACUUCAUUAUGGUUAUAUGUAUAAUAUAUAUACAUGCAAGACACAAACAACAAAGGAAAAUAUUUUUGUAUUUUCUAAUUAAUAUAAUUAAAACUAGAAUAAAAUGAAAUCAAAUUGAUAAAUGGCAAUAUAUAUAAUGAGAAACCAACCACAAAACUAUUAAAUGAAAAUGUAUCUCCAAUGGAUAAGAAUGAAUUUUGAAGUCAUUUUAAAAAAGGUCGGAUUGGUUUUGAGAAUGAAUUUGAGACAAAUGAGAAAAUUAAUUUUGAAAAUAAACUCUUAGGGGGUUAAGUUUACUUGAAAACUCCGCACUUAACGAAGGGAGAUAAACUGCAUCAAUUUAAUAUAGAAGAAAAUGAAAAGCUCACUCGCAAUAAGAGAGAAAUAACCUAUAACAGAUUAUUAAUCAUUUGAAAAGAAAUCCACAGGCAUCAAGUGAAAUAAAUGGAGAAAUAAUCCACGUCCCAUUAAAAAUUAUUAUGAAAAAAAAUGGAGAAAUAAUCCACGUCCCAUUAAAAAUUAUUAUGAAAAAAAAUAUACACGUAUGGAAUGGAAUAAACCACAUUGGUUUAAAAAUAUUUGAAAAUUCCAAACAUGAUGAAUGAAGGAAUAAUCAACAUCAAAUUAAAAUUAAUUUGAAAAAAAUAUCCAAACACACGGAGUGGAAUAAACUACAUGAGUUUAAAAUAUUUAAAAAUUAUUUUUAAAAAUUCAUAGAAUAAGUAAGCAACCUCAAAACAAUUAAAAUACCUCAUUAGCAUGAAACAUUAGCAUCAAAGCUAUCAUAUUUUUCCAUUAAGACAUAAGACUGGUUAUCUCAUCGAGUUGGAUUAUUCAUCACUUUUGCUCGGGAAAAGUUCCUCCAGAAUGGCUUCCAAAUACUUUUAUCUUUUCAUUUCUCUUUUUUUAUCGAGCAAAGGGCAAUAUAUCUCUUUUUACACGCCUGGGUUUCUUGCAUUCAUAGCAAAUAAUUUGGCCCAUUUUGCUAGUCUCAUGCUUUAUUGUCUCUGUAGUCACACCUUCUAGAGAUUAAACCCUUUUGAAUUUCCUCACAAUACGAGCGACAUCUUCAUCAUCAUCUUGAUUAUCAUCAUUUUGUAAAGUUUGAGCGCAAUGCCUUUCUUACUGAUGUCAACGCCACCUUUGGUAGCCCUAAAUGCUAAGUAUCUUCAAGAUAUUUCAUUCUUUAAUGGCCAUCACUUCAAGAUCCCAAGGUCUCGGUAAAGACCUCAAUAUCUUGCUCACUAUGUUUGAUGUUUCUUCUAAUGUUUUCAUAAACCAUCCACAAUGGUCGUAAAACCUUGUGCUCAUCUUUUUUUAUGCUCUCACAAGGAUACAUCUCAAAAUCAAAUAUGAGAGUAUUUAUUUUAGAUUUCUAACUUGAGUUGUUCCUUCAUGAGAAACUUGUUCAGAACAAAUGUCUCCAGGACACGUAAUGUGAUGGCAAAGGGCUUGAGAUCUGUACAGCAGGUCUCAAGUUCGAGUCAGGGCGUGCAUCUCUUGUAAGAGUCUGGGACAGUUGGGGUUUAACUCGCUCAUCUGGACCCAUAAAGUGCGCUUUCUGAAAAAUGGGGUUUCCUCGAAUCCAAAAUUAAAAAAAAAAAUUGUUCAGAACAAUAACAAAUAUAUUAAGAUUAUAACUACUUCUCCAAACACAUCAACGUGGUUUGAUAAUGUGUUUAUAUUUACAAGAGUAAAAAGUUUUUAUUUUUUACUAUAUUAAAAUAAAAUUACAUAUGGUAUAUAUUUAUAAUAAAUCCUAAAUCAUCCAAGAAAACUUAGCUUAGCCUCCCAAUAAAUUCUAAUCAUAUAAAAAAUAUUAAUAAUUUUUUAUAAUAUUACUUUACUGUACUGUAAAAACGCUUCGCAUCUCCAUUUCAUCCCGGAAUUUUCCCAGAAGCCACAAACUACAACAAAAUGCGUGAAGGCUAACGGAGAAAAUGAUAUGAGAGACCUUGGAUGACCUUAGUUCAUAGUGGGACAUACUAGAUGUCAAGAUGUCAACACGCAACAGGCACAGCAAGUAGAUGCCAAGCAUAAGUUGUGCUUAUCGUGACACACAAAAACACCAAAUCUGGAUGAUGUUGUCCUCCCGGCCAACUUGAAAUCCCCAUUAAUGAGGUUUGGAUAAGAUGACCCCAAUCCAGCUCCAAAACCUCAUUAAUGGAGGAUGUACAAUGAUGCUCCACACGCUGUAAGGUUGCUGCAUCUAAUAAAUUCAGGGAGUCCCAUUUGAUGUUGACUUUUCAAAGCAAAAGUAGCAACCUGUAUUCACUCCCUGUAUAUAAAAAACUACUUGACUACCACCCAUACAUCCACUUUUUUGGCUCAUUUUUUCUGUCUUUAAAAAAUGGCAACCCCAGAAGAAUCCUCCACAGUAGAACUCAUAAGACAACAUCUUCUUGGAGACGAGGGUAUUUGGAAAUGUGGUAACGGUUAUUUUUCAAAGUAUUUUUAUAUUUUAAAAAUUAUUUUUGACAUCAAUACAUCAAAAUAAUCUGAAAACAUAAAAAAUAUAUUAAUUUAAAAUAAAAAAAAAUAAAAUAAAUUUAAAUUUUUAAAAAACACAUCCAAAAACACAGUACCAAACACUUACCUCAUCCACAGAUAUAUCAUCAGUAAUCUUGAUGCAAGCACAUGGCUCUCAAAUACUUCUUAUCUUUACAUUUCAUUUUUUUAUCGAGCAAUGGACAAUCGCUUCUGACACGUCUGGGUUUCUUGCAUUCAUAGCAAAUAACUUGGCCCAUUUUGCUAGUCUCGUCCUUUAGUAUCUUAUUGAUGUCAACAUCAUCUUUGGUAACCUUGAACGCAUAAAAAAUAAGAAACCCUAAAAAAAAAAAUCUUUACAUUAGAUUUAUGAAACAUACUAAUAUGAAAAUGUAUAAAAAAUAAUUUCAAUCUUUUAUAUUGCUAAAAAAAGCUUGUAUAUAACAAAAAAAUAACAAAUUAAUUGCAAUUGACCUAAGAAUUGAAGACCGGGGAAGCCAAGGACUAAAAUGCAAGAAGAAGCAAAAUUAAGGUGUCCAUUCCAAUUUGAUGAGGGGGAAAAUGAAACAAAUUAAGUUAAAAAAGACCAAAAUUAACUGAAAAUGAAAUAAUUGAAAGACCAUGGACAAAACUAGAAAAGAAGCGAGAAUGGAAGGGUUUAAUAUGAACUUAGCGGUUUGAAAACGACACCAUUUCUAGCUUAAAUUUAAAAAAUCUAGAUUUCAAUUCCCGUUUGUUUGCUGGAAAGUAGUUUUCUUUUGAUAAGUGAAUUCCGAGAAAGUGAACUAUUUUUUGAUGUUUGGUAGUGUAAUGAAAAAUAAGUUGGAAAAUAUUUUCCAGUGUUUGGUUAUGCCAUGGAAAAUGAGCUGAAAAAUAACUUAUUAAUAUUUUAUUUUUUCAAGUUUAUUAAAAUAAUAAAGAACAAAUCUUACAAAUUAAAAAGUUGAAUGAGAAUAAAAUUGAAAAAAAAUAUAAUUUCAUAAAUUAUCUUAAAUAAAAUAAAUAAUAAUUAAAAUAAUAGAGAUCAAAUCUAACAAAUAAAAAAAUUGAAAGAUGAAAAAAUUAAAAUAAUAAUAAUUACCAUUUCAUUAAUUAUUUCAAAUAAAAUAAGUAACAAUCAAAAGAAUGAGGACCAAAUUUGAUAGAUGAAAAAUUUCAAUUAAAAAAUGAUAAGGACAAAUCAAAUAAUAAUUAUAAAAAUAAGGACUAAAGUUAAUAUAAAAAUUAAAUUGUAAGGGAUGAAAUUGAAAAAAAAAAUAUAUAUAGAAAUCAAAAGUUUGAGGAUCAAAUUUGAUAUUAUCAGCAAAUAAUAUGACAUUUCUAAAUUUUUCACAACUUCCAGAAAGUUUUUUCCAUAAAAAAAAAAAAAAAACAAUUUCCUGAAAACCCCAAAGUUUUCCUUUGACUAAAAACUAUUUUCCAUUGAUUAAUUUUUUUUAAUGAUAAGUAAACAUAAAAAAAAAUUUAAAAAAUAAUUUAAGAAAAACCACUUUUCAUCUUACAAACGCACCGAAUAAAAAAUAAUGUCCUUUCACAUUAAAUGAAACCGCGUGUGUUUUAGUAAACGGAGGAAGAACAAGACUACGCCUAAGAGACAAAACGACUCCGUUUUGCUCUAAAUUCAGAUAAUGUCCUUUCACAUUAAAUGAAACCGCGUGUGUUUUAGUAAACGGAGGAAGAACAAGACUACGCCUAAGAGACAAAACGACUCCGUUUUGCUCUAAAUUCAGAUAAUGUCCUUUCACAUUAAAUGAAACCGCGUGUGUUUUAGUAAAAGGAGGAAGAACAAGACUCCGCCUAAGAGACAAAACGACUCCGUUUUGCUCUAAAUUCAGUAGGCUUCUAAGCUUAAAACACGCUGGGAAUAGCAGCUGAUCACCCAGCGAACUUUGGCCCCAAUUUCCGUCCAUAAUCGACUCUCUCCCGAGGUAACAUCAAUCACGUGGUAUGUGCUCUCUUUCAUGCAGGAUACAACCUUGAAGCAUCGAAUCCUGUUUUCAUGCCUUGGUUCUUUCCCACGAAUCAAAGCCAUAAGGUAACAGUUGCCAGAUUGAAAAACCCAGCACUCAUCUAGUUUUCAGCCCGUGUUAUUUCUUUUAUUGGAAUUAAUAAAAUUUUAAACUCUAUUAUAAUAAUUUAUCCAUCACAAUUCUUAGGAUGAAUCAAUCUAUUUUAAUAUUUUUUUAAUUUAUUAUCAAUUAUCUACAUAAAUAUAAAUUUAUACACACUUACCAUGAAUUACAACUCGGUAAUAAAAUUGAUAAAAUAUAAAAUAGACUCAUUAAAUAAGUCAUUAUUUAUUUCAUCACAAAACACUUAAGUCGGUAAUUCGACAUAAGUUUCAACAAUUUAUAAACAAAUACAAUUUUACAAAAUCUAAAACAAACCAUAACAUAUACAAAUCAUAAAUUCAUACAACAAGUUUGUUUGAUAAAAAAAACUAUAAAACAAGUAAACAUCCAAAAAAAUACAUAUACUACAAAAAUAUAUAUAAAAAAAAUAACAUUUUAAAAUUGUGUUCAAAUAAAAAAGCUUGUUUGGGAUUGUGGUAGCGGUUGUGAUUCAAAGUGUUUUUCGCUUAGAAAUGCUUCAAAAUGAUGUUUUUUUUUUUAAUUUUAUUUUUGAGAUCAGCACAUCAAAACAAUCUGAAAACAUAAAAAAAAAUUUAGAAAAAAAGAAAAAAAAUUUGAAUUUUGAGGGAAUGCGGUUUCAACCGCGUUCCCAAACGCGUUAAGGUGUAGAAUCCUCAAUAAAAUUUGAAUUAAAACACGGAUGCUGACAGAUCGAGUGUGGCGAUGGCUCAAAAAGUUGUGGGAGAUUAAGUUGUGUUGAGAUUAAAGGGGGUAAGGGUGGUUGUUUUGUUGCAGAGAAAACUUUUACAAGGAAGAAGUAGAAAUGUGGGAGGGGGAGAGGAAGGUCGCGCAUCAGGUCAUAAAUAAAAUUAUUUCGAUGGUAACUCCGUCGAUAAUUCUUUUAGUAUAAAUAUCAUGUCACCGUACGAUUUGCCUUUUUGAAUCCCAUUGUAAUACCGUUUGUAAUGUCAUCAGUAGAUCUCAACAAAAGUUUUCCAUCGGGAUAUUUACGGACAAAUUAUAUCGUCGGUCUAAUUUUGUAAGUGACUUCGUCUGUAAAAAUAAAUAGGAAGGGAAAAGAAAGAGCGGAAGAGUAGGAGGAGGCUAGGAAGAUAUAUAUAUAUAUAUAUAUAUAUAUCUUCCUAAUCUUUUACUGUAAGCUUUGAAAUCAAAUGCAUGUUUACAUCUCCAAGCUUCCUAUGGCAUGUCCAUACGAAGUUGCACGAUCAUUGAUAUUAAUAAUGUAAUGUAAGCAAUGGACAAUGUCUUUUGAUACGCCUGGGUUUCUUGCAUUCAUAGCAAAUAAUUUGGCCCAUUUUGCUGGUCUCAUGCUUUAUUGUCCCUGUAGUCACACCUUCUAGAAAUUAAACCCUUUUGAAUAAUGUCCUCACAAUAUGAGCGACAUCUUCAUCUUCAUCAUCAUCUUGAUUAUCAUCAUUUUGUAAAGUUUGAGCGCAAUGCCUUUCUUACUGAUGUCAACAUCACCUUUGGUAACCUUGAACUCAUAAAAAAUAAGAAACCCUAUAAGCUAAGUAUCUUCAAAAUAUUUGAUUCUUUAAUGGCCAUCACUCUAAGAUCCCAAGGUCUCGGUAAAGACAUCAAUAUCUUGCUCACCAUGUCAGGUUGUUUGAUGUUUCUUCUAAUGUUUUUACAAACCAUUCACUUUAAUGGUCAUAAACCUUGUGCUCAUCUUUUUUAUGCUCUCGUAAGGAUCGUUCUUGAACAUCUCAAAAUCAAAUACGAGAGUAUUUAUUUUAGAUUUCUAACUUGAGUUGUUCCUUCAUGAGAAACUUGUCCAAAACAACAACAAAUACAUCAAGAUUAUAACUAUUUCUCAUAAAUAUAAAGAAUAUACUUUAUAAUAUUCAUCUUAAUAUUUCAUAUUUGUAAUAAUCUAGUUGUAGAAUUUAUUUCAUUCAGAAAAUGUUUUUCCCUUAUCGAACUGGUAGCACCUCCUUGCAUGGGAUUUUACACCACCAUUAGCAUGAAGCCAUGCUUAGUAUUUCUGUUUCAGUUACCAGCAAACAUGGAUGCUGUUCAUCUCUUACUCCUUUUCCACCAUCAAAGUCAUUAGAGUGAGUGUGCCUAAUUAACUUCAUGCAUGCUCGUAAGUUUUGAAAAACCUCUCGUAAUUAAGUUCCCUAGGACCCAGUUCACUUUGCUUGGGAUUUCUUUGUAUGAAAGAUAGUUUAUAAAGGCUGAAUUAGCCAUGUAUUUUUUUAAAGCAAUUUCAUUGCACAAGUCUUCAUUUUUUUGUUCUUCCAAUAAAACGUUUGCAUGUAGUAGCAGUAUUUUAUGUUCCUAGCCCUUUUAACCUGCAUUCUUCUGUUAAGAAAUAACGAAAUGCAGUUCAUCUUGUUCCUCAUGUAUGAAUAAAAAAAGAAAAGAGAAACAGAAAACAUGAAGGGAAACCUAAGGUUUUGUUUUCUCAUAGGAUACCGGGUGCAUUUUUGGAGUGUGCAUUGCUUAACAUGAAGUCCACUAACAUACAAUCCUGUCAGUGGCUAAAAACUGGUCUUCUCUGCAUUUUCAUUCUGCUUUUAUAAAUUCUUGCAAGUCAGGCGCAUAUAGUUAGUUGUUUUUCGCUUUUUUUUUUUAAAAAAAAAAAAACUAUCUCCAAACUUGCAUCUUCAUGAUCUGCAAAACAGAGCAGAGGAAUUAUAGGUUCUUAGUUUGCUAAAAACAUGAGAGUUCAAUGCUUAAUCCAGAAGAAAAUGUGUUUCUGCACCGUGAAUAUCUGGCUUUUUAAAACUUUCUAUUCAAUUCUAUCCAAGAAACAUAGGUGAAAAAAAAUAUAUACUAAGAGUUAGCUCACUGGAAUUUCACCUUUCGCCAUGAAUGCCGUGAAUGCUCUUUACUGGAAACUCACCCUUCGGUGGUUGUAGGUUUCAUUUUAUAAUACUAAUCAGCAACUACCGGAUAUAAUCAGCGACUAACUAAUUCAUUGCAAAUAAAACUAAAAUUCUUUAUUAAAUUCAGCAACAGAAAAUAUUAAAUGCAGAUCUGUCAUUACUGAAUUUUCAACAACGAAUAAUCCGAUACUCACAAAUUAACAACGAAUUUUCCGUUGCUGAUUGUAUUCGUUGCUGAGUAUAUGAUUUUUAUUAAAUUAAUUUAUAUUUUUUAUCUAAAUAACUUUAAAUUUUUUAAUUAAUUAUUUAUGGAUAUUUUGAAAGUUGUAGAAUAUAUAUAAACAACAUAAAUUAAUAUUUUAUUACUUUAUCACCAAUAAUAAAUGGAAUAAAAAUAAAAUUCAUAAUAUAAUUAAAAAAUUUAGUUAGACUUGCAUUAAUACAAAUAAGUCAAAAUACAAUAAAAAGAUAUAAUCAUGGUGCUUGUUGUGGAGACGAACCAUGAUAUUGUGGAUCGAUGUAAGAUAAAUUAGGAUAUGGUGGUCGAGGUGUAGGUCGAUAAAUUUGUGGAGAUGUGGGACCCAUAGGUGUCAUUAUCUAGAGAGCCAUAUGUGACGGCAUUGAUGGGGCCAUAGGUGCUGGCAUACCUUGACCAAUAUUUG